AAAAAUAAUAUGGUUAAAAUCAGUGAUUUUUAGUCUCCAGUAGUAUAAAGGGGAUGAAUUAUUAAAAUAAGUAUGUAAUCUUGUUGUUACAGAUCAAGCACGAACAGGAAUGAAAAGACAAACGUGUGGCUAAAAGGUGACUUUAAAUAAGAAUUCGAGGUAGGUUACAAUUUAUUAUAGUAAUCAAACCUGCUUGUAAGCUGAAUAAUUGUCAUGGCUUUCAAGCACUACUUGUGAUUAUUGACUGCAUUGUAUAUUCAAACAUAUUGAUGUUGUUGAGUUGAUGACUAUGAUUAUAAUGAUAUACAAAUCAUAAUGUUCAUGAGGUUGAUGGUGAUUGUGGUUUUGGUGAGAUGAUGAUGAUGUUUAUGAGAAUAAUAAGAGGAAGAGAUGAUACGUACAUCUUGCAUUCAUAUAUUCAUUCAUGUGCAUUGAACAUUCAAUUAUAAUUGUAUGUUGUGAUGUAACUUGUUGCUGAUUUGAUUAAGUGUAUACAUACAUGAGUAUGAGUUUGUAUUCCCUCUAAAGUGAAAUUUCAUGAUUGUGUAUUGUCUUUGAUUUUAUGUUUUGUGAUGAUCGCUUAACAUCUAUUUGAUUUACUUAUUAGUAUUGUGUCGGGUUGAGUCCACCUAUGAUGCCUAUCAGUGCUUGUCUAUGUACUGAUGCUAGUUAUGCUCUUCUUUUUUUUUAGUCCAAAACUUAUUUUCGACGUUUGAUACAAGACCUCGACUUUAGCUAGAUAUUUCAGACUCAGUUUCAUGAGUGAGCACAUGACCAGGCAGUAUUUGAAACUCUAUAUUAUUGUUCAUGUACUUUCUUUCAGGACUAAGCCACUCUUUUGUUAUUUACACAUUAUUGGAUGUUUUCCUAGUUAUAGACUUAAUCGUUCUUACAUUUUUUUGUACGGUGACUUCAGGUUCCAAAAAUGUAAUUAGUAGAGAAUUUCACACUUUAUCAGAUCAGGGAUGUUGAUGUUAGUUUGACAGUUUAUUUAUCUAUUGAUUGAAUGAGGCCUUUUUAGAAUUUAAUUAAAAAUGAGUCUAAUUUAAGGUGAAUGUGAAAGUAACACUUGGGUUAGUAAGGAUUGGAGUAAGAAUGGUUCUCCCACCAUAGGAUGGGGUGGGAGCCAAUCAUGACAGGUUGGGUCGUGACAAAUUUUAAAAUUAUACUUCAUAUUUACAUCAUAAUUCUUUAUCUUAUUUUAUGAUUUAUAUAUCAUUAGUUUAUAUAUCACUUAUUUUUGUUAAAUAAAAUAAAAAAUAUCAUUUUUGGGGAUGAUCAUCCAAUGUAUAACUCUUUAUUUUUAUUAUUAGUAAUAAUAAAUGAUAGACAAAGUUUGGGCAUGCAAAAAUCAGCAGACCAUUAAGUCGAAUCAAUAAAAAUGCUAUUGGUUUAUUAUUACUGGGUUAAUUAAUGAUUUUAUAAAUAUUUUAUUGGGUUAUUGAUUUGGUUUUGGUUAUUUCUUAUUGGACAAACUGAUAAUCCAAUAAGAAUAUAGUAAAUUACUACUUUUAUAUCACAUACAUCACAUUACAUUACAUUACAUUACAUUAUGUUACAUUUCUACAAACUAACGAGUCUAUUCAAUUUCCUGAACCAACAUUCAGUUCAAGCUUGAAAUUUUUUGUAAAUUAAAAUACAUCAUCUAGGAUUUUGGCUGCAACUAAGAUUCAGUUUCUUUUCGCGUUAGUUGCUACUAUUUCCAUUUUAUGAGUAUUUGCUUUUCGGUUAGACCGAGAACUGAAUUGUUACAGACUAAAAAGUGAUACAAAAAAUCGAUAAAAAAUAGCUUAUUGGUUUAACAUAUUUAAAAUUCAAAAACUGAUAAAUCAAAUCGAUAAUACAUAAAAUUGAACCGAUCGAUGCACACCCCUAGAUGAAACAUGUUGCAAGAUCAAAUGGUAUUUUGACAAAACUUGUAAAUAUUUACUUUUUUUUUUAAAAUAAAUAUUUAUGAAAAGUGACAUAUUUAUUAUCAUGCAUACUGUAAAUAUAUGAAUAUGGUGAUUGCUUAUAUUUAGUAAAUUUUGACAUAAUAGUAAAGAUCUAUCCAAAAAUAAAUUUAAUUAAAAAUAUUAUAUAGAUAUUUAAAACAAAUGUUCUCUGUAAAAUGGUUUUAGUAAAAGUUCAUUUAUACUUGCCCUUUUUCUUUAUUUAUUUUUCAAAAACACUACUUGAAAAAAGAUUAGCCAAACACGACCUGUUUAUAAAAAACAUUUUUUAAAUGAAUAUCAUAUACAAAUUGUCUAUUUUCAAAAACACUUUUCUAAUAAAGUUAUUUUAUAAAAAUGAUUUUCAAAUAAGUAGUUUUCAAACAAUAAUCCCAAACAAGCUGUAAUUUUACAUACGAAACAAAGAAAAUUUUUGUUUCUUUUUGUACUUGUGUAUAUUAUUUUUGGAUUUCCAAUCAUAAAAUAUUUUUUAAUGCUUUAUUGACUUGGCAAUAAAUUUUAUGUAUUUUAUUAAUGUUAUAAUUAAAAUAAAAUGGUAGAGAUUAUUGAGAAAAUUUAUUCGAAAGUUAUUUAGAACUUUUUGUCCUGAAGUUGUUUAACUUGAAGUUCUCAUAUUAUUAGCUUACUUAUAAAUGACACAAGUAUUUAUUUGCACUUGAUAUUUACUUUAAAUCAAAUAAAUUUAUCAUAGUUAAGUGAUUUAAUGAAGUAAGAAUAUAUAAGUAUUAUAAUUUUAUAUGUAAAUAUAUCAUUCAUCAUACUAUUCUAUAAGUUAAAAUUAAAGCCUCAUAACUUAACGUUAAAUUACGAAAAUACUCUUUGAAAAAUAAACAAGCAAUUACUCCUUAUCUAAAAGUAAAUUUACAUUUCAUUAAAUAAAAGAAAGUUGUCAAAAGUGUUUUGUAAAGUUGAUUUUCUUUCAUUACGAUGUUUAGCUUGGGUUCUCAUGCUCUACUUGUUUUAGACUUAUUUUUAUUACAAAUAGCAUGCUAUCUUGGUGAUCAUCAUAUCUGAAUUCCUCAAAGCUGGUGGCUUUUAAAGAGCGAAAAAAAAAAAUCCAGAUGGCUAUCAAUAUUUUUAAAGAAUUUAUGUAUUUGAAAAUUACGUAAAAUUACUAUAAAAUAACAUAAUUAACAAUUUGGAUGUUUAAAAAAUAUAUUCAAAAAAAUUUCGAUUAAAGAAAAACGUGGUUAGCUUUCAAAAUUUCGAUAUGCUAUAUAAAUUGAGACGAAGACAUUUUAGGCUAAUGACUAAGCUUUUCCCUCUUUUCCUGGUAGCGCAAUUGGAGCUUAUAGUAAGUUGCAAGGUCGUUUGGUAGAGUGUAUUAGGAUAAACAAAACAUGUAUUAAGUGUGGUAUUAUUUAGUAUUUUGUUUUGUAGCAAUUUUGAGAUAAUAUAUAACUAAUUCAUGUAUUAGUUAUACACCCUAUUUGGUAUUAUAGUGCGUAUAACUAAUUCAUUUUAUUUGCUGGUAUUAAUAGUACUAGUUUAACCACACGUGCCUCGCACAUGUACGGUGAUUUUUAAUGAAGUUCAAAAAGUUCAAAUCACUUUUCAAAGAUCCUUCACAUAAUAUAAUAAUGUAAACAUAACAUAUAUUUUAUUGUAAGCACAUAUAUAUUUUAUCACCAGAAAUUUUAAGUGGUUAAUGAAUCAUCAGUUUUACAUUUGUCAGGCAGUACCUCAUUUCCUUGUUGCUAGAGGCUACGAAAGACACAUCGAUUUGAACCAUAUUUGUAGUAUGAUUAUUUUUAUUUUAUUUUUCUAUAUUUAAAAUCUUUCCUUAUUUUUAAAGUUAAAUCUUUAAAAAUCCUUGAUUACUUACUUAAAACUUUUAAAACUUUGGUACUUCUUACAUUUUUCUUAUUCUAUCACUUUCAUAUUUAUUUCUUGAUUUUCAGAUCUUCUUAAAAUUAGAAUUAGUUGAUUUUGAAUUCUUAAACUGAUGAAAAAUGUAUUAUUUGUUAUUAGUUCAGAUGACUUCUAAUCAGAAAAAGGUUUUACUAUAAAUAUUUAAUUAAUUUUCAGCUCUUAAAUAUGAGAAAAAUAGUGAAAAGACUAUUUUGUUUAAAAUAGAGACUUUUAAUAAAGGGAAACAAGUUCAAACAAUAUUUUUAUAAGGUCCUUCACACUUUUAAUAUGAUAUAGAUAUAAGGUUUAAUACCAUGAGGUAAAGACAAAAAUAGUCUUCAAAUUCCCUUAACCAUUUUGUUUAUUUUCUUUCUUUUAUGUUUUAUAUUUAUACUAGUGAAUUUAUUUGAAUAAAUUAGCUUGAAAUUUUAUUAUUGGCUAAUAAUAUAAGCAUACCAAUUUGCCAAUUUACUCGGACAAUUUUAUUAUGCCAAUUUAAAGAUAAAAAGGACAGUAGAGCUUAGCCAAUUACUCUAGAAUGUUGAUUUUGAGUUAAUAGCACGGUUAGUUUGGGUAUCGACUCUUUAUUUUAUAUUUGAUCUCUCGUUUGAGAAUUAGGCAAAUUUUGCAAAAGGGAUAAAAGGGGAGGGGGUGUUUAAUUUAUUGAAAAUGAUUCUUUUUUUGAAAACAACAUCUCCAUUGAGUCAAGAAAUUCAAAAAUAACCUAAUAGUGUAGUUCGUUUACAUUUAUGGAAUUCUAAAUUAAUCACGAGGGUCCUAUCGGAAACUUGACAUUUUUGCUAAGUUGAUGGUGUUGGUGAAACUGCUUAAGCAACCAAUUGAUCGCUAAAGCGAAAGCUGCUUAAGUGGCCAAAGGGUCAUUUUAGAGUCCAACCAAUGUCAGAUUCAGUAGCUUAAGCGGGCCCCUUGACGCUUCAGUAAAGAUCGCUUAAGCGAAGACCUACCUUAUGUGGUAUGAUCGCUUGCAAUGACAUGAAAUUGUGAAUUUUCUAUUUUUAUGUUUUUUUGAGUAUUAUUCCUUCUCCAUAGUUGCUAUAUGUUAUUUACAGGUUCCGAGGUGGUUGGCAUGAUUUUUGAUGCAAUCGGGGAUGAUUUGUGUGAAUUUAUAGUUUUUAGAGGCUUAAAAAGUCAUAUGGUUGACUUCGGUCAAUAUUUGUUGUUCUGAGUGUUAGAUGUCAAAACAAACUAUGCUAGCAGAUCCAAAACAAACUAUGCCAUCCGAUCCAAAAUAUCAAAUUUGAAUUAGUAGCGGGGUUGGUUCGGAUUCGAAACUUUUAUAUGUCAUUUUGAUCAUUGGUUUGGAAAAUAGUAAAAGGGGUCUCGGGGAUUAAUUUUAUGAAAAUAAUUUUUUUACAAAAAUUCAACAUUGUCAUUGAGUCUAGAAUAUUGAAAUUAGCAUAGUAGCAUAUAUGAUUUACUUCUACCAGAUCUCGAAUGAAUUUCGAGGGUCAUUUGGAGACAUUAUUAACUUGGCUUUUGCUGCUGGUGUAGCAUUUUUUGGUGCAUUAGAUCUUUUAUCGUGAUUACUUGAACAUGUGUCACGAUCGUGGAACUUGAUGGCUCCCUUUAUAGCAAUCAUGUGGUGGUGGUAUCGCGAUAGCGAUGGGUAUUCAGGUGGACCGAAUCAAGUUUUGUCCUUGGCGGUCGCGAGGCCCUUCUCUCAUGAUCAGAUGACCAAAUUAAUCUUAGGUCAAUAUUUAUCCUCGUGAUCAUGAGGUGAGGCCCGCAAUCAUUGUUCACUGAACUGUAUAAAAGCCUUUCUUCAUAUUUUUCAUUCAUCUUUGGACCUUUGACUUCGAGUUUGGGCCAUUCUUGAAGAUUUCUUCACCAUCUGAGCUUCGGUAAGCUCCAAAACCAUAUUCUCACUAUUUUCCAUUGAUUAUAUCUUCAAAAACAACUUUAAAUUAAUAUUUUAAAAUUAAAAUUUUAAAAUUAAAAUUUGGGGGUUUACUGGUAAAGUUUAAAAGAGAUUUUUCAUUGAUUUGGACCACAUUUUGACAUAUUUUAUUUUUGCGUGGAUUUUCUGUUGGAGAAUGUUUUUUUAAAAUAAAAUUUUAGUUUUACCCUUUUGAUUCUAAACUCAUUUUUAGAAUCCAUUUUGGACCUGGCCUGAAUAUGAUCAAUAUGGAUAUCAUUAACUUUCUUUUAAUGCAUAGAUGUUAUAUUUGUAUGUUGUAGUUGAUUAUGUGGGGGAAGGCUCUAGGUUGAAGCACUCUAGAUCGGAAUUUCAUUGUUUUGAGGUAAGUUAUAACUUUUUUUUUUCAAAUUGAGUAGGGUAUUUAAUAAAUAAGUAAAGCAUGAUAUGGGUUAGGGUAAAUGACUAUGAAAUUUAUAUUUUGAGAUUAUUUUUAUCGUUGUGUACCCAUGUGGGGGAUUAUGUUCUGCUGUUUUGGACUUAUGAUAUCUGAUAUUGUGUAUUGCCUAUGUGAGUGCUUUAUUUGACAUCAUUGACUUUAUCUAUGCAUUUUAAUGCCUUUAUUCUAGAUAUGAUGCCUGUGUGGGGCUUAUUUUGCUAAUAUAGACCUUAUUUGAGCAUUGCUUGCUUUUAUCAUAUUAAAAAUACCCGAGUUAAAGGUUGAUAUGAUAUUAAUAAUGUCUUGCAUGCAUAUUUUAUUUUGAUGGUGCCUAAUUGCAGUUGAUAAUCAUGAAUAUUAUAUACAUGUGUGUGUUUGUGUGCGUGUGUAUAUAGGGAUUAGAUAUCAAAACAUUGAGUUGAUUGUGAGCAUUGCAUCCUCAUUCCAUACAUAUACAUUCAUGAGACACUGAUAUAAUUGAGAAACACUAUUUUUGAAAGAAAAUGAGACAUUUUAUGAAAACCCUCACCGUGAACACUAGCCAAAAAGGUGAGUUGAUAUUGAAAUUGAGAUUGAGUUAUGAGGUACAGUAUAUGAGUUGUGAACCCCCUAUGGAUUUCGCCUGGUAGCUGGGAGUUUGGUGGGUGUAUAUAGAAAGUCAUGUGAUGGCUUUCAUCAUUCAUCUUAUCCACACUGCGUUUUGCAUACACAUCUUGCUGGUCUUUUCUUAGGUUCCUUGAUGUGUACUUAGUGUCACGACCCCAAAACAAGGGUCAUGAUGGCACUUAUCAUGGCGUACCUUGGUAAGUAAGCCUAUCACCUAAACUGGUACAAAAAGAUGAAAAGACAGAAAUAUCCCAAGGUAAGGCUUCUAGAACGAAGCCAAACAAUAUAAGUGAUCAUAACAAUGCAGAAAGAACUUAUCCAAACUACCAAUCAUGCCCAAAACCAGGUGUCAAUAGUAUAAGAAUUACUAAUGAGCUCAAAUCUACUCCAUCAAAGAAGAUCUAGUCUCCAUAAAUUCCAAAACACGCUCAGGUGUCAAAAUAUCAAGUCUACCAUCUAGUUAGCUAAGACUGAACUGCUAUGUUCAAAGACCUAUCCUGGGUCAAAAGAUACGCUAAGCUACCCGUGCUAGUCAACUUUUGGCUCAGCAAAUCCUCAACCACAUUAGCCCUACCCGGAUGGUAGAGAAUAGUCAAGUCAUAAUCCUUAAGAAACUCAAGCCAACGAAGCUGCCUCAUAUUAAGAUCUCAUUGGGUGAAAAAGUACUGAAGGAUAUGAUGAAGGCUCGCCAAGCUUUUGAAGUCAAGAUAGGAGAUGAAGUUAACAAAUCCUUAAGCUUUUGAAGUCUCGCCUCACAAGCAUCAGGCCACUAAAAAGAAAUCUUCUUCUGGGUCAACUUGGUCAAUAGAGCUACAACGGAUGAAAAACCCUCAACAAAAUGAUGAUAAUAACCUGCCAAGCCAACAAAACAUCGAAUCUCAGUGGGCGAAGUAGGUCUAGCCCAAUCCAAAGAGCUGCAACCUUAUAUGGAUCAACUAUAAUACCUUCCGUAGUCAUCACAUGACCCUACAAAGAAACAGAGUCCAGCCAAAACUCAUACUUAGAAAACUUAGCAUACAACUUCUCAUCUCUCAAUCUCUGAAGCACAUUUCACAUGUGCUUUUAUGCUCAACCUUACAAGCAAGACAGGCGCACCCUAAGGUGAAACACUAGGUCGGAUUUAUCCCUUAUCCAACAAUUCCUGCAAUUGAUCCUUCAGUUUCUUCAACUCUAUUGGGGCUAUCCUAUAAGGAGGAAUAGAAAUGGGCUUGGUGCCCGACUCAACAUCAAUAGCGAAAUCAAUAUCUUGAUCUGGAGGCAUAUAAGGCACGCCUGUAAGAACACAUCCAUAAACUCAUGGACAAUACGGUCAAAAUCUAAGAAAGAAGAAGAAACAACACUGGUGUUACGAAUAUAGGCCAAGUAAGAUAAAUAUCCCCUCUUAACCAAUAUACGAGCCUAAACUUAGGAUAUAUCCUCUUAGGACCCAAAUGAAGUGCACCCUUCCAAGAAAUCCUUGGCAUACCCAACGAAGCUAAAGUCAUAGUCUUGGCAAAACAAUCUAAGAUAAUAUGAUAAGGAGCCAACCAAUCCAUGCCUAAGAUAACAUUAAAAUUGACCAUGUUUAACACAAGCAAGUCUACCAAAGUCUCACAUCCGGCAAAAGUCACAACAUAAGAUCGGUGCAUUCGAUCCACCACUAAAGAAUCAUCUAUCGAGGUAGAUAUAUGAAUAGACAUAGGAAUAGGAUCACUAACAGAAUCAAACCCAAAGAAAAAUACACAUACACAUAGAAGAAAGUCAAUGGGGAUAAUAUCGGUAAUCAUAAUACCAAAAACCUCUGUAUUAGGUCUGGCUGGUAUAGCAUAAUACUGACCACGACCACCAAUUACCUAGGUGGACCCACCACCACCACCAUGGACUCCACCAUCUUUACGUAUCGCACCUCUGGUAGAACCCCUACCUCUAAUAACUGAAAUAGGAGUAGCCCAAAUCACCCAACGAGGAUGGUCCCUAUCCAUAAGGCCAAUAUUAACACACAUACAACAACCUCUAUGACUAGCCUCAAUAGAAGAAGGUACAACUGGGCCUGAAUGACCAUCCUAAACUACAGAACUAGAAGAUCCACCACCUAAACUUUGUAAAGCCACCAAUGUCCUUCCAUGGUAUCCACGAGAACCUCUAAAAUCUCUACCUCGAAAGCUUUGACUCCUGAACUCACCAAAAUGUCAUGCCUUCCUAGCACCUCCCUAAAAUGCACUAAGAAUACCCUCGGUCAUCUUAGCAUGAUCUACUAUACUUUGACAAGAAAUCCCAAACACAACCAUCUGAGACAUAGCCAACUAAAGAGACCCUUUACAAACUUUUAAAUUUUCAUAGACUUAGUGGAAAUGCUAUAAUAGGAAUAUCUAGACAAGGAAUGAAAGCAUGUCUCAUACUCAGUAACUGUCAUGGAGCCCUGCUCUAAAUGAUCAAACUCGUCCUGCAUCCGAUUCAUCAAUCGGUAAGGCACGAAUCUCUCCAUAAAGUGAUCAGCAAACUGAUCCUAUGACAACUAAGGAGCAUCAACAGGCCUACAAUCGAAAAAUAAUCUCCACUAAUCUCUCACAGAAUCUCUCAACUAAUAGUAGUAUAAGCCACACCAUCCACCAAGAAAUAGUGAAACACAACUCAGAACAUAAGGCAUGAAAGAACUACACAUGAUAAAGAAUAAAAUGAGAAAAGUUUCCUAUAGAUAUUCUAUAGCCUCUCGAAGAUAGAUAUGGAUGUAUACAUACCAAUUCAUGAGACUAUUAUAUAUCUCGUUCUUACACCGUUGAGACCAAUAAAACCUAGCUGCUUUGAUACUAAUUUUUCAUGACCCAAAAACAAGGGUCAUGAUGGCACUUGUCGCGGCAUGUCUUGAAAAGUAAGCCUAUCACCAAAACUAAUACAAAAAAAGAUAGAAAUAUCCCAAGGUAAGGGUUCUAGAAUAAAGUCGAACCAUAUAAGUAAAAAUAACAAUGCAGAAAGAACUUGUCCAAAAUACUAAUAAUUCCUAAAACCAGAUGUUAAUAUUGUAAGAACUACUAAUACAAUCCAGGAGUCAAAUAUAUUAGAAAAAUAACCACAAGGGAAUAAUAUUUGUCUCUAAAUACUAAUUACUAUAGAAAGAUAGAGGUGAACUCCAAACGCAUAAGUAUUAAACCGCUACAUUGGAAGCUCCAACAAUCGGCCGAGUUAAACAAGAUGAAGUGCACUUGAGCUAGGAAUUGCACCGAGAGAGCACAGUAGACAUGAGUACGGUCCACUUGUACUCAGUAGGUAUCAUAGGCCGACCAAGCAAAGUAGUAAAUAAAGCAUACAAAAUAUACAAUAAGAGCGUGUCACCUGCAAUUAGAAAAUAUCCCACAACGGUAGCCCACACUGCUUGCACUAAUAGUUCUAAUAUAUCACACAUUUACUAAGAUAGAGCAUGAGUGUUCAUCAUAGCACAUAUUAGUAGAACAAGGGGGAACAUGUAUAUAUAAAAUCAUCAAAUAUAAGUAAAAGAAGAUAUGACAAUUACAUAGAUAGAAAAUCAAUACAGCAAUACAGAACAAUAUAAACACAAUAAAGUAAGUGAAAUGUAUAUGAUGAUGAUGAUGAUGAUGCAUGAGGUUAUCGCACAACUUUUGAGAUCAUCACACAAUCCCUGUAUAGCUAAAGCUUCCUAACGUAGGACCCAUAGGGGGUUUAUCAACCCAUAUACAAUCCAUAUAUCUCAUAACUCCUUUCUAGAACAUCUCUCAAAAAGGGUUUUAUAAGGUGUUACAAUAUCUCUUCCCCAGCAUAUCCCUCGUGGAGGGUUUUGAAAAGGUGUUGCUAGUGUUACUCAGGUAUUGCCAUGAUGGUACCAAUAUUUCAUUAAUGAGUAUGAUAUGAGGAUUUAAUGCUCAAAACCAAUCACAAUGAGUAUUUCCAUAACCAGUCACAAUAAAUAUUUCUACAACCACUCACAAUUAUACAUUUUCACAACCACGUGAGUCAAUAUUCACUCAUUAUUUGUGUUUCAUCCAUGAAUUUCCAUAUGUAUCAUAUAACAACAAGUAUGAAUGUAUCACAAUACCAAUGGUAUCACAUUAGAAAUUUCAACAACAUAAUACAAUCAUUCAUAUAUAUAUUCAAGGCUAUCAAUAUCACAUAUGACCCCAUACAGUCACACAUAUCAUAUAAUAUCUCAAUAUUGAUAAUUACAUCACAUAUAGGCCCCCACACGGGAACAAUACAUAGAUAGUCAUUUUUCAUGAUUAGUUCCCACCCUUAACAUGCAUUUUUUACCAUCAUUUACUACCCAACCUAGUCUGAAAGAGUUAAGCCAUAACCUACCUCAAAAGCCAAAAUUGGUCCUCUACAUUUCAAACCCACGACCUUAAUUUUCAUCAAUAAUUCAAAAAUCCAUUAAAAACAUCAAAGAUGGAAUCUACACAUCAAAACAAAACCAAUGAGACCCAUAUUAUCUAUUUUAGUUUGGGGUCAAAACGGACCCCCAAAAUGGGUUUCCAAAAAAAAUAGGUAAAAUUAAAACUCUACUUCAAAAAAUGUUCCCCUUAUUUUUAGAAAUUUACAACUGAAAACCCAAGUCAAAUUGAGUAAAAAUCGAGGUUCAAAUCAAAGAAAAAUUAUUUUUGAGCUUUACCGGGUAGAAUCUUUGAAAUCCGGGUUAAAAUUAUGAAUCAAAGUUGUUUUGAAGGUUAAAUUGAUGAAAAACUAAUAAUUAUAAGAUAAAAACAUUAUUCAAGUUAAAAGAAGUGAAAUUGGGGUUUAACAUCAAGCCCUAAGAUUUUUGGAUUUUUGAGAAAUUAAUCAAGAAAUUACUAAGAAAAAUAUGAAUUCUUACCUUAAAUCCAUAAUAGAAUAAAGAAAUAGAUGUUAAUUUAGAUUCCCAAGCUAUCGCAAGCUUCACUUUUAAGAUCUCACAUUAUUUUAGGGUUCAACUCUCAAGAGGAAGGUGAAAGAAUGAGCAAAAAUGGGAUUAAAAAGGGCUAUUUAUACUAUACUCGGGUUACCAAAAAUUUAACACAUAAAUUGCAAUACUCUAUCCCGAUUUACCCUUUAUGUAUCUCGUUGUACCAUUAACUUAGUGCACCAGAUAUUUUCUAAGUCGAAGAGGGCUUCGACGGGGGGCCCAAAAUUCGAUCGGAGUUCGAUAUACACAAACGUACUAUGUAACCACUCUAAAUUCGAUGCUCUGAAUUCAAUAGAAAUAUCAGAAUUUAAAAAAACAUCAUUUUCACAUAGUUGACCCCCGAAACCCAAAAUCUUAAUUUUCCAAAUCGAGGAUGAAAAUGAGAUUUAAAAGCCAUAAAAUCACACCAAACAUGUUACCACCAUAAAAUUGACUUUAUGGAUCUCCUGGCUAGGUCAGAUUUUCCAUCCAAGGUCAUUUUGACCAAAUGUGGAUCCCACACUCAUAUUUCUAAUUUUUCAAAUUUUCGACCAAUAGGUCAAAAUGAGCUCGAGUGCACCAGGACCUAAACCAAAGGUCUACCUAGCCUAAAAUCAAUGUUCUGGAGAUGUUGGCAUAGUCCUUUCGGCCAUCUGUCAUGUGGAUCAAAAGAUAUUCUUAUAAGUCUAAAAUAAGGAUCUCGAAACCAUCAACAACUACUAUAUCACAUUAAUUGUACCAAAAUACAUUGAAAAUCACUCCAAUCACUCCCACACCCCAAAAAUGCGAUAAUGCAACUACGGGGAAGGGUAAAAUAGUUAAAUCACACAAAAUCAUAAAUUUCAUCAAUAUUUUAGAUUGUUACACUUAUUUUCAUUGUAUUCUUCUUAUAUGUCUAUGUUGUUAUGUUUUUGUGUGCUUAUAUAUAUUAGAAUUGUUGAUGGAGACAGUGUGAGUUACUGUUUGAGACUUUUUUGCUUACAGGUAAAGUGCUCAUAAUAUAUUUUACUUAUCUUGUUUUCUACUUUGAUCAGUCGACACCAUACUCACCCUUAUUGUUCCUUUUUGUUGUUGGUCCUAGCUUGAGUAUGAUUUAUCGUGCGUUUUUGAGAUUGUGAUCGCGGUACUGGAUUGCUCUAUUGAUUAAAGUUGACUUUUGGACUUUCUCUUACCUUAUUAUGUCUUUACUUGACUUCAGAGAUAAACUUUGUAUUUUUCUUGUAUUUAGAUGAUGUAUUAGUUUACACUUUGACACCACUUCUUAGGAUUUUUAUGUUAUGUUAUUUUGAUUCUCGUCUCUUUAUAUCUUGUGUUUGUUUGACUUUGUUCUAGUAGUCUCACCUUAGUUAUUUUUUUUAAUUUUCUUUAUUAGUUUGAGUGAUCGACUUACUUAUCAAGGUUGGUCCACGAUAAGUGCCAUCAUUACCUAGUUUUUUUAAUCGUGACAAAUUAGUAUCAAAGCUAUCAAAAGCAGCCAGGUUCACCGAUCUCAUAAGUGUAAAAGGAAGAUAUCUAGUAGAGUCUCAUGGAUUAGUACGUAUCUAUCUUCAAUAGGCUAUAAGAUAUAUUUAGGAAAAAAUUCUCUAUUUUGAUACCUAGACGUGCAGGUUAUUUUUACCCAGUGUUUUACUCUUUCAUACGCAGAUGGUGAGUACUAAAUCUUGUGAGGAAGGGGAUGUUAAGCCAGCACCCGAGGAUAGAGCUCAGACUAGAGAGAUGCAUCAGUUGUGGAUGGCACAGAGGUAUAAAAUGGUUAUGAAUAUCUUCCUCUAUUAGAGUAGUGCUAGGGCACCUCCCUCAAGCUCGAGUUUGAGCAUGUAGGACACGUGAAACCUGAUCAGGUUCCACAAGGUACUACUACCCCAAUUCUAGAAGGUCUAUUGAUUUGAUUAUUGACAAUUUGGAGGGUGUUCCCUUGAGUGCACCUAGUGUUCCACCAAUUCUGUGUAUGGUACACCUAUCAAAGGCAGUGUCUGCUUAUGGUGUUCCUUUGACUCCAAGUUGGUUCCUUCAUCCGUACCUGCAUCUGCUUAUUGUAUUUAUCAAACUUUAAGUGGUGUUACACCCUCUAUUCUAAUGUUUAAUCAUGGUAUUCCUAGUUCAGGGGUACAACCUUUAUCUAUAGUACCCCCAUAUGGAUUCUCAUCCUGCUAGACUUACUAUCUUUCCAGUUACUUUGGGUACAGUUAUGUCUUCUGAUGAUCAAAAGAGGUUAGAGAGGUUUAUUCGCUUGGGUUCACCCAAGUUCAGUGGUGCUACUGGCGAGGAUGCCUAUGAGUUUUUGGUUGAUUUCUAGGAGAAGUUACAAAAUCUUGGAUCCCUUGAGUCUCAUGAAGUUGUUUAUACUACCUAUCAAUUGACGGAUAUGGCUAGGAAUUGGUGAAGGUCGUUUGCUAGUUGUACACCUUUGGGUUUGCUUGCUAUGACUUAGACUUAGUUUUUUGAGGCCUUUUUGGAGAGAUUUAUACUGUAUAGACUGAGGAAUCAGAUGUGUGAUGAGUUUGAUCACUUGGAGAAGGGCUCCAUGACUAUGAUAUGAGGCUCAUUUUUGAAGUGCUAUAUAAAUAUAGCACUUUCGAUGCUUAAAAUGAGAAAAAUAUGCAAGAUUCAGAGUUUUUUUUUGUUAGAUGUGAUGCAUUUUAGGUAUGUUUUGUAGGAAAUCAUGUUGUGGAUGUGAAUAAGAUGAAAAAAAGGCAUUUUUGGCUACUUAUGGGAGAAAAUAUGGAUGUUUGAGACACUUUUCGGCUUGCUAUGAUCAAACCAUGUGCAGGAAUUGAAGAUAAGCUAAAAAGAUGACUCCCGACACUUGCUAAGUCAACAUGUGGACCGCAAGUAGUACAUGUGGACUGUAUGUAGGGAANNNNNNNNNNNNNNNNNNNNNNNNNNNGGAAAGAAAGUUUUAGAAGUCCAAAAUCACGAGAGCUGACCUGCAAGAUUUUUUGGUCCUAGCACUUGCAAUCAUCACUUGUGCCCAUCCUGCAGGCCGCAAGUACCACUUCCACCCGGGGUUAGGGAGAAAUUAGGGACCAUAAGUGGCCACCGACCCUUUUUUCUCCUAUUUCGUUUGGGCUUUGAUUUUAGGGUUUCCUCAUGUACUAUAGAUACCCCUUAUGUGUUUUUUAGUAGGAGUUACACACUCUUGAUACUUACAAACAUAUUUUUAUUCUGAGAUUCGAUCUUGAUCUUUGAAUUCUCUUGUAUUGACUUUACUUGAUUAAUUCAGUUAUAGUUUUGGAUUUUUACUUCUUAUUAUUAUGAUUUCAAUCGAGAAUGUUGUAAAUUACUUCACAAGCAUGAGUGGCUAAGAACCCAUAGCUAGGGUUGUCAAAAUUCCGGUGGAUUGGUGAAGUAGAGAAAGUGCUAUUGUUGUUCAGAACCGAUAUUGUAUUAUGUUCACUUUAAUAGUUAUUCCAGUAGUUGUAAAUGUUAGGAUCCCGCCAAUAUUAUUUCUACUUACUCCAAAAGAGGAGUAGUGACUAGGAAAAGAUAAUUACGACAACAAUUUGGAGUUUAACGGUCGAUCCACGCUACUAUGUACUAUCUAAGUAAGAUGGUUAGAUUUUAUCUAAUAACUAGAGACUCAAAAGGUAAUAGUUAACUGGGAUCAAGAUAAGGGUUAUUAAAGCGGCAUCCUGAGACUCAAAAGGUAAAGGGUUAAAUCCUUCUACUCAUCAAAAAUAUUGUAGAAUGUACAUAACUUAUCGAUUCUACAUGCAAGGUAUUGAGUUCAUUUAACAAAGCACGAAUGAUUACAACCGAAGUUGAUAUUUGCUACUAGUUUGACAUUGAUACUCAAAUCCCCCCAUUUACUUUUCCAGUUCUAUCCAUUGAUUACAACAUCUAAGAGCCACAAUACAAUGUAUUCCCUUGGGAUUUGACCCCAACCUUUGUUGGGUUACUUUAUUUGGAAGCAACCUUAUCAUCUUGUGAGAGAAAGUGUAACUUGUAUGUCACCAGUUUUCAAAAUUUAUCCAAGUAUUCAACUACUAGCAUCUCUACCGAGUCUGAGAGGAUUAGAAGCUUAUGAAUGGGUUAGAUGGUGCUUAUAAGUUGGCUACAGCUCAGAUGGUAGUUUCAAGGGCUUCUUUUCAGAGUAUUAUUGAGCAUUCCAAGAUGCUUGAGUAUAUUAUCCAGACUACUCAGGAAGGCACCAAUAAGGUACACUGUCAUGGUAAAUUUAGUAGACACACCUCCCGAGGUAGAGAUUUCUCGAGUAGAGGUUUCUAUAGUUAUCAUGGUAAGCCGAUUCAGGACUCUUUGUAGGAAUCAAGUGGUAGACCUUCACGUUCAACAACUUUGGGUAGCCAGACAUUAGGUUAGGGUAGUCGUCAUAUUUUAGUCGAACCCCUUUCCCAUUCAAUGACCAGUUCAUUAAGGAAUUUAAACAUGACCUAAAGGGUUCGACAAUCUAAAGAGGUAUAAUAUGAGUAUAACUAGUCCAUCCCCAAUAUGACAUCAAAAUUAAUGAUGUCUAACUCUAUCAGAUUUACCAGAUUUUCUCUACCACCAACAAAAACCACACAACCCUUAUAGACUCUUUUAGUAACCACAGAGUCACCCACCGAGGUUAAAACAAAAGGGUAUCGAGGAUACACUCAGGACCAAAACUAAAAUGCACAGCCACAAAUGGGGUCAAAUAAGAAAGGGUAAACCCUGGAUCAAGAAAGCAAUGAACAUCACGAGAAAAGAGUGCUAACAUACCAGUGACAACAUCGAGAGAUUUCUCAAAGUCUUGGUGGGUAUCAAGAGAAUACGAGUGAUUUAGGCUAGUGCCUGUACCAGAAGUAGAAGGAACAACCUUUGGUGCAAGAGUUGAUGAAGUGGCAACAAGAUUCAUAUUUGCCCCUGAAUCAACCUUAGAAGGACAAUCCCUCUGCAAGUGACCAAUCUGUCCACAUUUAAAACACUUGUUUUUCCCCUUUUCACAAAAUCCACGAUGCACCUGCCCACAAAAUUUACAAAAAGGAUAUGAUGGAGCAGAUUGAACCCCACUAACCUGAGAUUGGGCACCCUGUGCCCUAAAUCCACUAUCAUGCUGAGAACGAAGGUCACCCAACGGCUUCAGAUAAGGAGCACUAGCCGUUUAGUAGGAACCAAAACUCCCCAUUUCUUCUUAGAUCACUUCGAGAUAUCUCUACCACUCUACUGUUGACCUCCACCUUGAUUAGAAAAUCUAAACUUCUUAUGUUGUCUUUCCCCUAUCUCCUCCUGUUUUUUUCUCUUUCUUAACCUGCUGUAGAUAUACAUAUCCUUGUUCAACAAGGAAACCUUAAUCUAUAGAAUCAAAUCACGGGGCAAUUCAGAGGCAAACUUACUCAUUCUAGACCCCAUGCUAGAUACUAACUGAGGAGCAUAUCGGGAAAACUGAUGGAAUUUCAAGGCAUACUUCUUGACCAUCAUCCCAUCUUGCUUCAAAUUAAUAAGCUCUUUCACUUUCACCUCCCUCACCUCUUGAGGAAUGAAAAGGUACAGAAAAGCACUAGAGAAAUUAUCCUAUAUUGCGGAUUCGACAUCAUCUCCCCUAGAUUAUUUCUAUUUCUCAUACCAUUGGUAUGCUACAUUAUUCAGUUGAUAAGCAGUGAAUUCUACACCCUCCAAAUUAGUGGCAUGCAAAACACAGAAGAUCUUCUCCAUCUUACUAAUAAAACCUUGAGGAUCCUUCCCAAACUUAACACUAGUGAACACAUGAGGGCUAAACCUUAUAAACUGGCCAACCCUUUUGGCCUCAGAAGAUAGAGUAACAGAAGCUACAUGUUCGGACUGAGAAGCUACCAAUUGAGCCAAAAGAUGUAUAGACUGAUGAAAUUCCACAUUCAAUACAUCAACUUGAGGAGCUCGAGGAGGACUAGAGGGGACCAGUGGAAAUCCAAGAAGGAAGUCAGGAACUGGACCCCUAGAUCGGGUCUAUACCCCAUAAACAGGGCAUGUCCUAUCAACAUUGUCCUCAAUUAGGACAGAGGAAUUUCUAUGAGCUUCAUAUCGUCAGAGAGGAAUGGUCUAAAAAGAAAACAAAUGGAUAUUAGAGAGACUCAAUACCUUAGACUCUAGAGCUUGAAACAAAACGACAAGAAAAGGAAACAUUCCUAAAUGUCUCGUAGCUUCUCCCGUAUAAGUGUGGUGCAAUACACACCCAUAAAAGAGACUCUACUUGACACGCCUUUGUUGGACACCCAAUGACACCAAACCUAGGAUCUAAUACUUCUUUUGUCAUGGCCCGAACUAGGGCCUGGCAGUGACGGGUAUCUCAAGUCCUACGUGGACUGAAUAUCACCCAUGUACUUGACAAAACCAAUCAAUUCCAGUAUCAAUGCCAAUACCAAUACUAAUACCGACACUAACCAUGCCCACAGUAGUCCGACAAAUUCUUUAAUCAAAAUUAAAGAAUAUCAAGUUGGGACAUGCCCCCGACCGUAGACAAAACCAAUACUAAAGGAAUAAUAAAGUCAUACAGAAAUACAUAACAUGAAAUAGAGUCCUCCGAAGUAUAGAAGCUCAUCACUUCAGUCUGACUCAAAAGCUGUCCCUGAAUCACCUAGUCACUGAGCAACAGGAGUGGAAGUAUGACUAAUUCCUAUAUCGCGUGGGGAUACAACAUCCGAAAUGGUUAGUGGGGUGAACACUAACAUGUAACUUAGGGAUAAGGAUAACAUAAUGAUAUGAUCAACAGUUUAAAAUCAUUCACAAGCUAGCACACAUAAUCAAAUGCAAAUACAUAAGUAUAUGUAUCACAUGUUGGGAUAGAGAACAAGGCUUAACAUGCUUUACAAAAUUUUAACCUAGAUUUUGUUGCUCAACCAUCAUAUAAUAUUACACACGGGCUAUAUGGGACCCAUCUUUCACCCCCUGGUCGUGCCCCAGUGCGUGUAGUCAUACAAACCAGAGAAUAAUCUCAUAUAUAUGCACAUGGGGGACUUGAACCCUCCAACAUAUACCAAGGUGACUUAAGCACCUGAUUAUUUAAUAAUUUAUGAAGGAAUCGAACCUCCCUAAUAAUAAAAUAAUAAUAAGGGCGAAUCGAACCUCCUCGGUUACUUUGACCCCCUCGUUGGAAAAUGCGGUUUCCAUUAUCGAUCGCUCAGACCUCCACUUUCACGACUCAGCUACAUUACCGUUAUUAGAGUCCAAUUAUAACUAUUGUCACACAUUUCCAUUUAAUGAACCAUAAUACAAUUUUAGCCAUACAUUAUUGGUAUCGUUAUACCAACUACACUUGCAAGGUAACACAUUAUGCCAAAACAAUCCCAAUUAACUUGGGGAGAACAACUCCCUUUCUCCAUUUAUACAUAUUGGGGAACACCAACUCUUGUUGUACAUUAAAUCAUACUAUUGUAUUUCAAAUACCUUUUUAUAUCAUGCAAUAGUUCGAGACUAGUUAAAUUUUACAAAUUCCCACAGUUCUCAUAACUAAAACCAAUUUCACAUUAUGGGGUUAGGGUUGUAGCCACUUCAAAAGUCACAAGUAUGGAAAAAUCACAAUUUCCUAGUUUAUUCACCCUACCCAUGCACCCACAAGUUCAAAACCACAUUGAAAGCAUGAAAAUCAUGUAUAUAUGAACUAUGAGAAACAUUGUUCAAUUCAUAACAUUCAAAACCCCAACCUUUGGUUUCAAAAUCAAAACAAUAAUCUUAUGAACCGUACUUUAAAUCACAUGAUUUUACAAAAUAAACAAUGAGGGAAGAGUAACAUGCCUGUAAUAGUAAGAUGUAUGGAGAGAAAUCCCCCUUGAGAGCCCUAAUUAAUCAACCUUUUAAAACCCUAGCCUUAACUUGAACAGAGAGUUUGAGAGAUAAUUUAAGAGUAUUCUGAGAGGUUAUUUGAUGUCUUUGUGAUAGCUAAUGAUGCCCUAAGGAAGUUAUAAGACGUGGGUUUUAAGUUGGAAAAGAGGAAAAAUGUCCAGAAUGCCCUCAACUGAAAUGCUGGAAAAAAGAUGCCUUUGAUUAUGAGUCAACCCUUUGACUUGUACCCACACCUUAAGACUCUUGACCACGAGUCAUAACCAAGACAGUGACUAGGAACCCCAUACACUGCCUACCUUACGACUAAACCAACCCACUCGUAAUAAGAUUUUACAAAUCCUAAGGUCAGUCGUGAGCAACACAGAACCUAAAUGAAUUGAAAAUUGUGCAUCCUAUGAUUUGAACCUACGACUCAUAACAUAUCCUCACAGCUUAUAGUAAGACACUCGUACUCAGAGUAGAACCUUUCCAAUAAGUUUCUAAUUUGGUUAUGACCAGGGCCCUAUGAAUCGUAACCACAUCUCACGACUCAUCACCAUGAGUUGUGACCAAGGUAAUGAGCCCAAAGAUUAAGAAUUUUCAUAGGCUAAAAUCUGAGGUGUUUCAAUUCUCCCCCACUUGAUCAUUCGUCUCCGAAUGAUAGGACAAGGCAAUUGCUAGGAUAAUUUGACUCUAUAUUCCCAUAAUCUUACCUUUAACAAACUUAAAAAAUAAAGACGCAAAGGAAAUCACCAUUUUCUUUAACAAAGUAAACAAACAAAGAUGUUAAGAAUAACACAUACCUUACAUACAAUUUCUUAGAGCGGGAAACAAGAAUGGAUACUUGGACUUUAUGUCCUCUUGGGCUUCUCAAGUAGCCUCUUCAACCUUGUGGUUCCUCCACAGAACCUUUACUGAAGCUAUGUCUUUCGUUCGUAAUCGAUGAACUUGCCGAUCCAAGAUCUCAAUCAGGACUUUCUCAUACUGUAAGGAAUCUAAAAUACCCACCUAUUCCAAAGGAAUAACCAUCGAAGGAUCACUUUCUCAACAUUGACAUAUGGAACACCGGGUGAAUAGAGUUCAAACUAGGAGAUAACUCCAACUCAUAUGCAAUAUUACCAACCCUCUUCAAGAGCACAUACGGGCCGACAUAUCAGGGAUUGAGCUUCCCUUUCUUCCCAAACCACAUUAGUCCCUUCAUGGGAGAUACCUUCAAGAGUACCUAAUCACCAACAUCAAACUUUAACUCCCUACACCUCACAUCCGCAUAGGACUUUUGGCGACUUUAGGCAACUUUAAGUUUAUCCCGAAUCAUCUUUACCUUCUCUAUCACUUGGUGAACCAAAUUCGGGCUAAACAUUUCAGCCUUCCCAAUCUCGAACCGCACAAUAGGAGAUAUAUAUAUCCUACCAUACAACACCUCAAAUGAAGCUAUCCCAAUACUGGAGUUGUAGCUAUUACUAUACGCAAACUCUAUAAGAGGCCCAUGAUCAAACCAACUACCACUAUAGUCAAUCAUGCAAACAUGAAACAUGUGUUCCACUAUCUGAAUAGUACUUUCUGCUGAACAUCCAAUUGAGGGUGGAAAGAAUUACUAAGGCUCACCUUAGUUCCCAAACCUUUUUGAAACAAAUGCUAAUAAUGUAAUGAGAAGUUAGUAUCACAAUAUGACAUAAUAAAAACAGGUUCCCCAUACUACUUCAUCAUCUCUUAGAGGAAUAACCUCGCAUAAUCCUCUGCCAAAUAAUUAGUCCUUACUAGUAAGAAGUGAGCAUACUUGGUCAUCCAAUCCACAAUGACCCAAAUCAAAUCAAAUUGAUUAAAGACCGAGGAAGAUUAGUAAUGAAAUCCAUAUUAAUCACUUCCCACUCCACAUAGGCAACACAAUCUCUUAAGUCAAUCCAUUAGUCCUCAAGUGCUCAACCUUCACUUGUUGACAUACCAUGCAUUUAACCACUUAACUGGCCAUAUCACGCUUCAUAUUGUUCCACCAAUAAAUCUCCUUAAGAUUAUGAUACAUAUUCGUCAAAUAGGAUGAAUGACAUAAUGCGACUCACUUAACCUAUCUAUGUUGAUAACACAUAAUCUGCAUUGGUACCUUAAGAUACCAUCGCCACUAAUCUCAAAAGCUAUAACCUUUUGCUGACCUACAUAUCCCUUAAUCUUCAUUAAAAUAGGAUCCAAAAUCUACUUCUCCUUUAUCUCUAUAACAAGGGAUACUUCUCCACCUUUUGCAUAAACACACCACCAUGGUUAGAAUCCAAGAGAUGAACUCCAAGGUUAGGGAAACGGUAAAUAUCUUUUACCAACUCCCAUUUAUCCUCAUUCACAUAAGCUAGACUCCCCAUAGAUAACUUUCUAAGAGCAUCAACAACCACAUUAGCUUUAUCUGGGUGAUAGUGGAGACUCAUGUCGUAAUCUUUCAGCAGCUCAAGCCACCACUUCUUCCUGAGAUUCAACUCCUUCUAGGUGAACACAUAUUGUUGGCUCUUAUGAUCAUAAAAGAUAUCUACAUGGAAUCCAUACAAAUAGUGAUGCCAGAUCUUCAAUGCAAACACCACAACCAACAACUCCAAGUCAUGAGUCAGGUAAUUUCUCUCAUGAACUUUCAACUACGUAGAAGCAUAGGUCACCACCUUGCCAUGCUGUAUCAACACACAACCAAGUCCCACACAGGAUACAUCAUAAUAGACAACAAAACCUACCUUCAGGCAGAGCUAAAACUAGAGCUGAAGUCAACUUAUCUUUUAGUUUCUCAAAGCUAUACUCACAAGCGUCAGACCAUAAGAACUUCUUUUUUUAUGAGUCAAUUUAGUCAAUCGGGUAGCUAUAGUUAAGAAACUCUCCACAAAUGUACCAUAGUAACUAGAUAAACCCAAGAAGCUCUAAAUAUCGAUUGGAGUUAUGGGCCUAGGCCACUUUUUAACCACUGUAACUUUCUAUGGAUCCACUAUGAUACCUUUACUAAAAAUGACAUGACCUAGAAAAGUAACAGUUUUCAACCAGAAUUCACACUUUGAAAACUUAGCAUACAAAUACUAAUCUUUCAAGGUUUGAAAUACGAUAUGGAGGUGAUCAACAUGAUCUGCCUCACUCUUGAAAUAUACUAGAAUAUCAUUUAUAAACACAAUAAUGAACAAAUUCAAAAACUGACGAAAGACCCUAUUCAUCAUGUCCAUAAAUGCCGCCGAGGCAUUAGUCAAACCAAAAGAUAUGACUAAGAACUCAUAAUGACCAUACCACAUUCAAAAGGCAAUCUUAGGAAUAUCUACUUCCCUAAUCUUUAGCUAGUGAUAAUAAGACCUAAGAUAAAGCUUAGAGAAAUAUCUAGCACCUUGACGCUGGUCAAACAAAUCAUCAAUUCAAGGAAGAGGACACUGCUCCUUAAGCUUCUUCAACUCAGCUAGAGCUACUAUAAGGAGGGAUAAAGAUAGAACGAGUGUCCAGAAUAAGGUUAAUCCCAAAAUCAAUCUCCCUAUUGGGAGAGAUAUUAGGAAGAUCAUCAAGAAAAACCUCGAGAAAUUCACUAAUCAAGGGAACACAUAUCAAUGAAAGACCUUUCAAGUUAGAAUCUUUAACCUAAACCAAAAUAUAGAGACAUUCCUUGGAAAUCAACUUCCGGGCUCUAAGAUACGAUAUAAACCUUCCCUUAGGAACUAGAGAACUCCCUUCCACUCAAUGACCGACUCAUUAAGGAAUUUACAUUUGACCUUAUGGGUCCGACAAUCUAAGGAAGCAUAACACGAGUGCAACCAGUCCAUCCCUAAUAUGACAUCAAAAUCGACCAUGUCUAACUCUAUCAGAUCUAUCAGAGUUUCUCUACCACCAAAAAAUACCACAUACCCCUAUAGACUUUUCAAGCAAUCAUAGAUUCACCCAUCGGGGUUAAAACAUAAGAGGGAUUGGGGAUACACUCAGGACCAAAACCAAAAUACAUAGUCACAAAUGGGGUCACAUAAGAAAGGGUAUCCCCUAGAUCAAGCAAUCAAUACACAUCGAGUCAUAAUAUACUAGUGACAACAUCGAGAGAUGUCUCCAAGUCCUGGUGGGUAGUAAGAGCAUACAAGUGAUUUGGGCUAGUGCCGGUACCAGAAGCUGAAGUAACACCCUUUCCUGUAGGAGGUGAUGAAGUGGCAACAAGAAUCUUAUUUUCCUCAAAGCAACCUUAGAAGGAAAAUCCCUCUAGAAGUGACCAAUCUGUCUAAAUUUAAAACACUUGUUACUCUCCUAUUCACAAAACCCACGAUGCACCUGGCCCCAAAAUCUAUAAGGAGGAUAUGAUGGAGCAGACUAAGCCCAACCAAAAUAAUAUUAGGCUCUCUGUGCAUAAAUCCACUAUUAUACAAAGAACAUUGGUCACCCAACGACUUCAGAUAAUAAGCACUAGCCGUAGAGUAGGAACCAGAACUCCGCCACUUCUUCUUAGACCACUUUCCACCAUCUCUACCAAUCUACUAUUGACCUUCACCCUAAUUAGGAAAUCUAAAUUUCUUAUUUUUUCUUUCCCCUAUCUCCACCUAUUUCUUAUUCUCUUCCUCAACCUGCUGCAUAUACACAGCCAAUCUGGAGAUGUCUAUUUUCUUAUUCAAUAAGGCAGCCUUACUCUUUAGAAUCAAAUCAUGGAAUAAUCCUGAGGCAAACUUCCUCAUUCUAGCCCUCAUGCUAGACACUAGCUCGGGAGUAUAUUGGGACAAUUGAUGGAAUUUUAAGGCAUAUUCAUUGUCAUUCUUCCUUGUUUCAAAUUAACAAACUCUUUUGCUUUCACUCUCAACUCCAGAGGAAAGAACCGAUCUAGAACAGCACUAAAAAAAUCAUCCCACAGUGCAGAUUCGACAUCAUCUCCCCUAGGACGUUCCCAUUCCUUCUACCAUUAAUAUGCUAUAUCCUUCAGUUAAUAUGCAAUGAAUUCUACACCCUCCAUAUUAGUUCCAUGAUUAAUAUAGAAGAUAUUCUCCAUCUCAUAAAUGAAACCUUGAGGAUACUUUUCAACCUUAACACCAGUGAACACAGGAGGGCUCAACCUUAUAAACUACCCAACCCUUGUGGGCUCAACAGAUGGAGUAACAAAAGCUACAAACACAAAAUGAGAAGCUACUAGCUGAGCCAACAUAUGAAUAAACUGAUGAAAUUCCACAUUCGGCAAAUUAGCCAGGGAAGCUCAAGAAGGACUAGAGGGGACUGUUAGAACCCCAGGAAUUAGACCCCUAAACUGAGUAUGUACCUCAUAAGGAGGGCAUGUCCUAUUAGCAUUGUCCUUAAGUAGGACAGGGGAGUUUCCAUGAGCUUCAAAUCAUUAGGGAGCUUGAUCUGAAAAGGAAACAAAUGAGAAUUAGAGAGUCUCAAGAGCUUAGACUCUAUAGCUUUAAACAGAACAAAAAUAAAGGAAAACAUUCCUAAAUAUUUUGUAGCUUCUCCAUUAUAAGUGUGGCACACUACACACUCAUAAAAGAGACUCUACAUAACAUGAUUUUAUUGACAUCCAAUGACACCAAAUCUAGGCUGUGAUAUCACCUUUGAUACGAACCAAACUAAGGCUUGGCCAUAUGGGUAUCUCAAGUCCCAUGUUGACUGAAAAUCACCUUCUAUACCUGACCAAACCAACUAAUUCUAGUAUGAAUGCCAAUACCAAUAUCAAUACUAGUACCAAUACCAACACCGCCCAUGCCCACAGUAGUUCGACAAAUUCUGUAAUCAAAAUCAAAGAAUAUCUAGUUGGGACAUGCCCCCGACCAUUGCCAAAACAAAGAUAAUAUGAAUAAUAAAGUCAUAAGGAAAUCUAUAGGAUGAAAUGGAGUACUCCUAAGUAUGGAAGCUCACCACAAGCUCACCACUUCUAUUAUACUUAAAAGCUAUCCUUCGAUCACCUAAUCAUCGCGCUGGAGGAGUGGAAGUAUGACCAAUUGGUGUAUCGCGCGGGGAUAUAACAUCCGAAGAAAUGUAGCAGGGUGAACGCUAGCAUGUAACUCAGGGAUAAGGAUAACAUAAUGAUAUGAUCAAUAGUUUAAAAUCAUUCAAAAUCCAACACACAUAAUCAAAUGCAAAUACAUAAGUAUAUAUAUCACAUGUCGGGAUAAAGAACAAGUCUUAACAUGCUUUUCAAAAUCUUACCCUGGAUUGUGUAUCUCAACCAUCAUAUAACAGUACCCAUAGGCUAUAUGUGCCCCAACUCUCACCCCUUGGCUGGGCCUCAGUGUGUGUAGCCAUACAAAUCAGAUAACUGGACAUAUAUAUGCACAUGGGGACUCAAACCCUCCACUAUAUACCAAAGUGACUUAAGCACCCGUUCAUAUAAUAAUUUAUGGGGGACUCAAACCUUCCUAAUCAUGAAAUAUUAAUAAGGGGGACUCAAACCUCUCUGGUCACUUUGACUCACGCAUCAGCAAAUAUGGUUUCUAGUAUUGAGCGCUCGGACCUCCACUUUAAUGACUCAGCUACACAACCCUUAUUAGAGCCCAAUUAAAAUAAUUGUCACACAUUCUCAUUCAAUGAACCAUAAUACACUUUUAGGCAUACAUCGUUGGUAUCGUCAUACCAACUAUACUUGCAAGGUAACACAUCAUGCCAAAAUAAUCUCCAUUAACUUAGGGAGAACAACUCCCUUUAUACAUUAAUACACAUUGGGGAACACCAACUUCCUUUGUUUAUUAAAUCAUACUAUUGUAUUUCAAAUACCUUCUUAUCAUGCAAUAGUUUGAGAGUAGUUAAUUUUUCAAAUUUCCACAUUUCUCAUAACUAAAACUAAUUUCACAUUAUGGGGUUAGGGUUAUAACCACUUCAAAAGUCACAAGUUUGAAAAAAUUACAAUUUCCUAGUUUAUUAACCAUACCCAUGCACCCACAAGGCCAAAACCCUAUUGAAAGCAUGAAAAUCAUAUAUAUGAACCAUGAGAAACAUUGUUCAAUUCAUAACAUUCAAAACCCCCAACCUUUGUUUUCAAAAUAAAAAUAGGAAACUUAUGAACCAUACUUUAAAUCAUAUGCUUUUGCAAAAUUAACUAUGAGAGAAGAGUAACACUCCUAUAAUAGUAAGAUGUACGGAGAUAAAUCCCUCCUUGGGAGGCCUAAUUGAUCAACCUCUUGAAAUCCUAGCCUUAACUUGAAUAGAUAGUUUGAGAGGGAAUUUAGGAGUGUUCUGAGAGGUUACCUGAUGCUUUUAUGAUAGAUAAUUAUUUCCUAAGGAAGUUUUAAGAUGUGGAUUUUAAGUUGGACAAGAGGGAAAAUAUCAAGAAUGCCCUCAACUUAAAAGCUGGAAAAAGACGCCUUUGGUUACGAAUCAACUCCUUGACUCAUACCCACACCUUACGACUCAUGACCAUAAGGCGUAAACAAAAUAGUGACUAGGAACCCCAUAUACUGCCCACCUUAUGACUAUGCCAACCCACUCGUAAUGAGAUCUUACGACUUAUAAGGUAUAGUCAUGAGCAAUAUAGAAUCUAAAUAAAUUGAUCACCAAACAUCCUAUAAUUUAAAACUAUGACUUGUAACUUAUUCUCAUUGCUUAUAGUGAGCCACUCGUACUUAGAGCCAAACCUUGUCACUAAUUUUAUGAUUUGGAUACUGAUGUGCUAUAGAAAUAUAACACUUUUGAUGCUUAAAACAAGGAAAAUAUGAAGGUUUCUGAGGCCGUUUUGUUAGAUUUGAUCUAUUUUGGGUAUGUUUUGUAGAAAACCAUGUUUUGGAUGAUAAGUUUGUGAAAAUGGUGAAAAAAUAUUUUUUGCCACUAUUGUAGCGAUUACGAAUAUGUGCGAUUAGAAUCAAUACAUGUUCGAGAGUCAAAGAGGAGCUGAAAAACUGACUCUCGGCACCUACCAAGUCAAUAUGUGGCUGUAAGUAGGACCUAUGAACCGCAUGUACACAAAGCGGUUGACAGAAAGUCAAAAUCUCGAGACCUGAACAUUGUAGGAUUUUUGCUUCUGCUACCUACACCUGCUACCGUUGCCCUAUGCCUGGUUUGUAGGUAUUACCUGUACCCGUCCAGACCACAGGUACAGGGAGUAGGUGUCCACCGACCUUGUUUUCUCCUAUUUUAUUUGGGCUUAGUUUUUAGGGUUUUCUUUUGUAGUAUAAAUACCCCUUAUGCACAUUUUAGCAGAAGUUACACUUUUAAUACUAAGAAAUAUAUUUUGAUUUCAAGAUCCAUCUUUGAUCUUGGAAUUUCCUUGUAUUGACCUUGAUUGAUUAUUCAAUUUUUGAUUGUGGGUUUUCAUUCAUCUUAUUAUUGUGAUUUCAUCUUUGCCUUCGAAUAUGAAUAUUGAUUUUUCACAAUCAUGAGCGGCUAAAACCCAUAGCUAGGGUUGUGGAAACCCUUGCGAAUUAAUAAAGUAGGGGAAGUACAUUGUUGAUCUGAACCAAUACCCAUGGCAUGCCUUGUUUUAUCUUUGUUAUGAUUGAUUUCUUAAUGGGUGCACACAUUAGAAUCCCUCCCAGAUAUUGCUUCUUUCUCCAAAAGAGGAGUAGUGACUAGGAAAAGAUAAAGACAACAAUAAUUUAGGAGUGAAUUGCCGAUCCAUCGUCAUAUGAUGGAAUAUAGUGAAUGGUUAUUAGCUUUUAUCUAAUAACUUGAGACUCAAAAGGUAAUAGUUAAUUAGGAUCAAGAUAAGGGUUAGUAAUGCGACAUCCUGAGACUCAAAAGAUAAAGGGUGAAAUCUUUCUGCUCAUCCGAAAGACUGUAGAGGGUACAUAACUUAUCAAUUCCACAUGCAAGGUAUUGAGUUGGUUCAACAACACAUGAUAAGACUAUGGAGUUGAGAUGCCAGGGGGAACACAAUAUUAAUUUUCACUUAUGACUGAUUUUCAACCAAGUGAAUACUGGUCUUUGCUCGAGAUUACUACAAAAAAAUCCCCUAUUUACUUUUCCUAUUUUAACCAUAGACUUUAACCACUAUAAUCUAAAAAGCCACGUGUUCCCUUGGGAUUCAACCAGAACCUCAAUUGGGUUACUAUAUCUUUAUAAAAACCAUAUCAUCAUACAAAAAGAGGAGUCACUUGGAUGUCAUCAAAAAAUUGGUACCGUUGUCAGGGGACUCGGUGUUUAUUUGUGGACUAAGGUUGUUGUAGUUUUUGGGCUUUUAGUUUUUAUUUUUUUUCUUAGUUGGGCAUGUUCCCGUGUAUGCCUAGCACAUAGAGUAGAGGUAGUCCCUUUCUCCUAGUGAAUCCAAAUCUAUAGAGGAUCCUAUAAACACCUAGUAGGAUAUCUGAGCUAAAAAGAGCUGAUAAUCCUGAAAGAGUUCAUUAUGUUGUACCUCCACCUGAAGCAGUACAAGAUAUUGUUGACCAUAAAAUCGAUGAGAUGUUAGCUCAAGCUAAAGAUGAGAAAAGGGCAACAAAAAUAGUUCAGAGAGUAGCUAGGGAAGUAGAUCUUACGAAGCAGAGACAAGCUGCAGAGUGCCGAGCAACACUUGGUGGAAAUCAAAACAGAGCCAGAUGUGUCUGUGUUUAAGUAAUCCCAGUAUAUCAGUACAUGUAACCAUAUAUAGAUGAUGAAGAAGAUAUGGGAUAUGUUGAGCUAACUAAGGCUAGAGCCAAAGUACCUCAUGCUUUGACCCUAGGCAUCAAAUUUGACAUCACAAGUGCCAUAAUCCAACUUUUGAAUUUGAAGGGUGUGCUUGCAGGAUUGUCUAUCGAUGAUGCAAACUUGGAACUUGCUAAUUUCCUUGGGAUUUUCACGUCGUAUAACAUUUCAGGGGUAGAUCAGGAAACACUUAGUCUAAGGAUUUUCCCCUUCUCACUUAUAGGAGAAAUAUUUUUAUGGUUGGGGAAUUGCCAAGAGGCUCUAUCACGACUUGGAACUAGCUGCACAAGUAAUUCUUGAAUAGGUUGUUUCCUUCAUCAAGAAUGUUGUAGCUCAAGGGCGAGAUCUAUAAUUUCAGGUAGCUACAGUCAGAACCUAUGUAUGAGGCUUGGUUUAAAUUUAAGAAGAAGCUGAGUAUGGUGCCUAAUCAUCAGUUGACUGGGAUGACCUUAUCUGAGAUAUUAUACAGAGCCCUAACCAUCAUCUCUAGAGCCAUGACAGACACUAUAUCUAGAGGAGCGUUUAUGAGAUUAUAAUAGAGGUAGCUUUAGAGAUACUAGAUCGAACAUCACUCACUAACUGAUGGUGGAAAACUUAGGAGGCUGAUAGGGGAUCUGAUACUUAUGCUAUUGGUGCCUCCUGUGAUUAGAAAGUAGCUGAUGAAUAGUAGCACAAGAGAUUGCAUUACUAAAAACUAAUUUAUGGGUGCUAGAAAAAUAGUUUGCAGUGACCAGUUCUAAGAUAGUGAAUGCAGUAGCAGUAUAGGGGACAAUUUCCAAAGCAUACGAGUUAGAAUUAGAAGAGAAAGCUAACUAUAUAGAUCAUCAGAUAAUGGGUUUCUGAUCCAAAGGGAAAGGUAACCAAGGUCGGAACUAUUAUGAUCAAAACAGAGACAUAACAGAGAGCGAGAUAAUGACUAGAGGAAGAAGGAUGGCUAUAGAGAGAAUGGAGAUAGAUACAUUCCACCUAAUAUAUGCAAUGUAGAAUCCAGAAUGGAGGAGAUGCUGGCUAAGUUGGUGAAGGGUCAAAAAAUCAGGAAACCAACCUUAGGGAGAUUAAGGCUGAUAUUUCAGGGUUGAAACAGAAGGUCGAGUCAUAUGCCACUACUAUUAAGUAGUUAGAGCACCAGUUUAGGCUGAUGUCAACCACUUUGAACUAGAGACAGCGAGGUACCCUUUUAAGCAAUAUAAUACAAAAUGUGAGAAGCGAUGGUCACAUACUUACUAUUACCAUGAGGAGUGGUAUCACUACUAUGGAUCCCCCACUGCCUACUAUAGAAGUUGUUGUUGAUGAGACACCUUCUGUUGAAUUUGAGAAGGUAACAGGUAAUACAGGUACAGUUCUUUAAGAUAAAGGUAAGAGUCCGACCAUUUAUCCAGAAAUCAGAUAUAUUUUUGGACCACCUCUAACUUUUCCUCAAUGACUGAGGCAAAGAAAAGUAGAAGGUAAGUUCAAGAGAUUUAUUGAGAUGCUGAAAUAAUUGAGCUUGAAAAUACCUCUUAUUGAGGCAUUAGAGUAGAUGCCUUGAUACACCAAGUUCAUAAAAUAGUUAGUUAUAAGGAAGAAAGAAGUGACUACUAAGGAUAUUGAUGGUAUGUACCACUGCAGUACAGUUACGACAAGGUCCUUGGAGUAGAAAAAGGGUAACCACAGAGCAUUCACUAUAUCAUGCACUAUUGGGACAUCUAAAUUUUCCCGAGCCUUAUGUGGUUUAUGGGUUAACAUUAAUCUAAUGCCACUGGCCAAUUCAAGCAACUAUGCUUGAACCCUCCGAAACUUUUGAUGCGGCUAUUGAUGGCUAACCACACCGUGAAGAACCCUGUUGGAAUCUCGUUUGAUAUAAUCGUGAAGUUUAAAAGUUUGUCUUUUUGGUUGACUUUGUCAUCUUGGACUUAGAGGUUGACACUGAGAUGCCCAUUUCUUUUAGAAGACCAUUCAUGGCCAUCGGUAAAGCUAUGGUUGACAUGGAAAAAGGUGAGUUAAGAUUUUGAGUCAAUGGUGAGGAACCAACAUUCAACAUCCGAAAGAUAAUGAAGCAGCUAAUCGACAUGAGAGUAGUAUCAGUGAUUGAUUGUAUUGAUACCUGGAGGAUAUUCAUAUGGGUAUCUUAUUGAUAUUUUCUACUAGUUUGGCAUUGAUACUCAAAUCCCUUUAUUUACUUUUCCAGUUCCACCCAUUUAUUACAACAGCUAAGAGCCAUGAUUCCACGUAUUCCCUUGGUAUUCAACCCCAACCUUUGUUGGGUUACUAUAUUUGGCAGCGACAAUAUCAUCUAUUGAGAGAAGGUGUAGCUUGGAAAUUACCAAUUUUCAUACUUUAUCUAGGUAUUCAACUGCUAGCAUCUCCACUGAGUCUGAGAGGAUUUGGAAGAUUGUGAAGGGGUUAGAUGGUGAUUAUCAGUUGGCUAUAACUCAGAUGGUAGUUUUAGGGGAUUCCUUUUAGAGUAUUAUUGAGCAUGCCAAGAUGCCCGAGUCUAUUAUCCAGGCUACUCAGGAAGUCACCAUUAAGGUGCGCAUCAUAGUGAGUUUAGUGGACAUACCUACCAAGGUAGAGAUUUCUCGAGUAGAGGUUCCUAUGGUAUCAUGGUAGGCCGAUUUGGGACUCUUUUUAGGGAUCAAGUGGUAGACCUUCAGGUUUAACAACUUUGUGUGGCUAGACAUUGGGUCAGGGUAGUCGUCCUAUUUUAGCCGAACCUCUUCAAAUUAAUUCAGGCGUAGAGGACAUUUUGUAUGUGAUAAAUUCGGCCAUAUGGCCAAGAAUUGCCCUCAACAUAUUUUAAGACUUACUCCUAUAUCGAUUGUGAGAGGAGGCUCUUAGAGUGGUAGGGUGUCAUGACUCGAACCAGGGCCUGUCCGUGAUGGGUAUCUAAUGUCCCACUUGGACCGAAGAUCACCCCCUGCACCUAACAAAACCACACACAUCACACUCCAAGGUUGGAUGAAUUCUGAACAUUUAACAAGAUAGCGUGAAAUAGCUUAAGAAAAAUUUUAUGCAUUUCUAUAACCGACGACUGGUGAUCAGCCAACCGGCCAACGAACGCCACCUAAUAACCGCAAUAAUCCAAACAAAGUCUUCUAAUAAUGUACCAAAAUUGAAUAUCAAUAAAGUGUCGAGACAUGCCCCCGACUAUUGCCAAAAAUAAGCCUAAACUUUUGAGAGAUAAAAGACCAAAACAUGAAAUGUAGACUUAUGAUGUAUGGAAGCUCACCACUUCAAUGUCAACUCACGAUCUAUUCCUGAAUCCUAAUCACUGAGUAGGAGGAGUAGAAGUAUGGCCAAUUCUUGCAUCGCGUGGGUAUACAACAUUUGAAGACGAUUAGCGGGGUGAAUGCUAACAUGUAACUCAGGGAUAAGGAUAACAUAAUAUCAUGAUCAUCAAUUUCAAAUCCAAUGUACAAAAUAAAAUGCAAAGACGUAGGUAUAUCACAUGAUGGGAUAAGGAACAAGGAUUAAUAUGAAUUUCAAAACCUUAUCUUGGAUUGUGCAGCUCAACCGUUAUAACAUGUACCUACAAGCUAUAUGGGCCCUAUCUCUCACCCCCUGGUCGGGCACCAAUGCUUGUAGCUGCACAAACUAGAGAAUAAUGUCAUAUAUAUGCACGGGGGACUCGAACCUCCCAACCAUAUACUAAGGUGACUUAAGCACCCGAUCAUCUAAUUAUUUACAUGGGACUCGAACCUCCCUAAUCAUGAAAUAAUAAUAAGGGGGACUCGAACCUCUCUUUUCACUUUGACCCUCGCGUCGAUAAAUAUGGUUUCCAGUAUUAGUCUCUUGGACCUCCAAUUUCACGACAUAGAUGCACAACCCUUAUUAAAACCUAAUAAAAAUAAGUAUCACAUAUUCCCAUUCAUUGGACCAAAUUCCACAUUAAGGUAUAUAUUUUUGGUAUCGUCAUACCAAUUACACUUGCAAGGUAAUAACAACAUGCCAAAACAAUUUUCAUUAACUUGGAGAAACAACUCCCCUUGAUCAUUAAUACAAGGUGGGGGAAUACCGACUCCCUUUGUUCAUUAAAUCAGGCCAUUUUGUUUAAAAUACCUCUUUAUAUCAUGGAAUAAUUUAAGACUAGUUCAAUUUUACAAAUUCCCAUAUUUCUCAUAAUUAAAAGAAAUUUCACAUUAUGGAGUUGGGGUCAUAGCCACUUCAAAAGCCAUAAGUUUGGGAAAAUUGCAAUUCCUUAGUUCAUUCACCAUACCCAAGCAACCACAAGUUCUAAACCAUAAUUUAAAGCAUGAAGAAUCAUAUGUAAACCAUAAGAAACAUUGUUCAAUUCAUAAACAUUCAAAACCACCUACCCUUAUUUCAAAACCAACACAACCAUCUCAUGAACAAUACUUUAAACACAUGCUUAUAACAAAUUAACAAUGAGGAAAGAGUAAUAUGCCUUAAAAACCAAAAAUUUGGAGAGAAAUCGACCUUUGAUCCCUUAGAUGACCAACUUGAUAAAACCCUAGAUUGACUUUCUUGGGGGAAUUCAGAGAUCCUUUUGUAGUAUUUGAGAAGUUACUUAGAUUGUUUCUGAGUUCUAAUAACACUCUAAAGAGGUUAUGAGAUGUGGGUUUCAAUUUGGGUAAGAGAGAAAAUGUCCAGAAUGCCCUUAAAUUAAAAGCUAAAAGAGUGCCACCAUUUACUAUGGGUUAACAAUUGACUCGUAGCAACUCCUUACGACUCAUCACCAUAAGUCAUAACCAAGGCAGUCUCUAGGACCCCCAUCCACAGUUGACCCUAUGACUCACUGGUACCACUCAUAAUGUGACCCUACGACUCAUAAGUUCCAGUCAUAGUUAACACAAAGCCCAAUUGGGUAAACACUGGAAAUCCUACGAUUUGCACCCAACGACUCGCAACAAGUCCUUACGGUUCAUGGUGAUCCACUCAUACCCAGAGCAUAACUUAGUAGCUAAAUUUUUGAUUUGGUUACGAUUCCAUCCUAAUGACUCGUCAUGAGUCAUUAUGAUUUGUGUCCCCAAGUCGUACCUAAGACAGAAACUUAAACACCAUUCACCGGACACCUUACGGCUAGGGUCACCUGACUAUCAAGACAUAUUACAACUCGUUAGAUGAGUCAUUUCCAGGACAGAAAACUUAAAACUCAAAAAAUCUUUGAGGACCAAAAACCUGAGGCGUUACAUACUCCCCCCUUAGGAGCAUUUGUCCUCGAAUGAUAGGACAAGGCAUUUAUUAGUACGGUUGGGCAUAAAAUUCGGAGAAUUGAAUUACCAAACUGAACCAAAAAAUUUGGCAAUUGGUAUUCGGUAAUUCGGUAUUUGGUAUGAUAUUUGGGAGUAAAAUUUUAAUAUUUUAGUAUUCGAGAUUGGGUUUGGUAAAAGAUAUUAAUACCGUUUGGUAUUCGGUACUUACCGAAUAUUGAAUUAUAUAUAUAUAUAUAUAUAUAUAUAUAUAUAUUAUGAUAUGUCUAACCAACUCAAUAGACAAUAGUAUUAGUCAAUCCCAAAAAAUCUCUUGGACCUUGGUAAUAUAUUCGUAAAAAACAACAAAAGGAAUACUGAAUAGGGUUUCGAUAUAUAUAUAUAUAUGUAUAUAUGUGUAUAUAUAUAUUACGAUAUGUCUAACCGACUCAAUAGACAAUAGUAUUAGUCAAUCCCGAAGAAUCUCUUGGACUUGGUAAUAUAUUUGUAAAAACCAACAAAAGAAAUACUAAAUAGGGUUUUGAUUAAAUAUACUCUUUGAAGUUUAAUACAUUUGGACAUUUCCAACUUUUAUAUGGUAUUACCAAAAACCAUACCGAACCGAAGUUUAAUUUACCGAUUACCGAAUUACCAAACCGAUGUUUAUAAGUAUGGUAUGUUGUAUGUACUUUCAAAUAUCGAUUACCAAAUUACCGAACUCAAAAUUUAAAAAUACCAACCAAAUACCGAAUGCCCACCCCUAUUUAUUAGCACGAUUUGACUCCACAUACCUCUACUAUUACCUUUAACAAAGACAUAAAACAAAAAUACUAAGGAAAUCAUCAUUUCCUUUAACAAAGUCAGAAAACAAAGAUAUUAAGGAAUACACAUACCUUAAGAACGAUUAUUUGAAAUGGGAAAAAAGAAUGGAAAUUUGGACAUCAUGUCCACCUCGGCUUCCUAAGUAGCUUCCUCAACCUUUUUGUUCCUCCAAAGAACUUUUACCAAAACACAUCCUUCGUUCGCAACCGACAAACUUGUCGAUCUAAAAUCCCAACCGGGACUUUGUCAUAGUACAAGGAAUCCAAAAUACCCACCUUUUCUAAAGGAACAACCGCCGAAGGAUCACCCCCACACUUUCUCAAUAUUGAAACAUGAAACACUGGAUGAAUGGAGCUCAAACUAGGAGGCAGCUACAAAAUAUAUGCAACAUUACCAAUCCUCUUCAAAACCAAGUACAGACCAACAUAACGUGGACUGAGCUUUCUCUUCUUACCAAACCGCAUCACUCCCUUCAUAGAAGACACCUUCAAGAAUACCCAAUCACCAACACUGAAUUCUAACUCCUUCACCUCACUUCUGCAUAGUACUUUUGGCGACUUUAGGCCGCCUUAAGUCUAUCUCAAAUCACCUUCACCUUCUCCAUCGCUUAGUGAACCAAAUCAGGGACAAAUAACUUAUUUUCACCAACCUCAAACCAUCUAAUAGGAGACCUGUACCUCCUACCAUAUAAGGCCUCAAAUGGAGCUAUACUAAUGCUAGAGUUAUAACUGUUAUUGUAGGCAAAUUCCAUGAGAGGCAGGUGGUCAAUGUAACCACCCUUAUAAUAAAAUACAUAAGCCCGAAACAUAUAUUCCAAGACCUAAAUCAUCCUUUCCGCAUGCCCAUUUGUCUACGGGUGGAAAGUUAUGCUAAGGGUCACUUUAGUCCCCAAACCUCACUGGACUGAGCUCCAAAAGUAAGAAGAGAACUGAGUACCCCUUUUCGAUAUGAUGCAAACUGGAGUACCAUGCAACUUCAUAAUCUCCUCAAUGAACAACUCGGCAUAAUUCUCAGAAGAGAAAUUUGUCCUCACUGAUGACCCAAAUUGAAUCAAAUUAUUAGAGAGACCAUGGAAGACCGACAAUAAAAUAAAUAUUAAUUACCUCCCAUUUCCACACUGGCAGCUCAAUCUCUUGAGCUAACCUACCGGGCUUUAAGUACUCUACCUUCACUUGUUGACACACCAUGCACUUAGCCACAAAAUUGGCCACAUCCUACCUCUUAUUAUUCCACCACUAAAUAUCCUUAAGAUCAUGAUACAUCUUUGUCGAAUACAGAUAAAUAGUAUAACGCAACUCAUGAACAUUGACCAAAAUUCUUUAUUGCAACCUAUCAACAUCGAUAACACACAUUCUACCUUGGUACCUUAAGAUACCAUCACCACCAAUCUCGAAAACCAUCAUUUUCUGCCUACCUAUAUCAUUCUUGAUUUACAUCAGAAUAGGAUCCAACACUUGCUUCUCCUUUACUUUUGUACUAAGAGAUGACCUCGUUAUCUCUUGAAUAAUUACACCACCAUCCUCAGAAUCCAACAUACAAACUUUGAGAUAAGCCAAAGGGUGAAUAUCCUUCACCAAAUCCUGCUUCUCUUCAUCUACAUACGACAAGCUUCACUUGGACAACCUGCUAAGAGAAUCAACAACCACGUUAGCUUUACCUGGAUAAUAGUGUAGACUCAUCUCAUAGUCCUUUAGCAACUCAAGCCAUCUCCUUUGCCUGAGAUUUAAUCCCUUUUUGGUAAACACCUAUUGUAGGCUCUUAUGAUCAGAAUAAAUAUCAAUAUAGACCCCAUACAAAUAAUGACACCAAAUCUUUAAUGCAAAUACCACACAACAAUUCCAAAUCAUGAGUCAGAUAAUUCUUCUCAUGAAAGUUUAAUUGUCUUGAGGAAUAAGAAACUACCUUUCCAUGCUGGAUCAACACACAUCCCAAUCCCACUUGGGAUACAUCACAAUAGAUAACAAAACCAUCAGUGCCUUCAACCAGUGUCAAGAUAAAAAAUGAAGUCAACUUAUCCUUAAGAUUCUAAAAACUACCCUCACAAGCAUCAGAUCAUAAGAAUUUAACCUUUUUCUGAGUCAAAUUAGUCAAUAGGGCAGCGAUAUAAGAGAAACUCUCCACAAACCUUCUAUAAUAACCGGCUAAACCUAAAAAGCUCAAAAUAUUAGAUGGAGUUGUGGGUCUAGGCCACUUCUUAACCACUACAACCUUCUGUGGAUCCACCAUGAUCCCUUUACUAGAAACAACAUGACCCAGAUAUGUUACAGUAUUCAACCAAAACUCACACUUAGAGAACUUUGAAUACAAAUAUUGAUCCUUUAGGGUCUACAACACAAGGCGGAGGUGAAUGAUAGGAAUCGCCUCACUUUUGGAUUACACCAAAAUAUCAUCAGAAAAGAUAAUGACAAACAAGUCUAAGAACUGGUGGAAAACCCAAUUCAUAAGAUCCAUAAAUGUGGUGGGGCAUUUGUCAAACUAAAGGACAUCAUCAAAAACUCAAAAUGACCAUACCGCAUUCGAAAAGCAGUCAUAGGGAUAUUUGCCUCCCUAAUCUUCAACUAAUGGUACCCAAACCAAACAUAAAUCUUAGAAAAGAACUUCGCACCUUGAAGCUGAUCAAAGAGAUCAUCAAUCCUCAAAAGUGGAUACUUAUUCUUUAUAUUUUACUUUAUUUAGUUAGCAGUAGUGAAUACACAUCCGAAGGAAACCAUUUUUUUUACACAUGAAGAGAAUAAGAGCACCCCACAGAGACACACUAGGGCAGAUAAAACCCUUAUUAAGAAGAUCUUUCAACUACUCCUUGAGUUUCUUCAACUUUGCCAUAACCAUUUUGUAAGAAGGGAUAAAAAUAGGACGAGUGUCCGAAAGAAGAUCAAUCCCAAAAUUAAUUUCCCUAUCGGGAGGAAUACUAGAAAGAUCAUUGGGGAAUACCUAAGGGAAUUUACAGACCACAGGGAUAGUUUGCAAAGAAUGAACUUCACAUGUAGAAUCCUUAACAUAUGCACUAGGUGGUAGAGGCAUCCUUUCGAAACCAAUUUUUGGGCUUUAAGAUACAAGAUAAAUCUUUCCUUAGGCACUAGGGAACUACCUUCCCAUUCAAUUACCGGCUCAUUUGGGAAAUUGAAAUUGACCCUUCGAGUCCAACAAUUAAGAGAAAAGUAGCACAAACGCAACCAAUCCAUCCCCAAAAUCAUAUCAAAGUUUAACAUGUCUAACUCUAUCAUAUCCACAAGGGUUUCCCUACCAUAAACCGACAUCGCACAACCCCUAUAAUCUCUUCUGCCCAUAAUAGAGUCACCCACUAGGGUGGACAUAGAAAAAGGAUCCAAAAUACACUCUGGAUCAAAACCAAAAUAGAUUUCCACAUAAGGGGUCACAUAAGAAAGAGUAGAACCGGGAUCAAGUAGACAAUAUACAUUACGAGAAAAAUGUUUAAACGUACCAUAAAUAACAUCGAGUGAUUCCUCAAAAUCUUGGUGAGUGGUAAGAGUACUAGUAUCAGAGCUAGAAGAAGAAGUAACACCCUUUGGUGUAGGAGCAGAUGAUGUAGCAACAGGAAUCUUAUUCGCUCCAGAAGCAACCUUAGACAGAAAAUCUCUUUGUAGAUGACCAGUCUGACCACAUUUAAAGUACUUAUUCCUCUGACCAUAUUUAAAGUACUUAUUCCUAAUUUUCUUAUAGAAACCAUGAUGCAGUUGACCAUAAAUAUAUAAGAAGGAUAUGAUGGUCACCUGACAUAUUGAGAAUGACGGUCACCUGACAGAUUUAGAUAAGGAGCACUAGUCAUAAAUAGGAACCAGAAUUUUCCCACUUCUUUUUAGACCAUUUUAUACCAUCUCUCCCACUUUGCUACUGACCUUUAUCUUGAUUCGAAUAGCGAAACUUCUUAUUUUGCCUCUCGAUCAUCUUUGCUAGCUUAUUCUUUUCUUCUUCCACUUAUUAUAUAUACACUACUAAUCUAGAGAUGUCCACAUCCUUAUUCAAGAAGGAUUCCUUGAUCUCCAAGAUCAACGGGACAACCCUAAAGCAAACUUCCUCAUUCUAGCCCUCAUGCUGACAAUUGAUUAAACUUCAAGAAAUACUUUUUUACUGACAUCCUGUCUUGCUUAAAAUUCACAAAUUCCUUAGCCUUUGCCUUCCUCAACUCUUGUGGAAAGAAGCAAUCAAGAAAGACACUAGAGAAGUCAUCCCACAAGGUGAACUCAACAUCAUCACCCUUCAACUGGUCCUACUCCUCAUACCAUUGGUAUGCUACAUCCUUCAACUAAUAAGCUGUAAACUCCAUACCCUCCAUAUUAGUAUCAUGCAUCACAUAAAAGAUCUUUUCCAUCUUAUUAAUAAAGUUUUGAGGAUAUUUCUCAACUUUAGAACUAGUAAAAAUAAGAGAACUUACCUCAUGAAUUGGCCAACCCUAGUAGCCUCAGAUAAUAGAGUAAUAGAAGCAAUACACUCAAUUGAGAGGCUACCAAUUGGGUAAGUAAAUAAAUCAAUUGGCAAAACUCAAUAUUAGACACAUUAGCUUGAGGUGCCUGAGAAGGGAUAGGGUGAAACGGUGGAGCUCCCUCAAGGAAAUUAGAAGAAGCGACCUUCAACUGGGUCUGAACUCUUAGAGUUGGAUGAGCUACGCCCACAUUAUCCUCAGAUGGGGCAGAGGAUUUUCCACAGAUGUCAGAUCUUCUUGGAGGCAUGAUCUGAAAAGCAAACACACAAAAAUUAGAGGAGCUUCAAGACCUUAGACUCUAUAUCUUGAAAUAGAUCAAUAAGAAAGAGAAAUAUUCCUAAAUGCCUCGUAGCCUCUCCCUUGUAAAUAUGGCACGCUACACAUGCAUAAAUGAGACUCUACUUAACAUGGGUUUGUUGGACACCCAAAGACACCAAACCUAGGCUCUGAUUCCAUUUUUGUCACGCCUCAAACUAGGUCCUGGCCAUGAUAGGUAUCCUAAGUACCACGUGACCAAAGAUCACCCCAUGUACCUAACCAAACCAAACACAUCACACCCCAAGGUCGGAUAAAUUUCAAACAUAUAACAAAAUAGCAUGCAAUAACUUAAGAAAAAUUUAACGCAUGUUUAUAACUGAUGAUCGAUGACCAGCCAACCAGCCGACCAACACCGCUUAAUAACCACAAUAGACAAACAAAGCCUUCUAACAAUGAACCAAAAUUUAAUAUUAGGACAUACCCCCGACUAUAGCCAAAAAUAAUCCUAAAUAGUCUGAGACAUAAAAUUCUAAGCGUCGGCAAACACAGUUUCCAGUAUCGGUCACUCGGACCUCCACUUUUAGGUCUUAUCUAUACAACCCUUAUUAAAGCCCAAUUAAAAUAAGUAUCACAUAUUCCCAUUCAUUGAACCAUAUUACAUAUUCAGGCAUACAUUAUUGGUAUUGUCAUACCAACUACACUUGUAAGGUAAUAACAACAUGCCAAAAUAAUUUCCAUUAACUUAGAGAAAACAACUCCCUUUAUUUAUUAAUACAAGGUAAGAGAACACUAACUUCCUUUGUUUAUCAAAUCAGAUCGUUGUAUUUCAAAUGCCUCUUUAUAUCAUGCAAUAAUUCAAGACUAGUUGAAUUUUACAAAUUCCCACAUAUCUCAUAAUUAAAACUAAUUUCACAUUAUGGGGUUGGGGUCAUAACCACUUCAAAAGUCACAAGCUUGAGUAAUCAUAGUUCCCUUGUUCAUUCACCAUGCCCAUGCACCCACAAGUUCAAAACCAUAAUUUAAAGCAUGAAGAAUCAUAUGUAAACCAUGAGAAACAUUGUUCAAUUCAUAAACAUCAAAGCCACCAACCUUUAUUUCAAAACCAACAUAUCUAUCUCAUGAAAAAUACUUUAAACAUAUUCUUUUAACAAAUUAACAAUGAUGGAAGAGUAAUAUGCCUUAAACACUAAGAAAUUUAGAGAGAAAUCAACUCUUGAGCCUUUAGAUGACCAACUUGAUAAAACCCUAGCUUGAUUUACUUGGGGGAAUUUAGAGAGCCUUUUGGACUAUUUGAUAAGAUACUUAGAUUUUUUAUGAGUGCUAAUGAUACCCUAAAUAGGAUAUAAGACAUGGUUUUUAAUUUGGGUAAGAGAGGAAAUAUCCAGAAUGUCGUUAACUUAAAAGCUAAAAAAGUGCCACCAUUGACUAGGGUCAACCAUUGACUCAUAGCAAUUCCUUACGACUUGUCACCACGAGUUGUAACCAAGGUAAUAUCUAGGACUCCCAUUCACUAUUGACCCUACGACUCACUGGUACCACUCGUAGUGGGACCGUACAACUUGUUGGGUCCAAUAAUAGUCCACACAGAACCCAAUUGGGUAAACACUGGACAUCCUACAAUUUUCACCCAAUGACUCAUAACAAGUAUUUAUGGUUCAUGGUGAGCUCACUCGUACUCAGAGUAAAACUUAGCCACUAAAUUUUUGAUUUGGUUACAAUUUUAUCCCAAUGACUCAUCAUAAGUCAUUAUGACUCGUGUCCUCAAGUCGUACCUAAGAUAGAAAUAUGAACAACAUUUAGUGGACACCUUACGUUACCUGAUCUAUCAAGACACAUUAUGACUCAUUAGAUGAGUCAUUUCCAGGGUAGAAAACUUAAAACUCAGAAAAUCUUAGAGGACCAAAAACUUAGGGCAUUACAUAGGGGUGUUACUAUUAGUUCUUGAUAUAGAGGUAGAGGUGGUUUUAUAGGUGGUCGCAGAGUUAAUCAAUCUGAGAGUGGACACAGUCAGUUUUAUCCCAUAUCUUAUAGACCCAAGGUAGAGUCCUCCAAUAUAUUUAUUACAUGCAUCAUCCCCAUUUGCUAUAGAUUUGCUUCCAUGUUAUUUGAUCUUGAAGAAGAUUUCUCCUAUGUGUCCACAUAUUUUUUUCUAUAUUUGAUACUGCAUGUGAUCCUCUUGUUAUACCUCUUUGUGUUUCAACCCUCUUAAGAGAAUUCAUUAGGGGUGGAUCAGGUGUAACAAUCUUGUGUGCCUUUGCAUACUGUGAGACUUGGGUAGACUUUAUUUUUCUAAAUAUAACUGAUUUUGAUGUUUCCUUAGGUAUGGAUUGGUUAGCUCCAUUUAUGCUAUUUUGGACGAUUAUAACAAGAAUGUGACCUUAGCUACGUUGGGUGUGUUGAGGAUAACUUGGAAUGGUAUGCUUAAUUCGGGUCCUAAGGGUGUUAUAUCUUUUCUACGUGUUUUUCAUACGAUAAAUAAUGGGUGUUUGUCUUAUUUAGCUCAAAUCCAUGAUACUAUUGUUGCCUUAAUACCUCAUAUGGAUUCUAUUUGGGUUGUUUAUGAGUUUAUGGAUUUGUUUUAUACAUAUUUGCCUUGUAUACCUCUGGAUUAUGGUAUUAAUUAUCUAUUGAAGUGGAACUGAGCACUAAGCACAUUUCUAUUCCUCCCUAUAGGAUGGCCCCAACAGAGUUGAAGAAGUUAAAAAAGUAGUUACAGGAUUUGUUGGGUAAGGAGUUCAUUAGAUGUAGUGUAUCUCCUUGGGGUACACUUGCCUUGUUUAUAAAUAAGAAGAAUGGCUCUAUUCAUAUAAGUAUUUAUUAUAAAUAGUUGAACAAGAUGUAAGUUAAGUACAAGUGUCAUCUUUCUCGCAUUGAUGAUCAUUUUGACCAGCUUCAGGGAGCUUUGGUGUUUUUAAAGAUUAAUCUGAGAUUCGAGUAUUACCAAUUGAAGAUUAAAGCUUUGGAUGUUUUGAAAAUGGCUUUUCAAACUCGAUAUGUUCACUAUUAGUUCAUCGUUAUGUCUUUUGGGUUAACCAAUGUCCUUAUAAUAUUUAUGGAUUUGAUGAAUUGAGUAUUUUGAUCGUAUCUCAGCUCUUUUGUGAUUGUAUUGAUAGAUCACAUCUUGGUUAUUCCAAGAAUGAGGUUGACCAUGUGAAGAAUUUGAGGAUGGUAAUUCAGAAGUUGCGUGAUGAGAAGUUAUAUACUAAGUUUUCUAAGUGUGAGUUUUUAUUGGAUUUUAUCUUUUUCUGGGGUAUGUGGUGACUAAGGAUGGUAUUAUGAAAGAUCCAACCAAGAUAACGAUUUGUGAUUAUGAUAGACCACCCCUCCUAUCGAGAUUUAGAGAUUUGUAGGUUUAAUAAGGUAUAUUAAUAUUUUGUAGAGGGUUUCUAUAACACCCUCAAAAUUUUGAGUAUUUUUUUUUGCCCUCUUAUGUUCAAAACAUUAAUUUUUGAUUUAAAUGGUGUUUAUGCAUGAGAAUGGGGUGCCUCAGGAGAGUUUUGGAAUUUUUGUAUGGGGUUCGAGGUAGAUUCAAACCCCAAAUAAUAAGGAUCAAUAUCCGAAAGAUAAAAACUACCUAACUACCUAAGGAAACAAAGGAAAACCAAAUUCAAGAAAAAGAAAAAGAUAGGUAAAUUGACAUAAGAAACUACAAGGAAUUAAGAACCAAUGAGUGUAUCAAAAUCACAGACCCUUAAAACUCGUAGAAUCAAACAUCAAUUUCUUACGUGGACCAAGAGGUAUUCAAUACCCUUUAAUCCCCUAUUUCUAAGCAAACAUUCAAUAAAAGUUUCACUAAUACUCUCUCAAGACAAUGUUCAUCCAAUAUCAAAGAUAAACCAAAGAGAAAAUAACCCUAACAAAUAGCUAUUUAUAGUCUAGUACAAAAUGGGCCCAAAAGUGACCAAUGCAUGAAAUUACUGAAACACCCUUAAGUGAAAUUAACUCUCCAAAGCCGCCGGUUCCUCUUAUUUAGACUUUAAAGUGUGAAACACCUUGGAGGGACUCAAGAUAUGUUCAUACACGUCCAUCUUCAUAAAUAAGCCUUGAAGGAUUUGCUUAGAUCCUUGUAAAUGGUUUUGAACUCCUCAUGCUCGUAUCACCCUCUCCAUCUUGAAAAGAAUUUGACCUCAUAUUCAUGGAUUUAUCUCCCUCAAUAGUGUCAUUAAGUGAGAGGUCACACACAUUGAAUGUGUUGUGCACUUGGUAUUUCGGGGGAAGAUCGAUCUUAUAUACAUUAUCGUUGAUCCUUUCAAGAACUUGAAAGGGGCCAUCACCCCUCAGCAUCAACUUGUCCUUCUUUGUAUUGGAAACUGAUCCUUUCUAAGGUGCACCUACACCCAAUCUCCUGGUUCUAGAACAAACCUUAUUCGUCCCUUGUUGUCCCUCUUAGUAACUUCUUGGUUUCUCUUCUCAAGGUGUGCUCUCACCUUUUCAAAGAACUUCUUCAUAGCUUCCACUCUUUUGCUUCCAUCUAAGCUCAACAUAAGAUCACUAGACAAGGGGAUUAGAUCUAAAUGGGUAAGGGGAUUUAGGCCGUACACACACUCAAAGGGAGUCAUGCCGGUAGUCAAAUAGAUAACAUGAUUAUAACCAAACUCGACUAGGGGUAGGUGAUCCUCCCAAGAAGUCAUCUUACCUUUAACCAUGAAGUGUAGCAUAGAACCCAAAGUACUAUUUACUACUUCUAUUUGGCCAUCGGUUUGUGGGUGGCAAGAAGUUGAGAAUAGCAAUUUAGUACCAAGCCUACCCUACAUCGACUUCCAAAAGUGACUAAGGAACUGAAAGCCCCUAUCACUAACAAUGGUCCAGGGUAUCCCAUGUAGUUUAACAAUAUGCUCAACAAACAAAGAGGCUACACUAGAUGCAUCCUCAUUCUUAGAACAUGGGAUGAAGUGGGGCAUCUUUAAGAACUAGUCAACCACCACAAAAAUGCUAUCCUUACCUCUCCUCAUCCUUGGUAGCCCUAAAAAAAAGUCCAUAGAGAUAUCAACCCAAGGGAGUAGGAGAGUGGGUAGCGGGGUAUAUAAGCCUUGAGGAAGGAGGCGCGGUUUGACACUCCUACAAUCCAUGCAUUGGUCGUAAAUCCUAGAAACAUAAUUAUGCAUCUUGGUCUAAUAAAAUUGUUUAUCUAGGAUCCUGAGGAUAUUUUUAACCUCAAAGUGUCCCAUCAAACCAUCAUUUUGUGCCUCUCUUCGAAAUAAUUCAUGCCAAGAACUAGAGGGAACACACAACCUUCUUUCUUUGAACAAAUACCCAUAAAACAUUGAAUAGGGAGUAGAAACCCCAUAAUUGAUCCAUCUUUCCCUCCCCCACUCCUUAUAAUCUCUAAAUAUAAGAUAAAAUGUAGGGUCCUUGGGAUACAUUGUCUUAAGACUCUCAAAUCUCAUCAAUUUAGGAGAUAAUGUAGAAAUAAGCACAUGUUUCCUAGAUAAUGCAUCGACAACCACAUUUUUCUUUCCCUUUUUGUAUUGAAUGACAUAAGGGAAGGUUUUUAGGAACUUAAUCCACUCUGCAUGCCAUUAUUUAGCUUAUCUUAGGCCCUAAGAUUCUUCUAAGAUUCAUGGAUUAUUCAGAUCACAAAUUCUUUGGGCCACAAGUAGUGUUGCCAAUUACCCAAGGCUCGAAUCAAGGCGUAAAACUCUAAAUCAUAAGGGGAAUAAUUUAAAGUAGUGCCCUUGAUCUUCUCCCUAAAAUAGGCAAUAGGUUUAAGAUCUUGCAUUAAGAUGACACUUAUUCCUACUUUACUUGCAUCACAUUCAAUUUCAAAUAUCUUAUCAAAGUUGGGUAAUUGCAACAAGGGGGCGAAAGUAAGCACAGUCUUCAAGGUUUCAAAUUCUUUGGCUUGAUCUUCACCCAUUUGAAAGGUUUGUACUUUUAGAUGACCUCGAUCAAAGAAGCGACGACGGUACUACAUCCUUUAACAAACUGCCUAUAAAAACUAGCCUACCCAUGGAAGAUUCGUAUUUCACUAAUGGAUUUUAGAGUUGGGUAAUUAUUUAUAGCAUCUAUCUUAGAUUCAUCCACCUCGACUCCUCUUGAGCUUAAAACAAAUCCCAAAAACACAACUUCAUCCACACUAACAGAGCAUUUUUCAAGAUUAGCGUACAACUUUUCCUUUCUAAGGACUUCAAACACACUUUUCAAAUGUAAAACAUGUUCUUCAAGGAAUUUUCUGUAAACUAGGACAUCAUCAAAGUAAACCACAACAAACUUCCCAAUGAAUGGUUUUAUCACAUAAUUCAUUACCUGCAUGAAAGUAGUAGGAGCAUUAGUGAGGCCGAAUUGCAUAACCAUCUAUUCAUAGAGACCAAACUUGGUCUUGAAGGUGGUUUUCUAUUUAUUACCUAAUUGCAUUCUUAUUUGGUGAUAGCCGAUCCUAAGAUCAAUUUUUGAAAACACACAUGAACCAUCCAAUUCAUUAAGUAUAUCAUCCAAUUGGGGAAUAGGGUGAUGAUACUUUAUCGUUAUUUUAUUAAUGGCUCAGUAGUCAACACACAUGCACCAUGUUCUAUCUUUAUUUGGCACCAACAACACCAGAACCGCACAUGGACUCAUGCUUUCUUUGAUAUAUCCCUUUUUGAGGAGUUCCUCAACUUGUCUUUAUAGUUCUUUGGUAUCCAUAAGGUUACUUUGGUAUGCCGAUUUGUUUGGCAAUUGAGAGCCCGACUCAAAGUCUAUUUGAUAUUCAAUUCCCCGAAGUAGGGGUAACCCUUGUGGAAGUUCCUUUGGGAACACAUCUUCAAAAUAUUGCUAAACCAAGGAGAUAGAAUAAGGGAUAAAAUAAAUAGAGGGGUUAGUAAUUAAAACAUGGGCUUGGAGAAGCAUGGGUAUUUUUUCAUUAUGCUCCUUAAAGAGAUCCUUCUUCCUAGACAACAUCACCAAAGGCUUUUAUCCCUUUCAUUGUAUUGAUUUCUUCCCUUCUUCACCUUAUCUCUCUUCAGCUUCCCCUCCACUCUCUUUUCUUUUCUAUCUCCUUCAACUCUCUCAAUUGUUGAUGAAAUCCAUUCAUUUGUGAUAGGGUGAGAGGGUGGAGUGUAAACUUUCAGCCAUUGAAUUCAAGAGAGUAUUAGUUGAUUCUUGUAUCAUUCUUAGUGGAUAGAUCAUAUUGACAUAGCCUUCCCUAUAAUAAGUGACAAGCUUGCAUAGGGAUCAUAUUACAAAGCACCUUAUCUUGGUAGUUUCCUACCUUGAAUCGAUUUAUAACUUGCCAAGUUACCUUCAAUCUCCACAUUCAUUCAACCAUUGGAGUUUGUAAGGACUUGUAUGUGUAGUAGUGGGAAGCUUCAAGAAAUCAACCAUGGUGGCACUAGAAACAUUAGUAAAACUUCCAGUGUCAAUGAUCAUUGAGCACACACCUCCAUUAAUAAGGCAUUUGGUAUGAAAAAGAUUCUCCCUUUGACUAGGAUCAUCCAAAGCCUUACUAACCAUGACUCAUCUUACCACACAGUUUGGUACUUCAAGAUCACCACCUUGUGGCCAAGUGUCUUCUUCAUCUUCCUUCUGUUGAAUAUCAUUUUUUAUAUACUUUCCAUCUCGAGACUUGUCACCAUUUUUAUCUGUUUCUAAUCCCACCUCUUAUCCAAGAUAAUACAAUUUUCAUUCCCUAAGGAUCAUAUUUCAUCGAUUAGGACAUUUUUUUGCCUUAUGCCCCCCCCCCUUGACAUUUAAAGAAUUUGAAUUCCUUAGAGUUGGAAGUAGGAUACUUGUUACCUUCAUUUCUUGGAGGAUGUUUUGGGGCAUCCUUGGCUAUGGGUUGCUUUUCAUUGGAUUGGUGAUCUUUAUUUUGUUACAACUCAAGGAUGAUUUAGCCAAUUCUUUGUUCUUACCCCAAGUAGUGGAUGAUGGAUGAACCUUUAAUUUAUAGUCGCUUUCUCUUUGAUCUCCCUUUCAAUUUCUAAUGCCGCUUGGAUGAUACUAUCUAUGGUCUCAAGCUUGUGAAGAGUCAUGCACGAGGAUAUAUAUUUGUUCAAACUAACCUUGAAGCGUAUGAUGUCAUGGUUUAAUUGCUCCCCUUAAUGAUCAAGCUUCAAAAUCAAUUAUUGAAACCUAUCGUAGUAGGCCAUAACACUCUUGCUUCCUUGCCUCAAGUUGUAUAACUUGGCAAGGAGCUUAUGUCUAUACCUCUCCAACAAAUACCAUUUCCUCAUAAGUACCUUCAAUAUGUACCAUAGAGGAGGUUGUCAUUCAUUCAUCAUAUUCCCAAACCUUUUGGUAUACUCCCACCAUGUGUUGGCAUAACCUUUGAAGUAGGCUAUGGUAUAGCAAAUCUUCUUAUCUACGGUGAGAUUAUUAAAUUGGAAGAUACUUUCAUAGGAAGAUUCCCAUGAAAGAUAAACUUGGGGAUCACUCUCACCUUUGAAAAUUGGAAGACAAACCUUGAUGGAAUUGAUACCCACUUAUCAAUCUCGGUUACCUUGUUGAUUCCAUUGACCAACUCUCUCUCCUCGGCCUUGAAGUCCCCUUUGAUCUAUAUGUCUACCUCUCAUAUUUCCUUUCAUCACAUAGGCAUCAUCAUUAUCUCCAUAAUCCUCUUAUUGUUCCUCUCUACCAUAUUUCUCUACAUGGACGGAAUGGUUUUGGUUAUGUGGAGCUUGGUAUGGGGGAACUAAAUUUGGUGGAGAUUGAGGCAUUUGGUUAAGUGGAGCUUGGAAAGGAGGAAUCAAAUUUGCGGAUGGCAUUUGGCUUCCAUUUUAUUCUUGUUGUCUUUGGUUGAAUUGACGAUGAAGUGGUGUAUUGAGAUUUUGGCUUUGAGGAUAACUGGUAUUUUGGGUCGUGGGAUUUUGUGUACGUCUUAGUGGGUUAAACAUUUGGUGAAAGGUUUCCAGGGUAAUGGUAGCAAAAGUGUUUUGAGCAUGUCCACUUGAAUAAACAUGGUAGUGUUGAGGAGUGGAGGGACGGUGUUCCUUUUUCUUUCCACAGAUUCCAACCUUUCACUCAUAGUAGACAUAUCCCCUUUCACUGAGGACAUAUCCGAUUGUAAUCUCUCAAUGCUAUGGGUGAGAGCAUCAAGAGAGGCCAAGAUAGUUUUAUUGACAUUGUUCUCCACGGUUUGAGAUGUUUUUCCUUCUGUUGCCAUUGUACCUAAGAAAUACACUAACAAAAACAACAAACAAGUUAGAGUUAAAAAAAAGAACCUCACAACUCUACUCUCCUUUGGUUACCUCACACUUGGCUUCACAAGUGUUGAAUAUUUUCUUAUAUUCCGUGAGAAGUUGAGGGAUGAUAUCUACUCUUUCCCAAAAUGGAUUUUUUUAUGUGACAAAAAGAAAUCUCAUACGGACUUGAGCCAAGAAGCUACGAUGAAUUGAAAAUGAGAAAAGCACAAAAAAAAAGAAAACACGAAGAAAACAGAUUCAAAGCUAACUCACAACUAACUAGGUGAUUACUAGUCGCUAAUUAGCAUUAGAAUCAAUAAACAUAAACCUAAGAAUCAAAGAAAAGAAACUAAGAAUCUAAAUUUGAGCUUAAGGUAAUUGGACGGCAGAGUAAAAUGGAUGCGCUAAAUUUGACGUUGAAUGCUGGUUGACGUUUUGGAGAUUUCUUGUUUCCAAUUUGAACUUCAAUCAAUAUUCAUCUUGGAGGUGUUGAAAUCGGUUAUGCAUGGAAAAAUACAAAGAAUUUGGACCUUUCAAUUGUUCUUUCAAGCUCAAGGGAGUUCGAAUUUUCUUAUGGUCCCCCCCCCCCCACAUACUUUUCUUUGUCUUCUUCUUUGAGAAUAUUCUUUUUUGAUGCUUUUUGUUUCUUUUCUUUUUUUGAAAGACUUGGAAUAUCCUUGGAAUAUUCUUUGAGACAAACAAGUUCCACACCUUCUCUCACCUCCUUUUUUGAUCAAACAACCAAUUUUUGAAUGUUCUUCUUCAAUAAUAUAUGAAGAUGAUGAAGAACACAAAGAACAUUCAAACUUGAACCUAAUCAAAUGACCUCGAAAUUUGAUGAUUUUUUAUUUUCCAAGCUCACGUUGAACUCCUAAACACAACCAACACAUUUUUCAACCCAAAAUCUCAACAAAAACAUUCCAAAUUCGAGACCUCACCUUCAAGCUUCUUUAACUCAAGCUCAAUAAUGGUGGAUGACUCAAUAUCAACCCGAAAAUAGCUCAAAUUCAAGAUCUAGACUCUAUUAGUGUUAGGGAAUAAGGAUCUUACACUAGAAAGACCAAAAGACACAAAAAUCUAAGACCUAAAGUUUCAGCCUAGGGGUAAAAUGGGAAUAAUACUUUUUUUAAAUUUUCAGCUUUGAUACUUUUAUUUUGUGGAUUUUCAAGAUAAAAAACCCAAGAUUGACUUCGUAGGAAUGAAAUCAAGCUCGAAUCUAAUACCAAAUGAUAAGGAUCAAGAUAAAAAAAAAUAAAAACUACCUAAGGAAACAAAGAAAAACCAAAUUCAAGAAGAAGAAGAUAGGUAAAUUGAAAUAAGAAACUGCAAGGAAUUAAGAACCAAUGAAUGUAUCAAACUCGAAGACCCCUAAAUCUCAUAGAAUCAAACACCAAUUUCUUAAAUGGACCAAGAGGGAUUCAAUACCCUCAAAACCCCCAUUUCUAAGCAAACAUUUAAUACAAGUUUCACCAAUACUCUCUCAAGAGUAAUGUUCAUUCAUUAUCAAAGAUAAUCUAAAGAGAAAAUAACCCUAACAAGGAGCUAAUUAUAGUCUAGUACAAAAUAGGCCUUAAAGUGACCCAUGCAUGAAAUUACUAAAACACCCUUAAGUGAAAUUAACACUCCAAAGCCGCGGGUUUCUCUUUUUCACACUUCAAAAUGUGAAACAUCUUGGAGGAACUCAAGACAUGUUUACACGCGUCCAUUUUCAUGAACAAGCCUUGAAAGCUUUGUAAUUCCCGAUCUUGGCUCUUUGUAAAUGGUUUUGAACUCCUCAUGAUCGUAUCACCAAAGGCAGUGAGACUUUGAGAUAUCCUUAUGUCAUGGAGAAUAGUUUCCACAUUAAGGUCCAUGCCACAGAGGAUAGUUUCCACGUUAGGCUCUAUGGCACGGAGGAUAGCCUCUGCGAUGAGGUCUGUGCCAUGGACCUAUGUAAAAUUUGGGUAGUUUUGUGUUAUUUCCUUUAGGAUGAGGGGUAAUGAGGUAUUUUCACCUAUGAAUGACCUUUAAACACUAUAUGAACCUGUUUCCACCAGUUUUUAUGUUACCAAGACUAUUAUUCAACUCCCAAACUAAAAAACCCCAAGAAAGCCAAGGGUUUCAUUGUACGUUCAUAUUUUGGGUUUCAAGCUCCAAAUUAAUUUUCAAUUAUCGUGUGUCCAAGGAAUGUAUCUCUUUCCAUAUACUUGUAUUUUAUUAAUGGCAUAAAAUUGAUUUAGUAUUCACAUGGUUUUGAUGUUGGGUUUGAAUUAUGGGUUGAGGGUUUUGGAUAUAAAUUGUUUAAAUAUUUUCUCAUGAUUAUACAUUGAAUUAUUGGUUUGUGCACUCAUUGGGGUGAAUGGGAAUGGUGGAUGGAAUAAGGGUACAAUGGACUCUCUAAAUUUUCAAACUAUGGUAAUAGAGGUACAAUGAAAUCCCCAAUAAUUGGUUUUGGUAGGGAAACUGAUAAUAAUCUCAACCCAUUUGCAUAAUGGAUUUUGGAAUAUAAAUUAUCAUUUGGUUUGGCUUAUCCUUUACGAAACUAAUGCAUUGCAUAAAUGGAUAACAAUAAGUAUAAUCUUGAAAACCUUGCGGGGUACAACAGACUCCCCCAAGUGAAUGAUUUUCUUACAAACAUUGUGGGGUACGUAGGAAUCCCCCAAGUGAUUUUAAUAAUGAAGUCUACGGGGUAAGAAGGAAUCCCCUAAGUGUUGUCUUAAUGAAAUUAAUUACAAGAUAUAGUAGGUAUGAUAAUACCACUUAACAAUGACUUAAUAAUUGACUCUAGAAUUGGUGGAUGGGUUAUGUGUUAAAUGUUUUACUUGGGCUAAAAGAGGGUUAUGAUAGCUAGUCGUGAAGGUGUGAGUCCUGAAGGACUAAUUAUAGAAACUCAUGUUUGCCAAUGUGAGGAUUAGUCUUGAUGACUACUUUCUUAUGGGGUAUAAAAAAAUCCCCCAAGUAUAUAUAUAAUUGUAUCAUAGUUGGCGAAGGGUACAUCAGAAUCCCCGGCCUUCUAUGAUAUCUCCAGUUUGUGUGGCUAACAUGCACUGGGGCCCGACUAAGGGGUUACAAUUGAUCCCAUAUAGCCUGUGGUUGGUUUUAGGAUGGUCAAGCUACACAACCUAGGCUAAGGUUUUAAAGUUCAUGAUAACCAUGUUCCUUCCCCCAGCAUCCUUUAUAUAUAUAUAUUCACAUAUACACACAUAUGGAUAUCCAUGGAUACGUACAUGUGCAUUUGUUUGACUUGGUUUUGGAUUGGUGACAUUAUUUUAUCCUGUAUCCUUGAGUUACAUACCAGCACUCCAACUGAUAAGCGUCUUCAGAUAAUAUAUCCCCAUACGAUAUAGGGACUGAUCGUACUUCUAUUCCUCAUACAUAGUUACUAGGUAAUCGAGGGAUAACUCGUGCGUCACACUGAAGUGGUGAGCUUUCAUUCUUAGGAAGACCCCAUUUUAUACUUUGAGUUUCCUUAUGUUUUGGCUCUUUCUUUUGGACUUGGUUUUGGCUAUGGUCGAGGGCAUGUUUUGACCAGACUAUCUUUGGUUUCCAUAGAGAUUUUUUUGUAUAUUACCACAGACAUGGGUAUUAUGGUUGGUUAUCGGUAUUGGUUAUUGGUUGGUGGUUGCUGAAUAUUAAUCUAUCAUAGAUUUUUUUGGGUGUUUUCUUAUCAUAUCUUGUUUUAUGUUGAAGUUCAUCCGCUGCUAGGUAUACUUGGUUAUGUUGGAUUAGGCUAAGGGGGUGGUCUCCGGUCCUCGGUGGACUUGAGAUGCCCAACACGACUAGGUAGUGAUUUGGGUUGUGACAGUUUCUUGUAUAUUGCUGACUCCCCCCACCUCCGACCAAUUUGACUCAAAAAAUGUGAUUUUUCAAUAGUUAGAUGUGUGUGAGAAGAGCUUUCAAAGGAUCAAAGAGUAAUUGACUUCGGCUUCUAUCAUGAUUUACCCAAAGAGGGUAUGGAUUUUAUUGUGUUUUGUGAUGCUUUUGGUGUUGGUUAGGGUGCAGUGUUGAUAUAAGGGGGUAAGGUGAUUGUUUAUGCCUCUCGUUAGUUGAAGCCUCAUUAGAGGAAUUACCCUACCAAUGAUUUGGAGCUAGAAGCCUUCGUGUUUAUAAUUAAGUUGUGGUGUCACUACUUGUAUGGAGUUUCCUGUGAGAUUUUCUUGGACCAUCAUAGCCUUCAAUACUUCUUCAAACAGCGAGAUCUUAAUAUGAGGAAGCGGUGUUGGCUUGAGUUGCUUAAGUAUUUUCUCAUGACCCAAAAAUAAGGGUCAUGAUGGCACAUGCCGCGACGAACCUUGACAAGUAAGCCUCCCACCCAGACUGAUUCACACGAGGAAAAGAUAGAAAUUUCCUCCAGGUAAGGCUUCUAGAACAAAGCCAAACCACAUAGACAUAACAAAAACGGAAAGAAUAAAAUUAAUGCAUACAUAUAUAACUCCUAAAACCUAGUGUCAGAGGUGUAAGAACUAUUAAUACCAUCCAAGAGUCAAAUACACCAGAAAAAUAACCACAAAGGAAUAAUAUCUCUCUCUGAAUACUAAUAAAGAUAUAACUAAUACAGAAAGAUAGAGGUCAACUCCGGAUGUAUGAAUGUCUAAACACUACCUUUAAUAAUUUGAAAGCGCCCUAAAAUCAACUAGUCUGAGGCGCACCCAAACCUGAAGCUGCACCUAAAGGGUGAAGUAGAAGUGAGUACGGUCCUCUUGUACUCAGUAGGUAUCAUAGGACGACCGAGCAAAGUAGAAAAUAAAAUAUAUAAAAUACACACUAAGGGCACAUCACCUGCAAUCAAAAAAUGUCCCGCAAUGGUAGCCCACACCGCUUGCUCUAACAGUUUUAAUAUAUCACAUACAUUACAACAUCAUUCCAAGUUAGAACAAGUAUUCAUUAUAUCACAUAUAAGUAGAACAAGGGGGAACAUGCAUAUCCAAGAUUAUCAAAUACAAGUAAAAGAAAAUACGAUAACUACAUAAAUGGGAAGUCAAUAUGGUAAUAGAACACAAUAUAAACACAAAAAAUUAAGUGCAAUGUAUAUAAUGAUGAUGAUGAUGAUGAUGCACAAGGUCAUCACACAACCUCCGGGAUUGUUGCAUAAUCCCCGUAUACACCAAUGGAGUUAAGCCUCCAAAUGCAGGACCCAUGGGGGGGUUUUCAACCUGUAUACAAUCCAUAUAUCUCAUAUCUCCUCCCCGAAACAUCCCUUGGUGAGGGUUUUAUAAGGUGUUACAAUAUCUCCUCUCCGGUACUUCCCUCCGGGGAGGGGGGGUUAUAAAAAGUGUUGCUCCGUGGUGGUACUAAUGCUUCAUGAAUGAGUAUGAUAUGAGUAUAUAAUGCUCACAACCAAUUAUAAUGAUAUAUUUCCACAACCAAUGACAAUUAUACCUUUCCACAACAACGUGAGCCAAUAUUCAGUCACUAUUUUUGUUUCGUCCAUGAAUUUUCACGUCUCAUAUAACAACAGGUAUGAACAUAUCACAAUACACCAAUGGUACCACAUUAGGUAUUUCAACAACACAAUAUAAUUAUUCACAUAUAUUCAAGGUUAUCAACAUCACAUAGGACCCCACACUAUCACACAUAUCGCAUAAUAUAUCAAUUUCAAUAAUUACAUUACAUAUAGGUCCCCGCACAGACACAACACAUAAAUAGUCAUUUUUCAUGGUUAGUUCCCACCCUUAACAUGCAUUUUGUAUCAUCAUUUACUACCCAUCUCAAUCUAAAAGAGUUAAGCGAUAACCUACCUCAAAAGCUGAAAUACCGCUACCAAGACUUUGACUAAAGCCUUACUCCUCACUAAUGGUUCCAAAAUCUACUAAAAUCAUCAAAUAUGUAAUCUACGCAUCAAAACAAAAUGAACGACACCUAUAUUAACUACUUUUGGUUUGGGGUCAAAAUGAAGCCCUGAAAUGAAUUUUUGAAAAAAAGGGUAAAAUCUUAACUUUACUUCAAAAACAUGUUUCCCAUAUAUUUAGAAACCUACGGCUGAAAACCUAAGUUAUUGAGUAAAAAAAGAGGUUCAAAUUGAAGAAAAAUUAUUUUAAGCUUUACCGGGUAAAAUCUUUGAAAUUCGGGUUAAAAUUAAGAAUCAAAAUUGUUUUGAAGGUUAAAAAGAUGAAAAAUUAGUAAUUAUAAGAUUAAAAUAUUAUUCGAGUGAAAAGAUAUAAAAUUGAGGUUUAAAAUCAAGCCCUAAGAUUUUUGAAUAUUUGAGAAUAUAAUCAAGAAUUACUAAGAAAAUGAAUAAUUUCUUACCUUAAAUCUAUAAUAUAAUCAAGAAAUAGAUGUUAAUCUAGCUUCCUAAGCUCCCACAAGCUUCACUUUUAAUCUCCCACACUAUUUAGGGUUUGACUCUCAAGUGACAAGGUGAAAAUGAACAAAAUUGGCCCAAUUUUUUUAAGUCCGGAUGGGCUUCGACAGGGUGCCCGUAAUUCAUUCGGAGUUCGAUAUACACAAACGAACUAUGUAACCACACUAAAUUCGAUGCUCCAAACUCAAUGGAUAUAUCAUAUUUUCUUUAAAACAUCGUUUUCAUAAAGUUGACCCCUGAAACCCAAAAUUGCAAUUUUCCAACUCGAGGAUCGAAAUGAGAUUUAAAAGCCAUAAAAUCUCACCAAACAUGUUAUGACCCUAAAAUAGACAUUCUGGAUCUGCUGGCAAAGUUGGAUUUUCCAUAUGAGGUCGUUUUGAUCAAAUGUUGGUCCCACACCCAUAUUUCUAAUUUUCUAACUUUUCGACCAAUAGGUUGAAAUGAUCUCGGAUGCACGGAGACUCGAACCAAAAGUCUACCUAGUCUAAAAUCAAUAUUUCAGAGCUACAGGCGUAGUCCAUUUAGCAAUCCAUCGCACGGAUCAAAAGAUAUUUAUAUAAGUCCAAAAUAAGGCUUUCGAAGUUAUCAAAAACCACAAUAUCGAAUAAAUGGUGCCAAAAUGCAUCAAAAACCAUGCCAAUCACCCCCACGCUCCAGAAAUACAAUAAUGGAACUACUGGGAGGGGUAAAAUAGUCAAAUCACAUAGAAAUACACAAUUCACGUAUUUCAUAAAAAAACUGGUUGUUACAUCAUCCACCACUAAAAAUCUAGUUCGUCCUCGAACUAAGACAAAGAAAUACCUGAAUCAACGAAGAAUUAGGGAUAAAAAUUAUGCAUGUCAGACUCGACCUCCUAAGUAGACUCAUCUAUAGGUUGAUGUUUCCACUGUACCUUAACCGUAGGGAUCAUUCUAGAGCACAAUCGCCUAAUAUUCGUAGCCAAUAUGGAGGCCGGCUCCUCAACAAAAUACAACCGCUCAUUUAACUAAACUGACUCCCAAUGAAUAACAUGAGACUCAUCUGGAAUGUCACGGCGAAGCAUAGAAAUAUGAAAAAUUUGACAAAUAGAUGAUAGAUCAGGGAGCAAUACCAACUCAUAAGCCAUAUCACCCAUAGUUCGAAGAAUCUCAAAUAAACCAAUAUACCUGGGGCUAAGCUUCCCCGUCUUUCCAAACCAUAUCACACCCUUCAUGGGUGAAACUCGAAGGAAAACACGAUCACCAACAUCAAAUCUCAAGGCAUGAAGUCUGCGAUCAACAUAACACUUCUGCCUACUCUGAGCAGCUCUAAGUUUAUCUUGAAUGACCUAGACUCUAUACAAAGACUCACAAAGCAAGUCUGUACCUUGAGGUUUCACCUCUGAAACAUCAAACCAACCUAUUGAGGAGAGAUAAUGCCUACCAUAUAAUGCCUUAAAAGGAGCCAUGUUGAUACUGUAAUGGUAGUUGUUGUUAUAUGCAAACUCUACUACAACUAAAUUCUACUCCUACUGGCCACCAAAAUCCAUCACGCAUGCGUUGAGCAUAUCCUCCAAAGCCUGGAGAGCCUGCUCUAACUGGCCAUCAAUCUGGGGGUAAAACAUUGUGCCAAGAUCAACCCGAGUACCCAACUCAUCCUGAAAAGUCUUCCAAAAGUGACAUAUGAACACAGAGAGCCUCGAUAUGAUAUAAUGGACACUGACACACCAUGAAGACACACAAUCUCAAGGAUGUAGAUAUGUGCCAACCUCUUAACACUGAAUGAGACCUGAAUCAAAAUAAAAUAAGUUGACUCGAUCAAUCGAUCCACGAUGACCCAAACACUAUAAAAACCAUGAGAUGUAUGAGGCAAACCAGUCACAAAGUCUAGGUUGAUCCAUUCCCACUUUCACUCAAGAAUGGGCAACCUCUGAAGCAAUCCAUUAAGUCUCAUAUACUCGGCCUUCACCUGCCGACAACACAGGCAAAAAGCCACAAAAUUUUCUAUAUCUCACCUCAUACCACCCCACUAGUAGUUCUAUCUCAAAUUAUGAUACAUCUUAGUCACACCUGGAUGGAUGGAAUAUCUAGAACAAUGGGCCUCCUCCAAGAUCAACCUAAUCCAAUCACACACUCUCAGCAUACAAACUCGGCCUCCAAUCCUCAAAACUUUAUUUGAAAUAAGUGAGCCUUCCUUAGCCUCCCCACUCAACACAUUAUCUCGAAUCAACAUCAUCAAACUCAUGAGCUCGAAUCUGCUCCAUCAAAGGAGAUCUAGCCUCCACAAAUGCCAAAAUGAGCCCAGGUAUCAAAAUAUCAAGCCUAACCAUCUAGUUAGCUAAGGACUGAAACUCUAAGGAAAAAGGCCUCUCCUAGAUCAAAAGAUGCGCCAAGCUACCAAUGAUAGUCGACUUUCGGCUCAAGGCAUCCGUAACCACAUCACCCUUGCCCGGAUAAUAGAGAAUAGUCAAGUCACAAUCCUUAAGCAACACAAGCCAACGACGGUGCCUCACAUUAAGAUCUUACUGGGUGAAGAAGUACUAAAGACUACAAUGAUCUGAGAAGAUCUCACAACGGACUCUAUAAAAGUAGUACCUCUAUAUUUUCAAGGCAAACACAACUGCGCAUAAUUCCAAAUCAUAGGUAGGAUAAUUUCUCCCAUGAGGCUUCAACUAACGAUAUGUAUAAGAAAUCACCUUUCCCCCUUCAUCAACACCACCUCCAAUCCAACAUCUGAAGCAUCACAAAACACGAUAAAUCCAAUGCCCUCCUUGGGCAAAGCCAAUAAAGGAGCUGAAGUUAACAAAUUCUUAAACUUUUGGAAGCUCGCCUCACAAGCAUUAGACUAAUGAAAGAAAAUCUUCUUUUGAGUCAACUUAGUCAAAGGAGAUGCAAUAAAAGAGAAACCCUCAACAAAACAUCGAUAAUACCAAGUCAAGCAAACAAAACUCCAAAUCUCGGUGGGAAAAGUAGGUCUAGCCAAAUCACAAACCACUGCAACCUUGGUUGGAUCAACCAUAAUACCUUUCCUAGUCACUAUAUGACCCAAGAAAGAAAUAGACUCCAACCAAAACUCGAACUUAGAGAACUUCGCAUACAACUUCUAAUCCCUCAAUCUAUGAAGCAUGAUUCUUAAAUACUCCUCAUACUCAACCUCACUCUUGGAAUACACCAAGAUAUCACCUAUAAAUACAAUAAUAAAGGAGUCAAAAUAUGGUUGGAACACCCGGUUCAUCAACUCCAUGAAUGUGGCAGGGGCAUUGGUCAACCUAAAGACAUGGCCAAGAACUCAUAAUGACCAUAUCGAGCUUAAAAAGUUAUAUUCAGAACAUUCGAAUCUCUAAUCCUCAACUAGUGAUAACCAGACCUUAAAUCUAUCGUAAAAAACACCACAACACCCUGAAGCUAAUCAAAUAAAUCAUCAAUGUGAGAAAGAGGAUACUUAUUCUUAAUUGUCACCUUAUUCAACUAUCAAAAAUCAAUAUACAUAUGCAUAGACCCAACUUUUUUCUUCACAAACAAGACAGGCACACCCCAAGGUGAUACACUAGGUUAAAUAAAUUCCUUAUCCAAUAACUCCUGCAACUGAUCCUUCUAUUCUUUCAAGUCUGUCGGGCCCAUCCUAUAAGAAGGAAUAGAAAUGGGUAUGAUGCUCGUCUCAACAUCAAUAUCCAAAUAAAUAUCUCAAUCACGAUGAAUACCAGGCAAGUUUGUAGGGAACACAUCCAUAAACUCAAAAUCAACAUGAAUAAAAUCAGAGAAAGAAGGUGAAACAACACUGGUGUCAUGAAUAUGAGCCAAGUAAGAGACACAUCCCCUCUCAACCAAUUUAUGAGCCUGAACAUAAGAUAUAAUCCUCUUAGGACCUGAAUAUAGUACACCCUUCCAACCUAUCUUGGCACACCCGUCGAAGAUAAAGUCAUAGUCUUAGCAAAACAAUCUAAGACAUCAUGAUAAGGAUCCAAUCAAUCUAUACCCAAAAUAACAUCAAAAUCAACCAUAUCUAACACAAGUAAGUUUAUCAAAGUCUUACGCCCGUAAAAAUUUAUAACACAAGAUUGAUGCACCCAAUCUACCACUAAAGAAUUACCAACUGGGUAGAUACACAAAUAGGCAUGGAAAGAGGCUUACUAACAGAAUCAAAACCCAAAGCAAAAUACACAGACACAUAGAAGAAAGACAAUCAAAGAUCAAAUAAUACAGAUAUAGGUCUGAAACAAAUAGAGACAAUACCUAUAAUCACAACAUCAGAAGCCUCUGCCUUAGGUCUAGCUAGUAUAACGUUAAAGUGACUAUGACCCCUAACUAGUUGAGUAGCCCCACGACCACCAUUACAGGCUCCACUAUUUCUACUUCUCGCUUUUCUAGUAGUACCCCUACCUCUCAAAGCUAAAAUAGAAGUAGCCCGAAUUACCCAGUGGGGAAAAUCCCUAGACACAUGGGCAAUCUCAUCACACACAUAGCAACCUCUACGACCAGUCUUAAUAGGACAAGGUACAAAUAGGCCCGAGAGGCAACCCUGAACUGUUGAACUAGAAGAUACUCCACCUAAACUUUAUAAAGCCUCUUGGACUGGCCUAUCUUGGUAUCCAUGAGAACCUUUAAAAUUUCUACCUCAAGAGGUUUGACUCCAGAACUGAUCAAAAUGUCAUGCUUUAUUAGUACCUCCCUGAGAUGCACUAAGAAUAUCCUCUAUCAUCUUAGCAUGAUCCACAAUACUCUAAAAAAAAGCCCCAAAUAUAACCAUCUGAGAUGUAGCCAACUGAACAGAAAAUAUCCAAAUCCAUAAUGAACUUUCAAAUAUUUUCAAACUCAGUGAAAAUACUAUCAUAGAAAUAUCUGGACAGGACAGGGCAUGGAAGCAUGCCUUAUACUCAGAAACUAUCAUGUAGUCCUACUCUAAAUGAUCAAAUUUAUCCCACAUAGCAUCUCUCAAAUUGAAAGGAAUAAAUCUCUCCAAGGAGGCAUCAGAAAACUAAUCCCAAGUCAUAUCAGGAGAAUCACAGGGUCUAUAGCUCACAAGCAACCUCCACUAUUCUCUAGCACCAUCUCUCAACUGAUAGGUCAUACAGGCAACACUAUCCACAUAAGAAGAGUGAAACACAACUCAGAACAUAAGGUAUGAAAGAACUUCGUACGAUAAAGAAUAAAAUAUGAGAAUUUUUCUAAAGAUGUCCUAUAGCCUCUCUAUGAUAGAUAGGAAUGUCAACGUACCAAUUUGCGACUCUAUUAGACAUCUUGUUCUUACACUAUUGAGACCAAUGAACUUGGCUGCUUUGAUACCAAUUUGUCAUGACCCAAAAAAGGGUCAUGAUGGCACAUAUCAGGCAAACCUCAACAAGUAAGCCUCUCACCUAAAAUGAUACACAUGAGAAAAAGAUAGAAAUGCCCCCAGGUAAGGCUUCUUGAAUAAAGCCAAACCACAUAGAUAUAAUAAAAUCAAAAAUAAUAAAAUCAACACAUGCAACCAUAACUCCAAAAACCUGGUGUCAAAGGUGUAAGAACUACUAAUACUAUCCAGGAGUCAAGUAUCUCAAAAAAAUAACUAUAAAAGAAUAAUAUUUUUCUCCGAAUACUAAUAUGAACAUAGUUAAUACAAAAAGAUAGAGGUAAACUCCAUACAUAUGAAUGUCCAAUAGCUACCUCGAGUAAUCUGAAGGCACCCAAAAAUCAACUAAUCUGAGGUACACCCGAACCUAAAGUUGCACCAAAAGGGUAAGGUAGGAGUGAGUACGAUCCACUGGUACUUUUUAGGUACCAUAGGCCGAUCGAGCAAAGUAGAAAAUAAAGCAUUCAAAAUACACACUAAGGGCGCAUCACCUACAAUUAGAAAAUGUCCCACAAUGAUAACCCACACCACUUGCACUAACCAUUCUAAUAUAUCAUAUAUAUUGUAACAUCACACCAAGAUAGAACAUACAUGAAUUAUAUCGUAUAUAAGAAGAACAAGGGGAAACAUGCAUAUAUAAAAUCAUCAAAUACAAGUAAAAGAAGAUAAGAUAAUUACAUAAAUGACAAGUCAAUAUGGCAAUACAAUAUAAUAUAAACACAAUAAAUUAAGUGCAAUGUAUAUAAUAAUGAUGAUGAUGAUGCACGAGGUCAUCGUACAACCUCCAAAAUCUUCGUAUAAUCCUUGUAUACACCUAUAGAGGAAAGCCUCCCAAAUGUGGCACCCAUGGGGGGUUUGUAAACCUGUAUAUAAUUCAUAUAUCUCAUAUCUCCUUCCCGAAAUAUUCCUCGGGGAGGUUUUUGUAAGGUGUUACAAUAUCUCCUCCCUAGUACUUCCCUCGAGGAGUGUUUUAUAAAAGGUGUUGCUAGUGUUUCUCAAAUGUUUCCAUGGUGGUACUAAUAUUUCAUGAAUGAGUAUGAUAUAAGGAUGUAUUCUCAAAACCAAUCACAAUGAUAUAUUAUCACAAUCAACCAUAAUUAUACAUUUUCACAACCACGUGAGCCAAUAUUCACUCAUUAUUUUCGUUUCGUCGAUGAAUUUCCACAUGCCUCAUAUAACAAUAAGUAUGAAUAUAUCACAAUAUACCAAUGAUACCAUAUUAGGCAUUUCAAAAACACAAUACAAUUAUUCACAUAUAUUUAAGGCUAUCAACAUCAUAUAGGACCCCACACUGUCACACAUAUCAUAUAAUAUAACAAUUUCAACAAUUAUAUAACAUAUAUGCCCCCACACGGGCACAAUACAUAGAUAUUCAUUUUUCAUGAUUAAUUCCCACCCUUAAAAUGUAUUUUGUACCAUCAUUUACUAUCUAACCCAGUGUGAAAGAGUUAAGUCAUAAUCUACCUCAAAAGUCAAAAUACCACUACCAAGAAUUUUCUCCCAAAGCAUUACUCCUCACGACCAGUCCAGAAAUCCACUAAAACAUCAAAUAUAGAAUCUACACAUAAAAAUAGAAUUUACACAUCAAAAUAAAAUCAUACACCCAUAUUGACUACUUUUGGUUUGGGGUCAAAACGGACCCCCGAAAUGGGUUUUUGAAAAAAGAAGAGAAAAAUCGUAAAUUUACUUCAAAAACAUGUUAACCAUAUUUUUAGAUAGAUAUAGCUGAAAACCCAAGUCAAAUCAAAUAAAAAUGAGGUUCAAAUUAAAGAAAAAAUAUUUUUAAACUUUUCCAGAUAAAUUUUUUAAAAUUCGGGUUAAAAAAUCAAGAAUCAAAGUAGUUUUGAAGGUUAAAUUGAUGAAAACUAGUAAUUAUAAGAUUAAAAUAUUAUUCAAGUGAAAAGGAGUGAAAUCGUGGUUUAAAAUCAAGCCCUAAGAUUUUUGAGUUUUUGAGAAUUUAAUCAAGAAUUACUAAGAAAAAGGAUGAUUUUUUACCUUAAAUCCGUAAUAGAAUCAAGAAAUCGAUGUUAAUCUAGCUUUCCAAGCUCUCAAAAGCACCACUUUUAAGCUUCUACACAAUUUUAGGGUUUAAAUCUUAAGAAAUAAGGUGAAAAUGAGCAAAAUUGGCCCAAAAACUGUUAUUAAUAACACAGAAAAAUCUGGACCAAUUUUUUUCUAAGUCGUGACGGACUUCGACGGGGUGUUCGAGAUUCUUUCAGAGUUUGAUAUACAUAAAUGAACUAUGUAACCACACUAAAUUUGAUGCUUCAAACUCAAUGGAGAUAUUAAAAUUUUGAAAAAACAUCAUUUCGAUAAUGUUGACCCUCAAAACUCGAAAUCACAAUUUUCCAAACCGAAAAUCAAAAUGAGAUUUAAAAGUCAUAAAAUCACACCAAACAUGUUAAGAACCUAAAAUAGAUAUUUUGGAUUUGCUGGAAAAUUUGUAUUUUUCAUCCGAGAUAGUUUUGACCAAAUGUGGGUCCCACACCCAUAUUUCUAAUUUUCCAACUUUCCGACCAAUAGGUCAAAAUGAGCUUAGGUGCACUGGAUCUCGAACCAAAGGUCUAACUAGCCUAAAAUCGAUAUUCCAGAGCUGUUGGACACAGUUUGUUCAUACACCCAUCAAACAGAUUAAAAGAUAUCUACAUAAGUCCAAAAUAAGACUCUCGAAGCCAUCAAAAUCACAAUAUCGCCUAAAUGGUACCAAAAUACAUCGGAAACUAUGCCAAUAAGCCCACACCCUAGAAAUAUCAUAAUGCAAAUAUGUAGAGGGAUAAAAUAGUCAAAUCACACAGAAAUACACAAUUCACAUAUUUCAUCAAAAAAGCUGGUCGUUAGAAAUUUUGAACAUCACUAUUUUAUAUCAUUUAAGCAAGUCUAAUGUGGUUGUGGAUGCUUUGAGACAGAAGUUGAAAUAUAUGGGGAUUUUGACUCAUAUCUUGAUCCAAGAGUGACCUUUAGUCUUGGAGGUUCAGUCUUUAUCUAAUCAGUGGUUAAACUUGAUAUUUUGACACCUGAGUAUAAGUGGACCGUACUCAUCCUUAUUGUGCCCUUUGGAUGUUUACUAGCUCGAGUACGACUCACAGUGGAUAAUCGUGCUUUUUUGAGAUUGUGAUCGAGGUACAGGGUUGCUCUAGGGGUUAUAGUCAACUUUCGAACCUCCUCUUACCUUAUUAUAUCUUUACUUAUAUUCAGAGGAAGACUUUGUAUUUUCUUUAUAUUCGAAUGAUGUGUUAGAUUCUAUACACAUUAACAUCACUUCUUGAAGUGUUAUGUUAUUUAGAUUUUCGUUCUUUUAUGUAUCGUGUAGGUUUGAAUUCAUUCUAGAAGUCUUGCCUUAGUUAUUUUUUAUUUUUUACUUUAUUAGUUUGAGUGAUCAGUUUACUUAUCAAGGCUAGAUCAUCGAUAAGUGCCAUUAUGACCUAAUAUUUGAAUUGUGACAUCACUUUAGCGACACCCUAGCCGCUUAAGCGGCCAUUGCUAGAGUAGUAUGUAUGUAUUGAUACAUAUACACAGACACACACACACACACAUACAUAUAUAUAGCUCAAUUUUGCAAUUUUCUUCAUUUUUGGACCUCCAAUCUUUGAAAAAAAUGAUUCCACAAAGGUUUCUUCUUCGUUUUUGUAUGGGUACCUCUAAACUUAUCUUCCAUUAUUUCCUAUUGAUUUCAUCUUCAAAACCACUUCAAAUCCUUGAUUUUAAAUAUAGAUUAGGGGGAUUUUCUCAGAUAAAACUUAAAAAUAGUUUUACUUUGAUUUGAACCUCAUUUUUAAUUCUAUUUCACAUGGUUUUCAACUGUAGGAUCCUAUGAACUUGGAAAAUAUGUUCCUAAAAUAAAAUCUCUAUUUCAGUCUGGUGUUUUGAAAAUGAUUAUCAAAGUUGAUUUUGGACUCAAAAUAAAUAUGAUCGAUAUGGGUAUCGUUGGGCUCCUUUUGACUUGUAGAUAGUAUAUUUGAUUAGAUUGAACAUGUUUGGAGUUGAUAUGGGGGAGUAGAGCUUUUGAUUGAUGCUUUGGAUGGUGUUUUGUCUUGAGGAUCUUAUUUAAAGGCAAGUUGAAUAAAAUAGUCUAAAAUACCCCCAACCUUUACCCAAAAUCCCAACUACACACUCGAACUUCAUGGGGGUCCUAUCACCCCCACCCCCUCUUAAACUAUUACAGAAUAAAAUUAUUUACUCUCGAAACACUGAGAUGGGAAAGAAGGUGGAGUUCACUCUCUUUAAGAGAGUGAGAAUCCAAAAAAAUAUUAAAAAUUAUUUUUAAUAUCUAUUUUCACACACGUACACUCACACUUAUAUAUAUAUAUAUAUAUAUAUAUAUAUAUAUAAAAUUAAUUAUUAAUUAAAAAAUUUCUAUCUUCUUGACCAACAUAACCCAAUCUCACCAUCACUCCUAUCCCAUUGUCGCUUUUGACACCGCCAACCACCAUCUCUAUUGGAUUCAGUACCGCAUGUACAUUCUUCUUCACCUUUCUCUAUUUUCUACCCUAUAUAAAUCUCUUACCCUUUUCGUGUCUUUCAUUGACUAUUUCCCACAAAAUCUUGCAAAUUUGAAGAAUCAAACAUAAAAAUCAAGAAUUUUCAAGGCAAUAUUACAUUACCCACUUCAAUUCAAGUAAUACCCCACCUCUAACUCAAAUCAUUGAUCUCAUCUCACCCAUCACUACCACCACCACCCCAUUAGCCGCCACCAACCCUACUUUAAUUUUUUUCCUCAUCACAUGUCAAACGAUGUAAUACCAUUUAGUUAUUUACUCCACUCAAUUCCAUUUGAUGAUACAAAUUUGUUUUGAGAAUGGAGACGACUACUAUCCAACGACAACAUAGUACACAAAAUUAUUCGUAUUGAACUUAUUGUUUCUACGUUUCUCUCUUACGAAAAGACUUGAUUCAAGAAUUUUGAUAUUUUAUUGGGUGAGAAUAUGAAAAAAUUGAUCUUUACAAGAAAAAAAUUAAUUGUUGGUUUGGAGAUGUGAAUAUGGUUGAAGAUAAGGAUAAAUAAUUAAAAAAUAAAUAAAUUUUCACAUGUCAAAUACGUGAGUUUCAUUGAUGAAAUGGAUGUGGUUCUGCCAUUUUAAGGAUGUAAUAGUUUUAUUUUUAGACAGUUUAGGAAGACAAUAGGACCUUCGUGAAGUUUUAGUGUGUAGUUGAAAUUUCGGGUAAAGGUUGGGAGUGUUUUAGACUAUUUUCUCAAGCAAGUUGAGAUGUACCUUGAUUUCUUAAAAAUGUUUAUGUGUUGUAUGCCUGCUUGUUUGUAUUUUAUGAUUUCUUUAAGAUUGGGGGUCCCGCUUAGUUAAAAUGGUGAGAGUCUCUACGGAUGUUGGAGUCUUUUAUUGGAGCGUAGUUAGGUAAAUGCCUAUACUAGUUAGCCAUGCUACUUGUUAAUAUCCCUGGAAUAGAAUGUAGAUAGAUAACUUGAUGUUUUUAUAAUUGAUAGGAAUUAUCUAUAUUAUAAGCUUGUAUCGAACUUGGUGACUUUUUAGGCAAAAGUGCUAACAUGUUUCUUCAAACUUUUAUUUGGAUCAAAUACAAUACUUCCAAAAAUAUUAUAUAAUAAUAUAAUUAUCUAUCAAGUUAAGAAUAGUGAGAGGAAAAAAGUUCCUACCUUAUAGAAGGAAGAGUCGGUUCCCAAAAUUAAAACCAUUACCCAAUGGCCAAUAUGUUAUUCGAGGUAGGAAUCCUAAUUUGUUUUUGGAUAAAUUUUUCAUGCCUCAAUGAGAAUUAGAAAGAAAAUUAAAUACUAAUUUAAAUAAUUUACUUAGCAAGAAAAAUAUUAUCAUAAAUAAUUUAUUACCAUAAUUAAUUUUACUUUUACCAAAAUAUAAGAAAACUUUUCAUAUUUAAGUAACCUCUGUUUAAGGAAAAAAUAUGUUGUAUUUCUAUAAAUUGAAUAAUCUUCCUUUUGCAAAACAUAAUAGCAUAACAAAUUGUUUGUGUAUGUUUGUAAGUAGCUUUAUCAUUGAGUUUCAAACUUAAUUUUAUGAUUGAUAUUACAGUUUCAGAUUUCUUUUUCUACUAUACUGGUGUUAUUGAUCAAGAAUAACAAAAUAUAUUUUUAUGUUUUUAAGUAACUUCUAUUAUUGAAUCUCUGACGUACCUUCGUGGCUUUCGGUUUUCUGUUUUCUUUUCUAUUACAUUAAAUUUCUUGAUCAUGAAUAACAAAUGUCCUUUUAUUUUAAGUAUAGCCUCGAUCGAAAUUUAUUUCACACGCCAAUCUAAAACACAUAAUAUUGUUAAAGGGAAAAGAAUUAUUGUAUAUUUUAAAUACAAAAUCUUGUGAUAAGUAAAAGGGAGCGAAUACAUUUUUAUGGAUUAACGUAAUAUACACGUGCAACACACGUACUUUAGAGGAUUAUUACUUUUAGAUGUUUUUUUUUUUGAAUCAUUGAAGUUGAAGAAUUUUAUAAGAUAUACAAAAACUUUUAUUUAUUUCCUUGGCAUGGACAAAAGAUAAAUUUUACCGGGCACUUCAAUAUACUUAACUAAUUAUAAUUUUUGUUUGUUAUAUGAUAUUUUUUCAAAAAUUUAUUUUAUUUUCUACGUAGAUUUGUUGCCUAUCUUAUUCUACAAAAGAAUUGCUUUCGUUCGAGGAGGAAAAAAAUUGAUAAAGAAAAGGUAAUAGUACAAUUUAGUCGAUUUGUUUUUUUUUUUGAGUAAAUGCUCUGUUUCUACCCUGAACGAUACAUGAAAUUGCUGAGACGCACUCAAACUUUAGGAGGGUCCUAUUACCCCUAUGGACUAAUUAAAAUCAUAUUUUUGGCAACCUUAUGUAACAACCCGAGAGUACACCCUGGGUGUCACACAGUGCUUACGAUCCCGAAAGGCCACAAGCUAACCCAUGACUGAUAUCUGUUGUGACCACUGAGUAAUAAUACUAUGAUAAAUGUGGAAAAUAGAAUGAAAUUACAUAAGGUUCAAAACAUCUAAAAUACUGAAAAAUAUACCAAUUUGUUAAAAACAUCUGAAAAAUAAACAAUGUCUGAACUGGUCUAGUCUAAAAGCCUCUAGAUGAACUUUCUGAAAGUGGAGUUGGUGGGACAAAACCCCAACUAACUCCAAACUACUGAACUAAGGAUAAACUGAAAUGCUGAAAUAAAAGUAUAUCCUCAAUAGAUGAGGACUCACUACUAAAUCUGCGACUGCUGACUGGAUCUAUCUAAGCGUGAUUGGGAACCUGAGCGUCUGAACCUAUGAUAUGAAAGAUCAUAGCACAAAAAAAUAUGCAUCAGUACAUGGGAAUGUACUAGUAUGAUAGAUGAGGUAAGGCUGAAUGCAAGAGCACAUAUGCAUCAACAAUAAUAGACUAAAUGAUAUAGAGUAACUGAAUAUAAGAGUACACGAAUAAUAUAUAUACAUAUAUAUAUUGUAUCUGAGCAUUUCUGAAGCUAAGUACUGAGUUUGAUAACUAAGUAUCUGAUAUCUGAAGUUACUGAUAAUUGAUGUUUUGAUACUGAUAAACUAUGUCUCACAGUCCUGAUUCUGUAAAAAUAAACUGAGUUCUAAACUGAAUACUAACAUUGAAAUAGUGGGAGGUAAUUAUCUAAUCGACAUGCCCCAAAUCUGAGCUAAUAGGGGUCAAACCUAUGACCCUAGUUGGAAGGGUGCUAAUACCGUGCCACGGGUACUAACACUGGAAAACUAGGAUACUAAGCCUAGCUGGCUAGUCUGACGGGUGACUCCUCAUCCUGCGCUGGCUACGCAAUUCUAGAGUACAAGGACUGCUACUAUUGAAUCUGCCUCUCUGACGGGAAAUCCGUCAUCCCUGCACUUGCUUGGUGCUAAAUUCUACUCCCAACUGAAAGACACUGAACAGAGUAUACUAAACUUCACUGGACUGAUACAAAAUUUACUAAGUUUUCUUGAGUUCUGUAACUGACUGAAUUUACUGAGUUCUAUUGAUCGUGGCAUGACUGAUAUUAUUCUAUAACUGACACUGGCUCUAGGUAAACAACUGAAUUAUCGGGUAUUAAAUACCCCCAGGACUCGAUAGCAUAAAAAAAAUAAAGCAUAGUAUAAUCUUGAAUACAUAAUAAUGGCUACUUGACCACAAUCCACGUAUUGAGAUAUUUCAGCAAAAACUUGUAAUGCAUUUACUUGUACAUGAAUGGGAAAUAUAUGCUAUCAUGGUUUAAUGUAACUAUUUCAUUCACAUAGGCAUUUUAUCAAACACUUGUAUGGCAUAGGCUCAUACGUAUACUAGCAUGUCAUGAUUUUAUCAUUUAAUUCGCAUGAACAUUCUAUCAAACACUUGGGAGCACAACUUAAUGCACAUAAUCAUGGAUAACACAUAAUCAUGGAAACUACGAAGUCCCAAACUUGCAAUUUCAUGGGUUUCACAUGCAACUCAUAAAAUUCCCCCUAUUUUCAUGAAUGUUAUCAUAAUCAUGGAUUGAAAACCAAAUUAACAUCAUAGAUACAUUAAUCACUUUGUAAAUUCAAAGGUUUAUCAGGAUAAUCACAAAUCCAUCACACAUGCUAUCCAAUUUCAUGAAACUUGCACUUAAACCAUGAAUUUGGAACCCAACUAAUAUCAUGAACAUGACUUCAAUCUAAUUCAAACAUGGAAAUCAUAAAUCAUAAAUCUUGAAAAUUUAAAAACGGAUUCUUAGACUCUAUGGAUGAAAGGGACCUAUAGAUGAAUACCUAACAUACCUUGGAAUGCUAAUUCUUGAAGGUUCUUGGAAAGAUUCUUGAGCUUGACCUUGAUUCUUGAAGCUAGGGAUUUGCUAAUUUGAGAGAGAGAGCUUGUUGAUUUGGGGAAAAACUAUUAAACAAUGAGUUCAAAACAUUUUUAGGGCUUAAAUAUCACACCUGGGCGGAAUAAAAUCAUAGGAAAAGACCCAUUUAACCUUGGAAGAAACUUUAAUUUUUUGUCAAAUUUUUUUGAACUGGGCCCUUGGCGCGACGCACCAUGAUCGCAUCGGGCCAUUGGAAACUGACAAUUGGGAAUUGGGCUGUGGCGAGAUGCGGUGAGAUUGCGUUGCCACUUUAAUUCUAAAAUUUGGACUCAUCGCGAUACAGUGGGAUCGCACUGGUACACUGGAAUUACAUAAUUUUGAAUAUGAGCCUUGGUGCGAUGCACUAGGAUCAUGGAAGCUCACUGGUUUUGACAAUUUCUAUUUUUUGGCUCCGUGAUGCACUGAAGUGCCAGUUGACACAUUGUUCCACUAAAAUGGCUCUAACUCUUCACCCGAGUGUCUGAUUUGGGCGAAUUUUAUAUCGUUAAAAAGCUAAUUGAAUUUUCUACGCAUUGGCAGGCUCUAAAACUAAAAAUACUAAGUAUUUAAAAAAUUUGUAUUGGAUCACUCAAGGACUUAGAGCUAAGUUAAGCUUGAGAAAUAUGGGGUAUUACAAUAUCUUCUCCUUGAGAAUAUUCAUCCUCGAAUGAGAUUGAUUAAGUUGAGGAUUACUAAUAGACUGAGUUUACACACUGAAUAUGCAUAUCUGGUGUAUGGAAUUCAUGAUUGAAGCUACUGAUAUGCUGAGUUUCAUACUAAAUAAGAAUAUUUGAUGCAUGAGUACAUGACUAAACUAAUUCAUGAAUGCAUGACUGAAUAUGCAAUGGGAAGAAAUACUAUGUUUAUAACUAUAACUGGGCAUGGAAUUUAGUAAAUCUAUGGAAGAUUGUCACCUUAAGCUAAGAAUACUGAUGAAACUGAGAUAAUUUACUAAACACACAUGAACGGGAAUAUAAAAACAUGACUGAGUCUAAAACAUGAUAUAUGAAUUGAAUAUAGUGAACUAAACUGAUUUCCUUGAAUACAUGCCAUGUCAUGGGAAUGGUCAUACAACUGAUAUUGGAAUGAGAGUGUCGACUUAUGAGUACCCGUUACUUCAGACUUGAUCUUAUUAUGUGAAGAGAUAAGAGAAUUGAAGGUUUAGGACAUGAAAGAUCGGGGGUUAUAGUGAAUCUCCCCCUUGGGAUAUUAUGUCCCCCGAAGAAUGCUGACUUGGCUAGGAUUCUGAGGAAAACUAAGACGAUGCACAGGGCACCUAUGAAUUAAAUCAUGACUGAAUAUCUAGGAUCUAAAACCAAGGUAUGAUAUAUGAACUGAGCUAAACUCAAAACUACUUGGAUGCUCUAUUUUGAAAUAGUCAUAUUCAUGAAACUUUGGAUAGUACAACUGGGUGAAAAGAAGGGAAAACUGUACAAACUUAUCUGUUCGACUGCUAAACUAAAUUCCUGGCUUUACGGACUAACUCGUACUGAAAACCUAUUAUUACCUAGAUCAUUUCUAUGACACUCUUUUUAUAAAGUUCUACUGACUUUAGGGAGUAUGGAGAUUUUGGCAUAGUCUGAAUAAAACGUUUAAAUGAGAAAUUACCUCCUGGCUAAAAUUCUGUAAUAUGAGGCGAGGCUUAUGGAACAUUAUCUAAAAUAUAGUGAUUAAGCCUUAUGUACUACCGCUACAAAUUUUGAAGCUUAAAUAUAUUUCUUGAAUACUCUCUCAACUAUACCCUCCACCUUAAUACAAUAAUUCACCUGAGACUAUUGAAAAAUAUUCCCAUGGGCACUGAACACGAAUGCGUAAACAUACUAACUUAUUUGAUCAACUAGAUGAAUGAUAGUUGAAUACUGGUAAUGUAAGAUUGAAUUGUACUUAACCUGAAUAACUGGACUAAAACUAUAGAGUACUAUGCAUAUGAGGUAAGGAGUGACUGAGGAACGUAAGGUAACUGAACAUGAAUUCGUGGGAAUGGUAUUAUCUAAGAAUGUAAGACUAAGAUCAUAGCAUGAUACUGAAAUACUAAGAUACUGAUAACUGAAUAAAUGGAAACUGUAUGCUUUUGUCAAGCAAACCUGAAACUGGACUUAGUUUUGUACUGAAUGCUGAACUGAGACUGUGACUGAGUUCUGAUAGCUACGUGAUGGGGACUGGCAUAAAUUAAGGAUCUAAAUGUACACUCACACUCUGCAUUUUCUCAACUUCUUAUCUCAAAAAGAAUUUUGAUUUUUCUUCAAUGACUAAAUACAACCUCUUGCUAGCUAUUCACCCACACACUAACACAACAUUCAAUCCUAUCUUCAUAACUACAACCUCGUGUAAAACUAGCAUACAACAAUCUUUUCUUAACAUGAAACAUUUACUCUUUCCNNNNNNNNNNNNUCACUACAUCAUUUCAUAAGAAGAGUUCACUGAAGGUUAAAACAUAAAGACCUGAAGCAUGAAUGACAUUAUACCGAACUUGACAGUAAACUGAGGCCUGAGGAAUAGCACAUUAACAUCCUAGAUUUAUCAAGAGAUCUAGACUGAGGAUAUACAUAACAAAAUCUAAAUUUAGCUGAUCAUUAGGAGUAUAGCAUAAGUCAUGGAAAUUGAGCAUACUAUAAAGCAUGACAUGAGUACAUGAGUUAUGAGCUGCAUGACUUGAGUUUGGAGUUUCUGUAUUCAUGGAACAUGAUUCGUAAAACUGAGGAAACUAGAACUCCUUAUACUAGAAAUUGAAAGCGUACAUAAUUUUUGAUAACGUGCAUGAACAGGAGCUAUGAUCAUAGAGUUGACAUGUAAGGAAUGAGUAGAUAUCGUGAUAGCUGAAGUGCCAAACUUUGCACCGAGGUAAAGACGGAUUGGGAAUCAACCUCUUCUACUGCUUUUCUAUACAUACUGACAUUACUACUAAAAUCUGAAAGUCUGACUUGGUUACUUAUUAUGCCAUCUCCCCUUAGCUUAAAUUCGUUAUUCUAAGUCUGUGAACCACUUAAUAAACUCUAAGUCGAACUGAAACCACUUUACUCUAGAGCCUGAGAUAUGACUAUGCUCACAAACACUAAACUCAUUUUGAAGGACUACUCCUGAUAAUGUAAGAUCUACUGCUAGUACUUUCUUCUGAUACAUGAUUCUUAGCUUUCUAUUGCCCUAACAAUCAUUAUCUAGCAACCCUUAUCACUAACUAACUUAGAAUUCUCAACUUUUUUUUCUACUAGUUCAAUCUAUAGAUUCAAACUUAAAUCAACUAAAACUGAGGUACUACCCCUUCAUCCAAAGACUGGUUCAUCAGGAAACUAAAAUGAAAUAACUCAAUUACUGAAAUUAACUAAAAGGAUUUUCUGAAAUACUGUAACCAAGAUAAUUUUUGUAUACUCGUCUGGCUGGAAUAGAUUUACCUAUUGAGGUAAGCACUAAGAAAGGUUCUAUUAAAAUUUCUAGUCUGACUUAAAAUUGACUGAUAUGCAAGGAUUUACAAAAGACAAAGAAGCUCCUGGAUCAAAUAAGGCAUGAAUAUGUAAAUGAAAGAUCUGUAACGUAUCACUGACCAUGUUAGGAGAACUUUCCUGAUCUUGUCAGGAUUGAAGGGCAUAAAUCCUAUUUGGGCAUUACCCACUAGUGGUAUUGGAAGUAGGACCCUGCUAGUUCGGGUGACCGAACUGAGAUGAAGGACAGUUGAAUGACCCUGUUGGCGUAAAUCUUUUACCCUCGGAGCUAUUACUUUACACUUUCGAAUCCUGUGGUAUGGCUUUCCAUAUUUAAAACAUACAUUUCUACCAGCUCUACAUAUACCCUAAUGGUUUCUACCAUAUUCUUUGCAAAGCGGGUAGGUACGGCCUAUUUUUAUACUACCCAAAGGUGGAGUGCCUGAUGUUCUACCUCGAGUGUCAUUUAUAAACUUUGGCACUGGCUCACUAUUUAUAGGAGGAUUUAGGGUUGAGAAUUUCUGAUGGAACUGGAAGCGGUUACCACCCUCUGACCUUUGCCUAAAACCACUUGUUCUGACUCGCUUAUUCUCUCUAUCUUUCUUUCUAUGCUUUUCCCUCUUACUCUGUUGAGUAUGAAACCCAAGACUAGAUAGGAAAAUCACCUUUAGGUUGUUCUGAGCAACUAUUGAAUAGGCUAAAGUAGUGAAAGAAGCUCUGAAUUCUGCAUGGGAGACAUGCUCAUCCAGGGGAUCUGCCUGAAUGGGCUGAUGUGCUGAUUGAUUUCCAUUUCUUCUUCUGUUAGUCUUUUUGGGAGGCAUGUUCUAUAACCAGAAGGAAGAAAAGGAUUAUUAGCUUGAGCUCAUGCUCACUCGCCCGACAUGAAUACUGAAAAAAGGGAAACUUUUCCUAAAAAUAUCUCAUAGCCUCCUGUCCAUAAGUGUGGUGUACUACACACCUAUGCACAAGACUCUACUUGAUAUGGAUUUUAGACUCCCUAGGAUUUUUUUGAACCCUAGGCUCUGAUAUCAAGGUAGUAACGAGCUGAAAGUACACCCUGGGUAUCAUACGACGCUUACGAUCCCGAAGGGCCACAAGCUAACCCAUGACUAUUAUCUGUUGUGAGCAUUGAAUAAUAAUAUGUGAUAAAUGUGAAAAAUAGGUUGAAAUUCCAUAAGGUUCAAAAGAUCUGGAAUACUGAUAAAUAUACCAAUCAAUUAAAAAUAUCUAAAAACUAAACACUAUCUGAACUGGUCUAGUCUAAAAGCCUCUAGCUGAAUUGUCUGAAAGUGGAGUUAAUGGGACAAAACCCAACUAACUCCAAACUACUGAACUAAUGAUAAACUAAAAUACUAAAAUAAAAACAUAUCCUCAAUAGAUGAGGACUCAUUACUAAAUCUGCGACUGCUGACUGGGUCUGUCUAAGCGUGGUCAGAAACCUGAGCGUCCAAACCUAUGAUAUGAAACAUCAUAAGGCAAUAAAGUAUGCGUCAAUAUGUGGGAAUGUACUAGUAUGCUAGAUAAGGAAAUGUUGAAUGCAAGGUCUUAUAUGCAUGAACAAUAACUAACUGAAUGAUAUAGAGAAACUGAAUGUAAGAGUACAUGAAUAACUGAUACUACCGAAAUCACUGAGUAUGCAAUAUUGUGGACAUGUGUAUAUAUAUAUAUAUAUACUGUAUCUGAGAUUUUAUGAAGCUGAGUACUAAGUUUGAUAACUGAGUAACUGAUAACUGAUGUUCUUAUACUGAUUGACUGUGUCUGACAGUCCUGAUUCUGUAAAAUUAAAUUGAGUUCUAAACGAAGACUGAAAUUGAAAUUGUGGGAGGUAAUCAUCUUACUGACAUGCCCCAAAUCUGAGCUGAUAGAGUCAAACCUGUAACCCCAUUUGGAAGGGUUCUAAUAUCGUGCCAUGGGUACUAAUAAAUAAACAUGUAUUUUGGUUGAUCCUAUUUAUAACAUAAGUGAUAAACAACGCAUAAAUUAAUAAAAGAACAAUAAGAACAUUACAAAUUAUAACAAAGGGUACUUCUUAAAUAAACUAACUACCCCAAAUAAACAUGCACAUAAAGUAAAUGUAAGAAAAAGAACAAAUUCGCAAAAUUAAACAAAGAUUAGUUUUGGUCUUAUUCGGAUCAGAGCCCCAACUUGUUAAUCAUUAUCCGACCUAAUAGUCGGAUUCUUAAACAAGUAAAAAUGUCAAACGUCGUGUAAUGUCUCUGGGUAUCAUCACUUCUGAAUGACUAUCUUCCCCACCCCAUCUAGGCUGAUUGCUAACCUAAAGGCGCACUAAAAAGGGAUAAAACUAAUGCCUCUAGAAAUGUCUAUCUCCCCACCUAUCGCCCAAGAGGCAUUGGGCUUUGCUAAUUUGGAUUUGUGGUCUAGACGAACAAAGAUAUGUUUUCUAGACCUCAAAGCGCCUAAAACACAAAAGAUGUCAAGUAGCAUAUACUGUCUCAAGUUAGCCUCUUGGUUAAUUAAAGAGUGAUUAAUGUGAUCAAGAUAAGUAAUUACUAUUUUUUGAUGUAGUUAAGCUAUAGUCAUGGUAUCUAUGUGUUAAGAAAUUAUUUAAUAUGAUGAAAGAUAAUUGUCAUUUACGUCAAAAUAAUGUGUGUUAUAAAAUUUGCCUAGGUUGUCAUAUAGCACAUAAAGCACAUAGAUCUUUGUCCCCUCCCCCAAGCAGUCCCAAAUUUUAUUAUUACAUCAGAAUAACGCUUAUACAAUAAAUUCCUACAUACUAAAAAAAAUAAACUACACUCGGGCGACUCUUCAAAACCCCACUUUAAUGACACUUGUUGAAUACAACAAAAUAAUAAUGCAAGCACAAGACAAACCCACACAUGAUUUGGCACAUCGAAACAAUAAAGAAAGGCAUAGCAAGCAAGCAAUGAGCAAUUAUUUCAAGCUAACUCAUGUAGGCAUACUUUCUAAUAUCAUAACGUUAUUACACUGGAUAUAUAAAAUGCAUCAAAUGCAUCAAUGAGAGAGACUCAAUAGUGAGACUACAAGUAAUAAUAAUAAUAAUAAUAAUAAUAGGACUUUGAAUAAAAACAGUAAAAGUAAUGUCCGAAUCCGACGACUACUGAAUUCCAAAAGUACCACUAAGUUUGAAAAAAAAAAGUAAUUAUUUUGUAUAUGGACUAGUUGAGAACUUUUGUGAUCCAUAGUAGUAGUGAAAGUGGGAUAAAAAAAGGUGCCCUCUCAGAGAGAAGAAAAAAAAGGGUUUAUAUAGUGUAGGGAGGGUGGUGUCAUCAAAAGAGUAAAAGGAAAAAAGUAAUUUUAUUACUUAAAUAGAUAGCAAAAUUAUAAGGAAAACUGAUAUAUUUUUUUUGCCUAGACGCAAGAUCUGCCUAAAAAUUAAGGAGAAAAUAUUUAAAAUAGCUAAUUGGGAGAAUUAAAAGGAAAAGAAUAAAAUAUUUAAAAUAGCUAAUUAAAAUAGCUAGUUGGGAAAAUUAAAGAAAAGAAAUAUUCAUCAAUAGGAAAGGCGGCUGAAACAAUUAAGGAAACGAAAUAAUCAUUAAGCAAAUUGUCAAAAUUACCAUGAAAAGAAAUUGAACAAUGCGUUGCUCACUACUAUCCGAUUUGUUCAAAUUUAACAUAUAAAUUAAACUGCAAUUUAAAGGUGUAAAAAUCAGUCACAGGAAAACAAAACCAACCAAAUAGACAAGUUAAGCACUAAUUAAAGAGUUGUACAAAUCAUCCAUAUAAAUCAUGUCAUAAUGGAAUAAUUAAGGGUAUGGAAAUCAGUCUAAAGAAAUUAAACCAACUACGCAUAUAAAUCAUACCGUAAGGAGAAGAAUCAAAUAUUAGGGAGAGAGAAUCGAUGUCAAAAAUCAGAGUCUAAUAACCAGCCAGGAAAAUAGGAUAGCAAACCCUUAAGAACACUAGUUGCAAGCCUAGCCAAAAUUAGGCUUAAAACAGUUCACAAAAAUAGACAUUUUCACACCUAUGGAUUUAAGCACAUAAGCGCACAUGAAAUUGCAAGAAUCAAUUUAAAAUUCGUAAUCAAGUCUUGUCAAUUUUGAAUCUAAAAAAAAUAUUGAAAGGCAAAGAAGGGAAGAAGAUAAUAACAUACUGGACAUGCAAUUAAAAUGAGAAAUUAAAACAUUGGACAGAUUCUUCAGAAUCUGUCAUAAAAAAAUAAUUAGUCCUCUCGGUAGGUUUGACCGGCAGUGAGGCGGCAGUGGCUUAAGGUUCUGUUGACUAGAGUAGUGGUGGCUGGUUGCGUGGAUCUGGAUGCUGGUGGGCGACUGAAGCAGCGACGGCGUCAGCAUGGAUGCUGGCGUUCGUGACGGCGGAAAUUUUAGUGUUAGAGUGGAGACAUAGAUUGGAGGUUGCUGGGGUUGAUACUGUCGUUGUUUUUUCGGCCGUAGACGGUGUUGCGGUGGCGGUGGCAGGCGGAUCCUUAGAGAGACAGGGGAGAGAUAAAAAGAGAAAGGUUAAGGGGGCCAGCAACGAGAAACAAAAAAAGAGAAAGAAGAUGCUGAGGCAGCUGCUCUGGUGGUUCACCGGCCAUAGUGGCUGGUGUUGUGGUGGAGGUUGGCUGGCGACAGCUUGGUUGUUUUAGAUAGAAGGGAGAGAGAGGGAAUGAUGUGCGGUUGAUUAAGGAUUUAGGGUUAGGGUAUUGAUUGUCUAAAAAUAAAAGAAAAGAGAAAUGUGAUCUUAGCUAUUGGAUAAAUUUGAUCAACAGCUGAGAUAUAAAUAUUAAGAAAUUGACCCAAAUUGGCUGAAAAUUUUAAAUUGAGUCUAAUUAGACACAAUUUGACUAGAAUUGUAAUAAAUUGGGUAAAAUUAGGUUAAAAUUAUUAUAGAUUGGAUAGAAAACAACUAAAAUUUAAAUAAAUUAGGAACUUGAAUUGAAUUAGGCUACUAAGUAAUAAUGACGAGAACAAAAUAAUAAGGCGCAUGUGAAAUUAAUGUUAUAUAAAAUUAUAGAUAAUAGUAAUAAUAAAUACAAUAAAUUUAUAAAUUGUGAGUGUGUACAUUUACGUAAAAAUAAAUAUAUUAAUAAAAUUAUCAAAAAUAUCAAAUUUGAAUUAAUAAGUUGUGAAAAAUAAUACUAAAAAGUAAUAAAAUAUUUUAUACAUUUUAAAGUCAUGAAUGUGGCUUGUCCAAAAUUAUUUGAUAUCGUUAAAUAAUUUUAACAAAAAUAGCAGCCUAAGAGAACAUCAGGAGGUCAAAAUUGGGUGUCAUCACGUGGCACAUCAGUGAAUAAUACACUAAAUGUCCAUGUAGGCAUACGUAUAUGCCACAUGGGCACUAAUGUUGACAAAAAUACGAUUUUAAUUAGUCGGGAGAUAAUAGGACCAUGCUAAAGUUCGAGAGUAUCUCAGCAUUUUCGUGUAUAUUUUGGGUGAAAACAGAGUAACUUUCUCUUUGUUUUUAUGAAUUUGUGAUUUUACUUGAUAACUCGCUAAAGAAGAUUUUAAUUUAAUUUUUUUGAUAUUGGAUGAAUAAAAAAACUUAAUAAACUCUAGAUUAAUUUUAAUUAUCUUUCCAUCCACAUAGAAAAUUUCUGAACUAUUUGCAUGAAAUAUGUAAUACCCCGCAAAGUCCUCUUCCAGUCUGAGCCUUAGAGCGUACUCAGUAAAGUGGAAAUCUGAGGCUAAAAGUUUCAAAAAUAUUUUCCUAAGUAUAAAUUAAUUUUAGUCAUGUGGAAUUUCUCUAAUUUCUACUUUUUUCAUGUAGAGCAAUGAAUAAGCUUUCUAUCGAUACCAAAUUCGCCCAAAUCGGACACUUGGGUGAAGGGUUAGAGCCAUUUUAGUGAGACAGUGUGCCACCUCGCACCUUAGCGCGUUGCACAGCCAGCCAAAAUGACAAUCGUCAAAAUCCAAUGAGCCUCCGCAAUUCCACCGCAUCGCGGUAUAGUUUCAAUUCCCAACCAAGAUGGCAAUGCGAUUUCCACCGCGUUGCACCGUCGUGCAGUUUCUCAAUUGUCCAUUUUCCAGUGAACUAGCGCGAUUAUGGCGCGUCGUGCCAGCAUAAAAAAUUGGAAUUUUUAGUUUAAUUCCAAGGACGAAAAGGAAUUUUUCCCAACCCUAAUAUAUACCCACUUUACACAAGAAUUGGCCUCAUUUUCUCUCUUUCCACUCUACAAAAAUUAGGGUUUUCAAGAAAAUUAAAAUAUCCUCUCUUCUUCAAGCAAAAAUCAAGAAAGAUCUAGAGAAAUCAAGAAUCUCUCCAAAGGCCUUCAAUAAAAGAGUUUCCCCAAGGUACGUAGAUGUUGAUUCUUGGGUCCCUUUCAUCUAAGAAGCUCAAAACCCCUUUUUAAAACUUCAAAAUUUUUAUGCUUAUGAGAUUCCAUGAUUUGUAUGAGUUGAAAUUGAUGUUCCUUGUGAUGUUGAGUUUUGAUUUAUGUUUGUGUACAAGAUUUGUGAGCUUUGACCUUAGUAUGUGGAAUUUAUGUGAUGCGUUCAUGGCAUUUGGUUGUAGAAAUGGUUGAAUAAGUGAAACAUAUCCCCCAUAGGUUUGAUAAAGAGCUUAGUUGAAGCAUAAGGGUGAUUGUAGUAUGUUGAAGAUGAAACCCCAAAGUGUGAGUUAGUCUAUGCAUGCCUAGUAUUUGAUAAAAUGCCCAAGUGGAUGAAUUAUUCCAUGAUAGAGGGAAAUCCCUAACUAAGUGUGAACCCGUGCAUGUCUAGUGUUUGUUGAAGGACUCUAGUGAACAAGUGGAGAUAUGAUGGUAGUAAAUUCCUCAAUUAUGUGCUCUUUGAUAUCUGCUAAGCUUUUAAUACAUGCUAAGUGAUUAGCAAGUAAGUUGAGACAUGAUAGUAUGAAGUUUUCCCCAAAUCAAUUGAUAUCCAAGUACAUGUCAAGACUGAUUUAGGUGUGAAGUACUUGAGGUAAAACCUUGUUGAAGGAAGUAUAAUCUAGUAGCAUAUUUCCUUACGCUAGUAUAUGUUGAUGUUUCCUAAAUACUUGAUGUGAUACCUUAAUGAUUGUAAAGGUGAAGGUAUGUUAUGUUUCCUAAAUACUUGAAGAGAUGCUUUAAUGAUAAUGAUGAUGAAUGAAUGAAUGACUAUGAUGAUGAAUGAUUCGACUGUGAUGAUGAAUGAAUGGUUGUGAUGAUGGAGGAAUAAUUCUACUUUAUUUUAUGCUAUCGAGUCCUGGGGGUAUUUAUACCCUGUAAUUUAGCUGUUGUAUAGAGCUCGUGUCAGUUUCUCGAUAAUUCCAGUCGAGCCAUAAUUCUCAGAAUUCAGUGAACUAUAGAACUUUGUAUCCUCAGAUAGUUACAGAACUUAAGAAAGCUCAGUAAUCUCAGUUAUCUCAGUAAUCUCCGUAUCGCUAGUUAUCUAGCCUUAGUCCUGUAAUCAACUCAGAUCUAAGAGUAUUCAAGUGUUCAAUUCUAAUCUAAGAAACGAUUUAAGUAAUCAUAAUCUAUUCAAGCUCUGUAUCGUCAGUCAGAUACUGUGAUUCAAUGCUAUUUUCGUCAGAUAUGGAACUAAGUGAUCUCAGCGUAGCUUAGUCAGAUAUUUUGAUAAACAUGAUUAGUAUCAGAUUUAGUUCAGUUGUGUUCAGUUAAAAAUUUAGUCAGAGUCUUUCAGUUGGGAGUAGAAACUAGCAUCGAGCAAGGAAAGAGAUGACAGCUCCUCCUGUCAGUGAGAGAGAGAGAGAGGCCGAAGUCGUUAGUAGCAAUCUCUGACCUCUAGAACUAUGUAGCCAGCUCAAGAUACAGGAGUCAUCAUCUGGAAAAGGCUGUCACCUCCAGAGGGAGAGUAUUUGACUAUUAUAUUGCCUUAGGUUGACUGCCUGGUAACGUUCAUCCAUCAGAGAUGAUUGACCAGAGAGAAUUCUUUACCCGUGGCACGGUAUUGACACCCUUCUAACUGGGGUUACAGGUUGGACCCUACCUAUGGUAGGGGUAUGUCGGUUAAGUAACUACUUCCCACAGUUUCAGUCUCAAUUUUAGUAUCAAUCUUCAGAAAUUAGGACUGUCAAAUACAGUCAUCUAUCUUUAUGAAGAACUCAGAUAGUUCCAUCAAUUCAUGGACCAUCCUGUCAGAUAGGCUUGGUCUCAUAUAUAGUUCUUUGAUGUCAUAUUCAGAGAUAUGCCUCUAUAUAGGCUUGAUUCACAGUCUCAGAUUCUAUUGAGUAUCCUUGUUGUCAAAUUUAGAUAUAUUCAUAUUUCUUAUCAUUGAUAAUAGUUUUUGAAAUCAUCCGUUAGAGAGGUUGAUCUCAAAUCCUGCCAGUCGAAAGUAGUAAAGCUCAGAAUUCAAUCCUUGAUGUAAGUGCAUCCAGAUACUCAGUUAUCAAUAUCAGAUGAAUCAGUGAUUCAGUAUCUCAGUGUCAGUAGUGAGUUCAAUCUGCGGUAAAGUGGUAUCCGAGUUUCAGUAUCUAGAGUUGUGAUGAUUGUGAUUAUAGUCUGUGCAUUCAUGUAUGUGUUCUCGUGCGACAUUUUCAUGAUUAUACAGUUUAGAUAUUGUGCACGCACGAGCCUUUGAAUUUAGCCUUACCUUGUCUACAUACUCAGUACAUUCCUGUACUGACGCAUUUGCGCUAUAGUGUUUUAUUUGGCACCAUAGGUUCAGAGGCACAGAACCCAGAGUUUUCUCAACAGUUCCAUCCCAGUCAGCAGCAGUAGUCGUAGCAGUGAGUCCUCUUCUUUUGAGAACGAGUUUCAAUUUACUAUUAUUUACAUAAGAUUUUAUUUAUAUUUUCAGUUAACAGAGUUAGUUAGGGUCAUGUCCCAUCAACUCCAUAGCUCAGACAGUACAGAGGCUUUUCAGACAGAUGUCGGAUGUAUUAGUAUUCAGUUUUUUGUAUUUGAGUAUUUAUAGAUGUGUUGAACCUUAUGGUUAGUCUCCGCAUUUAUUUUAGAUAUUAUGCAGUAUACAAGUGCAGCUAUCAGAAAAGGGUUAGCUUGUGGUCCUUCAGGGUCAUAAGCACCGUGUGACGUCUUGGGAUGGGAUCUCGGGACAUUACAAAUCCAAAGGUCAAAUAUCGCACUUUUAGGACGAAAUCAAGUCAAAUUGCACAAUUUUAUUGUCAAUCAGUAAUCGAUCUUCUUAGUAAAGACACCGAAGCACAAAAACAUAAUCAAAUCGUACUUCAUAAAGGGUAGAGAAUUGAAUCACAUGAGUUCACAAUAGAGCAGUUAAUACAAACAUUUAUAAAUUUUUAAACGAUGAAGAGUACAAUUUUUUACUACAUUUUGGUGCAAAAUCUAAACACAACUUGUGUUGCAUGCUAAAAUGUCUUUAAUAUUCAACUAUUACUCAUGUACUCGCUGAAAUUAAAAUAAAACACGAUAAUUUCUCUUAAAUUUUUCAAUGAAACUAUAAAUCUAAAGUAUACGGUUAACUUAAAACAUUAAUAUACAUAUUAGAGUAAAUACAAAAUUAUUUUAAAAAUAAAAUUUACUGACAAAUAUAAAGGGAUGUCAAUGUAUUUCACAUUUUCGCUACCUUAUUUAAUUAAAUAAAUUAUCCAUCUUUACAUGUUCAAGAGAUGUUGGAUUCAUUUUUAUUAUUUAAAUAAAUAUCAUAUUUAGUGUAGAGUUUAAACUCAUUAAAGUGAGGUACACGCAUGAGGUUCGUACACCAAAACUAAUAUAAAAAAUAUAUGACAAGAGGUAAGAGUAAAUUCCCUAAGUGAUCAUCCAUAUUUGGAAAGUGCUACUAAUAUCACUUUUAUUUUUUUUUAGAACUAUAAUAUCAUUCAACUGUCACUAUUUUCCUCCAAAUAUAUUUUACACAAUUAAAAACUACUUCUCUCCUAGUUGGAUGUCAUACCAUAUGAAACUUCUUCUUUUUUUCCUUAAAUAAUAAAUAAUACAUUAACUAACCCAUUUAACUCAACCAAAUUUUAGACUGUCAAAAAAACUAAUACAAAGCCUAAAAAUUUCCUACACAAUUCUAUGUCAAACAUUACAUUAAGGAUACAUAAUCUUACUUUAUUUUCUAUAAUUAGUUGGACUUAUGAUUAUAUGCCUCUUCGCUAAUUCUUGAAUUUGAUUAGGGAUAUUUAUUAAUUUUAAGUUUAUUAAUCCCACCAUUUACAAAAUAAUUAAUUUCAUGAGAUGUCCUAAUCCAUUAAAAUAAUUUUGUCUAUCUUAUUUCUGUGCCAAACGACCCCUUAAAGUUUUACAUAAUGAAUGCCAAUUGAAAAACAAUGUACAAGAGAAAUAUUUGCAAAAUAAAGACUACAAGAAAAUUUAUACGACUCUUUCAAAGAUAUAAAUGAUUUUAUUAAGAUCCUAAAAGGGAAUAAUUUACAAACUCAUUGAUUCUUUAUAUUUUUAGUUUAACUAGUUUAACCGCACGUGUCUCACACAUCUAACAUUUGAUACUUAAAGUUAAAUAAUUGUAUCUAUUGCGGGAAUUUUAAUCAAGUGUAAAAAGUUCAAAUCACUUUUCAAAGAUCGUUCACACUUUAAUAUAUUAGUGUAAACAUAAACACACACACACAAACACACACACAUAUAUAUAUAUAUAUAUAUAUAUAUAUAUAUAUAUAUAUAUAUCUUUGUGUGUGUGUUUAUGUUUAUAUUAUAUAUGUUUAUGAAGUUCCAAGUAGUUGAUGGAUCAUAACUUUUGUGUUUGCUAUCAAUACCUAUUUCCCUUACUGGCAGAGACUAAGAGAGUCUCAUCAAUUUGAACCACAUCUGUGGUGUGAUUUUUUUUUUUCUAUAUUUAAAAUCUUUUCGUGUUUUUAAAGUCAAAUCUUUAUAAAACGAUUGAUUACAUUCUUAAAAUACUUUAAACUUUUUAAAAUUUGAUACUUCUUAAAUUUUUCUUAUUCUAAUACUUUUAUAUUUAUUUAUAAAUUUUUUAAAUCUUCUUAAUAUAAAAUUUAGUUGAUUUAGAAUUAUUAAACUAAUGGAAAAAGUAUUAGUUAUCAUUAAUUCUAAUGACUUCUAAUAAGGAUAGGUUUUACCAUAAAUAUAUUUAAUCAAUUUUAAACUCUUUAAUAUUAGGAAAAAAAUGAAAGACGAUUUUGUCGAGAACAAAGACUUUUAAUGAAGGAUAAAAUGUUUAAAUAAUAUUUCCGAGGCCUUCACACUUUUAAUAUAUUAUGGAUAUGGAUAUCGAUAUAGAUUAUAGAUUAUAGAUAUAGAUUAUAAAUAUAGAUUAUCUAUAUUAUAGAUAUAAAUAUAGAUUAUAGAUAUAGACAUAGAUAUAGAUAUAGAGUAGAGAUAAGAUAACUUUAUAAUUAAGAAGAUUGACGGGUGUGGAGUCAAUAUUUUUCGAGUUACCGUUUAUUAUUAGUACAAACAAUUUCUUUUGAUAAGCAAAUACAUCUAAAACAACAUCAUAGCGAGAAUUGAGAAAUGAGAUUAAUAAUUUCCUUAUACUUUGUAGUUUCUUCAUCUCAGUUUAUUUCAUACAAUCUUUAUCUUAAAAGUUAGAACAUGAUGUUUGGUUGAAUUAUUUGAUGAAUAUUAAAAAUCCUGUUAUUCCCUGGAUCAAAUUCAAGAAUCGGUGGAAAGAUAUAUAAUCAUGAGUCUAACAAAUUAUAAAAAAUAAAGUAAAAUUAUGCAAAAAAAUGUUAUGACGGAAAGAGGUAAAUACAAAAAUAAAGAAAGUAAAGAACACCAAAUUUAAAGUGAAAAAACCCUUCAAGCGAAGGUAACAACAACGGGAUCACAAAGAUCAAAAUUGCUUCACUAUAACAAUAAUAGGGUUGCAAAUAUUCUUCCAAUGGCCACACAACAAGAUACAAAUUUGGAGAAGAAAUAGCUACACUAACAAAAGUAAAUCAAGAGAAAUCACUCGAAACAGAGCUACUAUUCGAAACACAAAACAAGAUGCUACGAACCUCAAAAUCCGAUCUCCACCAUUCAAAUCAAACAACAAGAUUUUUGAAAUACUCAGUCAAAAUUUCAGACCUCUCCAAUGGUGAACAAGGUGGAAAACACGAUUUGAAGUUGGCUAGUCAGAGAGAAAAAAUUCACAACAAACUCUCUUUCUCUCUUCUCUCUUUGGUAAAAUCUCUCUCAAAAACCUCUCUUAUGUGCUAAUGUCUACCAAAAACAAAUACUAAUAAACAUGAAUAAUUCUCUCUGAAAUAGUCCUAUUUAUAGAUGAUGGGUGGUGCUUUUCCUAAAGUCAAACCAACUCAAAAUAAGAAUAAAAAUCCAAAUCCUUUUCCAAAUAGGAUUGAAAACCAAAAGAUAAUAUGAUUAGGCCAUGGGCCUUUGGCUGGAACAUGAACCACGACCCAUAAACUCCCCCUCCAUCCAAGGAUACAAAUGUUUCUUCAGGCAGAGGAACUCAUGAUAGGCUUCAUGCCUGGCAAAGUUCUAUAAUACUCAUGUUUCUCAACAACCACAAAUUUUAUUAACAAAUCUGAAGGAUUUCCAUUAUUAUUUAUCUCAACUUAUAAACUUACAUCUAAGAAUAGCACCAUAUGAAUAAAAAACAUUUUCAUAACAGGAGAGAAAAUUUUAUCAAAGUCAACUCCCUUUCUCUGGCCGAAGCUUUUGACAACUAGCUUCACGUUAUACCUAUGUGCAGAGGUAUGUUGAUCUUUCUUUACUCUAAAGAUCCAUUUGUUUUUUAGAGCUUUUGAAACAUCCUGGCUUUUGACCCUUAGAAAAUUCCCUAGAAUUCUGUUCUUCAGACCCAAUACGACUCAUGGGUACUAGCUGUAUGUUGGAGUAAAAGUGGUAUGGUCCUAUCGUAUGCUGACUAGUUUUAGUUAGUGGGAUGGUUUUGGUCACUGGAAUGGGUACGAAUUUAGGUCAUGAGUCGUAAGGGUUUGAUACGAGUCGUAGAAGGGACUCGUAUGGUGGGAAGUAUUUGAUCCUCCUGGUAUUUCAUUCUGCCAGGGAUACGAGUCAUGGAUACGGAUCAUGGAUACGGAUCGUAUGUUAUGGUUAUGACUUUAUUGGAUGGGUCGUAUACUGUACAAUGUUUGAUCCAAGGGUUGAGUAUUGGAUAUAAGUGGAGGAUACCAAUCGUAUAGGAGGUACAACUCGUAUGGGUCAGUUGUAUCCCUGUGAUGGGUUUUUAGGGAAUUUAAGUGGGGGUAUUCUGGACAUUUCCCUACUUACCCUAUGUAAUACCCCAUACUAAUCUUAGCUCAGUUUAACUCUUAGUAGUAUGCAUAAGAGGCUUAAAUCCUGAAAAUUUCACUAAGUGUUUAGAACUUAGUAAUUUUUAAGACCUUUUAACUUUGAGGAUUGUUAAAUUAGUCUUCCCAACCCUGAGAUGUUGGUUUUUGAGUUAAUGCAUGUUCAGGGUGUAAGAAGCAUAUCUCAGGGAAGUUUUGGAUUUUUCAGAUAAGGAUUGGGUCAUGUUUGGAUCACGAUUCCAGUAGCUCAUUGAGAUAAGGCCGAGUCACAAUAGUAAUAGCGAUGAAACCCUUAUCACAUCACAGUGACCCUAUAAACCGUAUUCCAAUUAUGAAUUUAAUUGCAUGAGGGGCAAUUGUGUUAUUUUCCCUUAAUUCAAUUUGUCAAUUCAUGAAUAAUAACAUCCGUUAGGGCAUUAUUUGCCCAUCUUCUUCAAUUCUCCUCUCAAAGAAACCCUAUUCACUUCCCAAGAACAUCAAUUUCCAUUACUUUCUCUCUAAGGAAAAAAACCAUUCAAGUUCCUAAAUCCAAGAACCUUUAAGAAAGUAUCAAGAUUGGUGUUUCUCUUUCAAGAUUAAGGAUUUAAGGUAUGUGGGAGUGCACAGAUGGGUCUGUUUUCACCCAUGUAGCCCAAGAAUCCUCUUUUUAUUUUUAAAUUAUGAGUUUUACAUGUUUCAAGUUGAAUUAUUUCUAUGAAUCUCUUGUUGACUUCAAUUAUGAGUUAUGGUCUCAUGUGUUUUCUAGUAAAAUGAAUCAUAUCAUAUUUGAGUAUUGAAAUUUCCAUACUAUGUUCAAUUGAUUUUACAAUGAAUCCCCAAGUUAUGAAUUUAGCUAUGUUAUCCUAUGGUCUUCCCAUGUUCAAGUUCAUGAUUCCCAAGUAUUUGAUGAAAUGUCUAUGCUUUUGAGUCAUUGAACUAUGAUUCAAUCCCAAUGUUUUAAGCUUUACUAAUGUAUUUUAUACUCAUUCAGUGUUGGUGGGUUAUGAAGACCCGAUACCUAUGUGAUUUACAUAAAUUUAGCUUUUCAAGUAUUUAGGCAAUUAAUCCAUGAAUCUUAUCAGUAUACUCAGAUAUCCAUAUUCAUGAUGAGCAUUAUGAGUUUAUGUGUUAUUAAUUACCCCAGAAUUCGUAUGCACUGUUAUUUUCAGAAUACCAUGACCUAAGAUUAUCAGUUAUUAGUUAACAGUGCAUGCACCAAUUAGUAUUCUGGUGUUAUUCAGUUGGGAGUAGGAUUUAGCACCGAGAAAACUCAGGGAUGGGGGCAUUCUUGCCAGUUUAGGGUUUGAUCCUAAGUAGCAAUCUCUGAGUUACAGAACUAUAUAGCCAGCGUAGGUUUGAUAUGUCUUCCUUCCAGUUUAGCGUUGACACAAAUCACAUGAAUAUCCUGGCAGUAUAGGGUGACUCCUUAGUCCUUCGAGACACCAAUUUAGUAGAUCCACACAGCCAGUGUUAGUACCCGUGACACGGUACUAACACCCUUCCUACUGAGGUUAUAGGUUGGACCCUAAUUAACUCAGAAUGGGUAUUUCAGUUAGAUGAUACCUCCCAUAGUCUCAAUACAGUAUUCAGUACAGUUUCAGUUCAGGUUUUCUUGACCAAAGCAUACAGACUCUCAAUUAUUCAGUUAUCAGAUUUCAGUAUUUUAUUUUAUAGAUUAUUGCAGAAAUUUAUCUGUGCUUAGUCUUGCAUUCUCAGAUAUUAUAAUUUCAUGCAUUCAUGCUCAGUUAUCCCAUGUUGUUUAGUUAGUUCUUACCUUAUAUGCAAGUACUCCACAGUUUUAGUCCAGUUUUUUAGACGUUAGUUAUUCAGUAUUCAACUAUCAGUCAUUCAGUUAACUAGAUCAGCUUAGUAAAUGCUGUGUUUAGUUUUGUAUGUUUAUGCAUUCAUGCUCAAUAUAAUUGUAUAUUCAGAUCCUCAAGUUAGGCAAAUUUCUAUCAUGUAGUUUUAGACCCAACAAUCAUACAGUAUCCAUGUUUUACUAUUUUCCAGCUUCAGUUCUACUUAUUCUACAGAAGAAAAGAUAUUAAGAAACUAAGUGUAGUGAUUUACCAGCUUAUUAGAUUGUGUUUGUUACUCAUGUUUUAAGAUAUUUCAACUUUUAGUUUAUUUCAGUCUAUUGGUGAUUUUACUUACACUUAAUAUGCAUGUUUUAAGAUUACAUAUGAAAUUAGUUUUACUUUUUGCAUUCGCCCCUUCUUAGUAAGUACAUUCCAAAAGUACUAAUCCACAUGUACGUCUGUGUAGCUACAUUAUUUCAUAAUGUAGGUACAAGUUGUAGUCCAAACAUCAUAAUCAGACAGUUGUAAUUUCUAGCCAACAGGUGAUGUGUUCUUCUAUUUUAGGGACUUCAAUUAGAUAUUGUUAAAAUACCCCGAAAGUAUACCCUGGACAUCACACAGUGCUUACGAUCCCAAGGGACCACAAGCUAACCCAUGAAUUGGUACCUGCUAUGAGCACUAAAUAGUAUACUGAUAACAAAGACACCAUGUGUAGAAAUUAACUAAAAAUGCCAUAAGGUUUAAUGCUGAAAAUAAUAUUGAAUCAUAAAAUUGAAAGCAACUAUCUGAAAAUUGAUAAAAACUGAUAAUAUAACUGACUGUCUGAAAGUGUCUGAAAGCCUCUAACUGACUAAGAAGUUGAUGGGACAAGCCCCUAACUAACUCCAACUGACUACUAAAAUGAAAUACUGAAAUAGACAGAAACAGUCCUCGAUAUAUGAGGACUCACCACUGCUUCUACUGCAGAUGCACUAAAAUAUCUAAGUAAGGUCGGGAUCCAGAGAGUCUUAACCUAUGAUAUAAGACAUCAUAGCACAAAAAAUGAGUAUAUAAUUAGUACUUUGAAUGUACUGGUAUGCUAGAUGAGGUUAGGUUGUUAUACAUGGGUUAUGUGCAUGAGUAAUAACUGAAUGAAUGAGUAGCAUGAGGUAACUCAAUAACUGAUAUGAAUGUGUGAGUGUUAUAAAAUCUAAAAAUACAUGACCAAGUAUAUAACAUUAUUUUGAUAUAGCCUAUAAACUGAAAUACUGAAAUUUGAUAAUUGAAGAACUGAUAAACUGUAUGCUAUGGUCAAUCAAAACUGAAUUGAGUUCUAAACUGAAUACUGAAAUAGAAAUUAUGGGAGGUAUAAUCUAACCAACAUGCCCCAAAGCUGAGUUGAUCGGGGUCUAACCUGUGACCCCUGUUGAAAGGGUGCUAGUACCGCGCCACGGGUACUAACAAUGAUUGUGUCGGCCCUAAACUAACAGGAAGACAUCUUGUCAAUCCUAAGCUAACAAGAAGACUCAUGAGAAAUGUGUCAACUCUAAAAUAACAGGAAAACAUCUUAAACCUACGCUAUCUAUGUAGUACUGUAACUCAGGGAUUACUACUAAGGGUCAAACCUUAUACUAACAGGAAUGCUCCCAUCCGUGGGUUCGCUCGGUGCUAAAUCCUACUCCUAACUAAACUGACACUGAUUAUGGGACUGAACUAAGUUUAACUAAAAAAGGAACUGACUCGAAUUACUGAACUGAUCUAAGUUUAACUGACAUGAUAACUGACUGAACUGAAAAUGCUCAUACCUGUCUGAAACAAUUUUGAAAAUGCUGAGAAUAAGUAAAUAACUAAAUUUUAGGCAUUCAUAACCCCUAUGACUCAAUAACAAUAACAACAGAGACACAUGAAAGCAUUGAAACCAUGGAAGGAAAUCAUUGUUCACAAUCAUUCACUUAAGCAUUUCAUCAAAAUAUGAGGGCCAAGAGAUAAAGCAUGGGAAUAGUUAAAUCAUGUGAUAAUAACAUAUUUGCAAUAUGAAAAUCAUGGAUUAAGGAUUUAACAUGCAAAUAUCAUCCUUCAAAUGUGUCAGGGGCUAAUUUAACGGAAAUAAUUUAGAAACAUGAUAUAAAAAUCAAAAUUCAUUAAAGUUCAUGGAUAUAAUUCAUAAUAACAUGUAAAGAUCAUAAUUUUAAACUUGAAAAUGGAUUGUUGUACUCCAUUGAUAAAAAGGACCCAUGAAUGAACAUCACAUAUACCUUAUAGCUUUAAUCUUGAAAGAGAAUUAACUUUUCUUGAACUUUCUUGGAUUGGGAAACAUAACUUCUUGGUUUUCUUGAAGAAGGGAUAGAAUCUUGUUCUUGGGAUAUGAUCUAGAGAGGACACCCUAAUCUUGUUAUUGGGAAUAAAGAGGGUUAAUGGCUUUUAAAAACUGAUUGAUAAUGACUAAAUACGCUUAUAAGGUGAUUUAAGUCAUGGCAGGGUAUGGUUUGAGGUAAGCAAAAGAACAAAAUACCCCUCCGAAGCUAAAUAAUAAUUGCUAAAAUUUUUAGUUGAUGACUUAGUUGAUAGCUUAUUAACUUAAGUUGUCAACCCAUAGUUUGAUUUGGACCCUUGCUGUCUAAGGGUGACGACUUGGCUGAUAAGUCAUCACUUAGUUGAUGGCUUAUCACCUCAAGUCGUCACUUUGUAGUUGAGGUUGAUCAUAUUCUGGUUAAGGAUGAUGAAUUGGUUGGUAAUUUGUAACUUAGUUGAUGGCUUAUCACCUCAAGUCAUCACCUUGUUGACAGACAGAUAUGCUGAUGUAAAAUGAGCAUAACUUUUCACUUCGAUGUCAAAUUAAGGUGAAAUCAAGUGCAUUGAAAAUAAGACUCAAAGACCUUUCAUUUGAUAUAAAGUAGGACACUUGGAAAAAUAUAUUAUAGGAUAUACACUCAUCUAAAAUGGACCCUAGCUGGAGCAUUUGUUAAAACCCUAUCGAUAGAAAAGUCCUCAUCUCGUCUUUAAGUUAGGAGAGUAUUAUGACCUCGAUCAAUAUACAAGGAUAUUCCCAUAUCAUAUAUUUAAUAAUCACAUACAUAUAUACAUACAAUAACUAGGUUCAAGUUUGUAUGCAUAGGAACAACGAUUUGAAUUCUAGCUAAAAAAUGUGGGGUGUUACAUUAUCUCCAUCUUAGGAACAUUUGCCCUUAAAUGAGACUGGUUAGCUGAGAAUAAUAGAAGAACUAAGAUCAUAGACUGAACGUGUAUGACUAAAAACAUAUUUACAUGACUGAGUUUAAAACAUGACACAUAACUGAACUGAAUUUCGUGAACAUAAGCAAUGACAUGAGAAUGGUUAUAAGGCUGAGAUAGAAACGAGAGAGUCAACUUAUAAGUAACCAUUAUCUUAGGCUGGAUAUGGUUUAGUGAAGUAAAUUUAAGAGUUUUAGGACAUGAAAAUUCAGGCAUUACAAUACAUCUUCCCCUUGGGAUAGUUUGUCCCCCGAAUGAUACUGAUUUGGCCGAAAUACUAAAAAAAGACUGAGAUGAUAUACAAAAUACUUAUGGACUGAAUCAUGACUGAAUAUCUGGAAUAUGAAAUAAGGUCUGAGUAAUAGAGGGUCAAUGACACGAAUUAAUAAAAGAGGUUUGAACUUAGGAUAUGUAUGAUAAGAAUAUGAAUUUCACUGAUCAUUAAGAGUAUAGCAUAAGUACUGGAAUUGAACAUACUAUAAAUCAUGAGUACAUGAGUCAUGAGCUGCAUGACCUGAAUUUGGAGUUCAUAAAUUUAUGGAACAUGAUCUAUAUUGCUGAGCAAACAGGAACUCCUUAUACUAGAAACUAAGAGAAUACAUGAUUUUCGAUAAGAUGCUCGAAUAUGAGCUAUGAUCAUAGAGCUGACAUGUAAGGCAUGAGUAGAUAUCGUGAUAACUAAAGUAAAAAUACUAAAAUAAGCAUGGGUUGGGCAUCUUCCUCUCUAGUAUUAUUCUACAACACUGGCAUCACUACUAGAAUCUGAGAGCCUGACCUGGUUUUUUUUUUCUAUCAUUUCCCCCUUAGCUUUAAGCCAUCACUCUAAGUCUGUGGUACUAGACACUGAUAAGGUAUCUACUAGAGUUUCAGGACUAACACUAAAUUUAACCACUAUUUAGGGGGUUACAAAAAGGAAGUGAAGUUUUGGGGUCUACUAAAACAUAUAAAAGAAUAUGAAAGGACUGUAACAUACCUGUAAAUACAUCAGGAUAACUUUCCUGAUCAUGUCGAGACUGGAGUGCAUAAAGUCUAUUCUGGCGUUGACCACUGAUGGCAUUGGAAGUAGCGCUCUGCUGAGUCAGGUGACCUACUGGAGCUAAAGGACGAUUGUGCUGACUCCGUGGACCAACCUUAGGAUAUUUUCUAACUCUAUGGCCUGGCUCUCCAUAUCCAAAACACACAUCACUGCUAGCUCUACACAUACUUUAUGAUUCCUACCACAUUCACCGCAAAAUGGACACUAGCUGAAUACAAAACUAAGGCUUAAAACUUUUGAUGGAACUAAGAACAGUUACCAUCCUCUGACCCUGGCCAAGUAAAAUUAAAACUACCUGUUCAAGCCCCUUACUCUCUCUCUCUUUCUCCUUAGCCUUCUCCUCCUCAAUCUGAUGAGCAUAAAACAUAAUCCUAGACAAGUCUAUCUCCUUAAUCAACAUAGAAGUCCUACACUUCUUAACUACGCUAUCAGCUACACCAGAAACAAACUUACUUAUUCUAGACCUAUUAUCAGACACCACAUCAGGAGCAUACUUGGCCAACUGAGUAAACUUAAGCGAAUACUCCUUCACACUUAUAGUACCCUAUUUUAUAAUACUAAACUCUAGCACCUUAGCUUCCCUCAACUCUAAAGGAAAAAACUUGUCUAAAAAAGUCGUGGCAAACUCCUCACACUCUACAGGCCCUGCAUCUGUUCCUUUAUCCUUCUUCCACUACUUAUACUAGGUGUGAGCUAAAUCAUGCAACUAUUAAGCAUCCAAUAUGCACUCUCACUAGAUGAGAAACUAAUAAUAUCAAUCACCUUAUGAACCAUGUUAAGGAACUCCUAUGAAUCCUCAUCAGACUUGGAUCCCAAAAACAAAGGAGGAUUCAUCCGAGUGAAAUUUGAAUUCUAGUUGUGCCGGUAUUAGCCACUGGAUUAGCUAGAAUAGUAGCCUACUGGUUGCUAUGAUCUAUUACUGAGUGGGCUAAAGUGUUGAAUGCAGCUCUAAACUCAACAUGGGAAAUAUGCUCAUUAAGGGGAUCUUCUUAAACAGGCGGAGGGAAUGAUUCCCGUUUCUUCUUUUAUUAUUCUUUCUGGGAGGCAUAUUCUAUAAAGGGAAGGAAUAUUGAAUUAGAAAGAAAGUUUGAAUAGAGCUCAUGCUCUUUUACAUGACAUGAACACUGAAAGAAGGAAAACUUUUCCUAAAACAUCUCUUAGCCUCUUGUCCAUAAGUGUGGCACGUUUCACACCCAUGUACAAGACUCUACUCAAUGCAGUUUUAUGACUAUACUUUAUGUAAUUCCCCAUAAAAUUAUCUUCCAGUCUGAGCCUUAGAGCGUGUUGAUGAUAGGCGAAAUUACGCGCCUAUAUCAAUAUAUUUUGCCCAUAUUUUAGCCUAGUUUCGAGAACUAAUUAUCUAUUUCGUACACUUUUAGUCCUUUUUCCUGUAAAUGAGCUAACAAAUGUGAUUAGGAAAGUUUCAGGUAUAAAUGAUGCAAAAUACAGCAAUUUAUGGCUUACUUGACGCAAAAGAAAGCUCACAAACGAGAUGGAAAGGAGCUGGACGCAUAAAGGACUAAAUCUGCUGCAUGGAAAAUCUGUCCCGGGCUAAAACAGCAUUUCUGAAGACUUUGGGACUUACAGACACAAAGCUGGAUUUUUGCCAUAAUACAUUAACCUAGUGCAAUUAGGUUAUGUGUUUCAUCAUUCUAUUUGGAUUAUAAUUUUGUAACCUUACCCUAGUACAAUUGGGUCAAGGAUUUCAUUAGUAUAUUAGGAUUUGGUUAUUUAUUUUAUUAGUUUAGUAGGAGUAGGAUAGGAGUAUUAUAAAUACCCUAUCAUGUUAGAGAUUUUCAAGAAGGGAGACAUUCUGACAAUUCAUUCAUCUCCUUACAAUUAAGACAUCUUCCUACAACCCAUUCUCAAUUCUUCAUUCUUCUACUCUUAAAUUCCACAACAAGAGAAUUGUUACUUGCUACGGAAUCACUAAAACCACACGCCAAACACCUACUAUUCACGCCAUCCACCAUGCAAAACGUGAUAUCCUUCGCAUUCAUGGGUAACUAAAUCUCUUAGUUGGGGUUAUGGAAGCCGAAUGAGUUACUAUCUAUAGCUAUGAGUUUGUGAGUUCAAGACAAGUAUAUUGCUUAUAUCAUUAUUCUCUUCAUCUUAAAUCUACAUUCUUUGCGGUUCAAACACAAGAACACGCCAUUCUAACAUCUAACCUGUUCGAGAGAAAGGUUAUUUGUCUAGAAAAGAAGACGCAUAGACCAACGCCAGUCUAACAUCUGACUUGUUCGAGAGAAAAGUUAUUUGUCUGGAAAAGAGAUAAUGUCAAGGUAGUAGGACACCCUUUCCUAUUAAAAAGCUAGUGCCGUACCUGGACUAACUUCUUGGAGAAUUCGUACCGUUAGUCACGCUUUAAGCUCGAGAGAGUUAAAGUGAAAUAGUCCUUGUUUAGGUCGAGAGACGCUUGGAUUUACCAUCGACUACAAUUCUCUAUAAGCAAUUACAUGUCAAGACUCUACACACUCAUAGCCAAUAGAGACGUAUACCUCAGAAGGUGGACAUAACCCCAACGCCUCAAUUCUCAUUGUUUACAACACACGUGACAAUCUCUCUUUAUUUUGCUAUUUUCAGUUCUUACAUUCUUGUUUUGGUUACAUACUACAAUCCCCCCUUUCCUACGAGACUUGCACUAAAAGUCUAGUAAUUUUUCUUGCUUGUUGGCCAAGCUAUUCUCUGUGGGAUCGAUACCCAACCCAGGUUGGGUUCUAUAUUUGCUAACGACCGCUUUACACUCCCACGAGAGCUGUAGAUUGAGCGUUAUCAAAAAUUGGCGCCGUUGCCGGGGAAUACGAGUGUCAAUCAAGUUCGUGAAAAUUACUAGACCCUUUGGUCAAAGAUUCUCGUACUUUUACGUUUAGUUUUUGUUUUUGUUUAUUGCAGGUUUUUCUUUUAGUGCAUGCCCCAUACUAGAAGUUCUGGUCAACCGUUAUUACCAAUCAAUCCGGAACCACAACGAAUCAGAAGAAUGGAAGCACAAGCGGAAAUCGACAGGAUGGCUGCUCAACAUGAGCAAGCAAGAUUAGCUGCUCUUGCCGCUGCUCAAGUCCAACAACAAAACAUUGAUAAUCCUGGACGAGCAACAAAUCCUGACGAUGAAGAUUUAGGAGAUGACGAGUUGAUCAACCCAAGGCAUGGCGCUGAAAUGGCAACACCUACCAACAGACGAGGUCGACAAGCUCGGUACAGAUAUGAUCGCCAACCUUUGCAACCAGCUUUCGACGAUGAUGAUGAUGAUCUUGAUGGUGCCGGAGCCACUGGAGCUAUAAUUCCACCACCAUUAGCGCCCGGAGCCAAGUUCAACAUCACUAGCACCAUGAUUCAGUUAUUGCAACUCAAGGGAUUAUUUGGUGGACUAGCAGGCGAUGAUCCGAAUAUGCAUCUCAUCAACUUUAUUUCUACAUGCAAGUCUUUUGACAAUCCUGGAGUUGGUCAGAAUGCUAUUCGAUUACGUCUAUUUCCAUUGUCUCUGUCUGGGGAGGCAACAUUAUGGUUGAAUGGGCUGACUCCUGAUUCUAUUACAAAUUGGAGGCAAUUGAGAGACGCUUUCCUAGAAAGAUUCUUUCCGCCAUCCAAGAGGGCUCAAUUGAGAGAUGAAAUCAGCAACUUUCGUCAGCUUCCCUCUGAAGCUCUUCACGAAACAUGGGAGAGGUUCAAGACAAAGCUAGCGAGAUGCCCAAACCAUCACAUGACUAAUGUUCACCUCAUGGAGAUCUUAUAUAGAGCCUUGAAUUCAGUAACUAAACCAGUGGUGGACAACGCAGCUGGAGGUUCUUUUAUGGACCUCACCUUUGGUCAAGCAAGCAACAUGCUAGAUCGUAUGACGAAACAAAGUAGAGCUUGGCAUACCAGGGAUUCUGAGGUAGCAAGCCCCACUUUAUCUAUUGGCAUGUCUGCAGAUCAAAGAAGGAGAGAAGAAGAACGUGAUCAAGAUAUGGCGCACAUGAAAACCCAAAUGGAUCUUCUUACAAAGCAUCUAUUAGGGAAGACUGAAAAAGUGAAAUCUAUUGCGUCAAAAGGAAGAGACGAAUCUGAUUCAGAAGAGGAGGCCAACUACUUGAACAAUCAGGGGGGUUUCCGUGGGAAUGCCCAAGGAAACCAAGGUCGGAACUAUUAUGACAAAUCUGGAGGUAAAGACCAAGGUAGUUGGAAGAAA
rnacentral:lncRNA from 1 species